UUCAUGUGCAGUGCCUUGAAGAACAGGACCUCCUGCUUCUCCACGAGAUAAUCCGCCGACUUGCUCACAAAGAGAGCAAUAAUCGCCAUGCCUGUGAAGACGAACACACAAGCGAGCAGCUUUGCCGUGUCGCUGUUAGGGACAAGGUCUCCGUAACCAACCGAUGUCAUCGUGACAAUGCAGAAGUACAGGGCGUCAAGCACCCUGUUGGUUCUCUUGCCAGAUAACUGAUCCAUGACAAGAUAAAAGACGACGACGCCCGCUAGCAGGUAGAGAAAUAGGAGGAGCCCUGCUAGUCUAAAGCUCGGCCGUAUCACGCUGAGCAACUCCUUGGCUGGAGGCGACGAGCCGUUUUCUUCUGGUUUCUGAUCGGUCUCUGAUCUGGGAGCCGACCUGCUUCUUCGGAACCGUUUAGCUCCUUCUAACGGCUUCCUUUGGAGCACGUCGGCGUUGUGGUUAUCAGGUACCAAUGCUCGUUGAAUACUGUUGUCAGACAUUGGUUUAGGUUGCGAAUUGCCGUCAGAAUCAAAAACCUAUUAUUCAGAGAAUGUCACACGUUACAGAUAAGCGAGAAGGAAGUUUAGAAGCUCAUCAAAUAUCAGGUAAAAAUUAAGGCAAGACGGUGGAUAUGCACUGAAUUGCAUGGACAACUGAGAGACAUUUUUUUUCCUAUCACCAUCAUUCUAAGCAUUGAAUUUUUUAACUGCAGGUCAAAGAGAGGCAGACAAAGUAAGAACAUCUUAGCAGACUAUGUACAAAUCGACCCUUAAAAACGCGUAUAAGGGGCAUUGUUGACCAUUUUUACGGUACGAAAUUGUCCCGGACAGAACAGACCCUGUAAAUGGAACUGUAUUCCACUAUAGUUUUUCUUUUUCUUUUUUCCUUACGUCCCGGCGAGCCGUCUCCUGCCACGGCGUGCCUCGCCCGCCUCGCCUCCGUCUCAUCUUGGCGCCGCCCGUUCCUGGUCAUGCAUGCAGUGAAGGAGGCCUGCGUCGUCUGCCCCCGAUUGAGCUCGGCACUGCCCGCCGCCGCGCGUACGUUUCCCCGUCGUGGCCGUGCGAGCUCCCCCACCCUGCUCCGCCCUUCUUCGGUGCCGCCCACCCUGAUUCAGGCCGCCGGUAGCCUGCUUCAUCCUGCCCGUGGACGGCCGCGUCUUGGCAGUGAAGGUCGAGCUGGCCGUAAUUCGGAUCGACGGCGACAAAUUUCGGCGUGCGGCGGCUUCUUUUGACAUGCAGUGACGGAUUCCGGUGAGUUUCAGAUAGAUUCCGGCCAGUUCCGCGGCGACGCGUUUGCUCCGACGAGGUUUGACCAGUUUACGGGUUGAACUGUAUACUGCUUUCAAAAGUGCACAUAUAAGGUUUUCACCGAUGGAUUUAGCGUGGCCUUUAAAAAGUUUACAGGUCGAACAAGUUUUACGGGGUCUGAUCCACGCCGUUUUUCCGAUCGAAACUGUAAACAUUUCAUUUUUUUACGGGUUUAACCAGUUUAUGGGGUCUGCUAGAAGGCCAAUACUUACUAGUAGAUGUUAUCUUGAAUUCCUGAUGUUGACUUUCUGGGCCUUUAGGCACAGAAUUCUCCUCUUAUCCAGUAUAAAAAUAAGGGCCGAUUCCUAUUUACCUAUUCUGUCGCUUUCUCUCUGGACAAAGUCGCACUGCUACUGGCUCAGAUCGGAUCUCUACAGCUAGCUUAAUCUGCAACCCAAGGAACUGAGAAGCUAAGUGCUGGAAAGUUAACCUUGAUGAGAGACGAAAAGGGGAAGCGAGACGAGCAGGGGAAGCAUUUCCCACUCUGCUAUACAACAGUAGCAUCUACUCGUGUUGAAGCUACAUACAGAAUCAAAGCCAUUCGCACGAAGCAAGCAGAGCACAGUUCAGAAGGCAGAGAGAUUAUCAUCCCUUACCUCCCUCCGGCCGACGGAAGCUGGGCGACGCUUUGGGGUGUCGAGGCGCCUUUCUUACUCCUUUUCUUCUUCUUCUUCUUCCCUCGAGCUCUACUGCUUUGCUCAGCUGAUCGAUCUCCUCCCGCUCCGCGUUGGCUCGCUUUUUGUCGACCCGAGCUGCGACCUGAGGCCUGGGCUGAGAGGCACGGAGAUGGGGACGCACGCACGCGCCACGACGGCCGCGCCGGAUCUCUCUACGUGUUGGCGCCGCGUGGGUUGAGCUGUAGAGGUCCCGCCGCUUUGACGUGGCCGGCCCCACCGUGCCGGCGCAAGUUGGAACCCUUCGCCUCGCCGUUUUGUUGACCUUCCUGACCCGGAGGGGGCGCGGCGCGAACCGAUCUGGCGGGUCCAGGUCGGUUGGCCGCAGGCAAAAUUCAGCAGGACUGCUGCUCCGUUUCUCAGAUCAAGAUCCAACUGAGAUCGGAUCCGAGCUCGGCAUGUUUAGCUGAACGAAAUGCAACCGUGCAAGGAGGUGGGGUGCGGGCGUCCAGCGAAUCGGGAUAAGAAAGGGCCUACAUGUCACUCUCUCCCCUCGUGCCUCGUGCCCUUCAUGAAAGCUCCACCCACCGGCCACCGCCCCCAUCACUCUCUGGUAUCGUUGCUCAUUCAAGAACGAUGUUUCUAGCUUGCUUUGCGACGCGGUAGGAACAUUUAAUAAAGAUGUCAAUCAGCCAAUGGGUUGGUUUUUGCACGGGUUGACCAAUCCCAUUGUUAGAUUCUGGAGGCCUCUCAGGGCGCUUGCAAUUUCGGCCGUCGGAUUGCGUUUUCAAACGAAUUCGGUCCGUCGGAUCUUCCUGGCCAUAAUGUGUGUGCUCUUCUCUAAUUACUAGCAAAAUGACCCGUGCGUUGCAACGGAAGAAAAAAACAUAAUCUUCAAUGAUGAUGACCACAUUAUGUUCACACAUAAUCGCUUGAUUUCGAAAUUUUGUGCACAAAUGCAAGAAAAUGUUUCUUCUUUUAAAUUUAUUCACAAGUUGAAGCAAUCUUUGCAUUUUCAAAAAAAAUAUAUAUAUCAUGGUUGUCAAAAAUCUUGGUAACUCAAAGAAUUAUUCUUAAUUUCAAGAUUUUUUUUUAGAAACACAUACAAUAAUAAUUCGAUCCAUCCAACAAUUAAUUCUUCAAAAAUCACACGGGUAUAUUUUCACAAAGACUUAGAAGCAUUAAUGUUUAACUACAUACAUUAGAUCUUUCAUGAACAAUUUUACAAAUAUGAGAACAAUUUUAAAAUUAAGAACUUUUUUUACAAUUUACAAACAUUUACUAAAAAUUGUGAAUAUUUUUUAUAUUUCAAACGGGUUUAAAUAUUUUCUUUUGAAUUGGCGACCAAUUCUAGAAAAGACGAACAUAAGUUUUUAUGUUGCAGGAUUUUACUUUAAAUUCACAAACAUUUUUGAAACGCAUGAAGUUUUGCUGAAUAAACAAACAUUUUUAUAAGUCAGUAAUAUAUUUAUUAAAUUCAUGACAUUGUUUUUGAAUUUGCAAAAUUUUUUAUAAAAAUCCGGCGCCUUUUUUGAAUCCACAAACAUUUUAUGUUUUCGUCAACAUUUAAUUCGAAAUUCCUAUUUUUUAAUAUGCAAAUGCUUUUGUAAUUCUAAAUUAUUUAAAUUAGAAGUAAACAAAAAUGGAACGGACAAAAUUAAAUAAAAAAGAAACUAUCAAAACAGGCAUUAGCUAUUUUUAAAUGCAUUAACAUAUUUUGAAUUAGAAAGCAUUUUGUUAAAUGCUUUUAAUAAUUUUUAAUACAUGGAAUUUGAUUUGAAAUCAUGGACUUUUCUUAUUGUAUAAACAUUUUUUCAAACUUGCAAACAUUUUAUUGUAUAUGCGAGCAUUUUUUAUAAAGACUCCGAGCAGUUUUUGAAGUCACAAACAUUUUAUUUUUUAAAAUAUGUUGAUUUAAAAUUUUAAGUUUAUUAAAAGUUUAAAGGUUAUUUGAAGUUCUAAAUUAUUUAAAAUAGAAAAAUAAAAUGGAACUGAAGAUAAAUAAAUAAUUGGAACUAAAAAAACUGAUGCCUGUGCAUGGGCCGGCCAAUACGGUGUGCUGGAUAUUCUCUCGGGGUGCAGAGCGGAGGUUUUUACAUGGGCCGGCCCAGUCUGAGAUUUUUCGUUUUGUGAAACGUUUUCUAUUACAUACCGGUGACAUGGUGGGUAAUUUAUGCAAACUUUAUGGGCAAUUUUCAUGACGUACCACAUAAGCAAUAGGUGCUUUAUUAAUAUCUCUAAUCUCUAACUAGACCAUGAUGGCGCGUGUUGCCGCGCCCGUCCAUUUGGUAAAUGGUAGAAAUUUAGUGAAAUAAAUUAAGACGUGAAACAUGGAAAUCAAAUUUUCAUCACGAACAAUGAUGCACUAAAGGUCAUGCCAAGAUGAAAAAUAUGAAAAUAAUCUAUUGGUGUAGUGGGCUUACAAUAUGUGUUCGUGGCCAUGCAAAUGUAUGAAAUAAAGAGUACAUGUCGAGGGCUACACUUGGCAUCACAAAUUCAAAUACAAGGAAUGAUAUCCAGAAGGUACCUUUAUAGCACAUCAAUAACACACCAUCCUCUAUUUUUGUACGUCCGUGUGUGUUCCUUCCAUCAAGCAGUUGAAGAAAAUUAUGUGCGGAAAUUGUGCUACCGCAAGAAAAAUAAUUGUAAUGCUCGGUGCACAUAUUCUGCAAUAACUUGGCUUGUGCUAAGCAAUUAGUUAACUAUUCAUGUCCCUUUCUAUACCGAACCACCGUCUAUCUAUCAUGCCAUCAUUUUUGUUUGUCGUCAUAAACGAUAUGGAUUCAUAUGAAACAAUAGAUAUAGUCUAAUAAAUUGCACUUGAAACCAGUUACCUCUUGCCUGAUGUCCUCGUGACCACCAUAAUAAUUUCUUAAAUCACCCUUCAGCCUUCCAUUCAUUUGAAGCUACAAAAAGAACACACUGGAAGAAAAAAAUACUAAGAGAUGAUCAAGGUAAACACACACAUAAUGGGAUCCAACCAUGGAAAAAAUGGUGCGGGAUUCAAUAAAGAAGAAAAAAGAGGAGGAUCCAUUGCUCCAGCCCGAUCUCAUGAAUGAGAAGAUCAUGAAGACAGGAAGCCUCAAAGAAAUAGGAGGUGCAAGGAUCAUGCUCGUCAUUAAUUUGCCCAUAAUCCCAGUGUUUAUUCUGUCAUCAGUCAACAUAAACAAUGAAAUAAUUUUGGAAAAAAUCACAUUUUUUAUGUAGAAGCAGCAAUUAGAUUAUUAACAAUUGAUAAAUAUGGUAUUGCAUUUAACUGAAUGUAAAAUGGAGUACCGGGCUAAUCUUGCAAAGACACACCCCUGCAGUAGUAAAGUUUCAUCUGCUGCGCCUUCGGUGAGAGAUUCUAAUGUCUGUAUCAAGGGUUCAGAGAAAGGUAGUCAGCCAUGAGAAAAUCAAACACGAACUAAUCAAUCUUACAACUUGUCAUGACGUCCAUGUAGUUCUCAGUAGGAAGAAGGUCACACCAACGAGGAUCAGGUGUGCUUGUUCGUCGGCCCCAUCAUGCUUUUCUCCACCAUCUGUUUGCUUUCUAUCUCUCUAACCAAUCGAUCAAGAACCAUCGUGAUAGAUUGGAGAUCGGAGUGAAAAUAUUAUACUUGUUCUUGAUUCAGUCACAGCAUACUUUGUCGAGUACGUGAGGUCCAUCCACAAAAUCAUUUAGGAGAGCACAAACACAACACCCAGAAUUCAAAACCGAGAGAGAUCAGGUGAGGAGUAGAGGAGGAAAUCCGCGAACUUACGAAGUGGCCCAGGAACGGUGGCGGCAGCUCCAUCCCAAUCGUCCAUGUUGCUACACGAGGAGGCUGGGGCGAAGGGGGUCGUCGUGGGGUUCCGAUUGUUUGUGCCGCCGUCGCCGUAGAUGGGGAGAAUAGGGGAGUUGCUCUAGAACCGUCGCCUUCGCACCUGCACGGAAUCGCACAAACGCUCGUCAUCCGUCGGUGCUUAAUGGGCUGGUCGCUUGGGCCUAAUCAACGAGGAUACUGCGUUUCGGCCACGAGAGUAGCCUCCCCUUAGGACAGCCAGCCCACGAAACACAAACAUGACACACAGAUCAGACCGAACGGCUAGAAAUGGUUUGAUCAGAAAAAUUAACGGUCCAAACAUCUCAUGGCGUGAGAAGAUAGGGAUUAGGCUCAGUUUUACUGUCCUAAAUUUGUUAACCCCAGUUCACUUUGGGUCCAUAAGGUGUGUGUUCUUCUCCAAUCCAUACUCUUGAUGCUUCGUGUGAUUACUUUUGCAGCAGUUUCAGUUUGUUGUAAUGAGAUUGCUCAUAUUCUGUUGAACUCAAACUCUGUAGGGCUCCCAACAUUUUGAAGACAUAUUAUCUACUCCCUCCGUUUCUAAAUAUAAGACCUUUUAGAGAUUAUAUUAUAAACUACAUAUGGAUGUACAUAGACAUAUUUUAGAGUAUAGAUUCACUCAUUUUGCUUUGUAUAUAGUCUUCUAGUGAAAUACCUAAAAUGUCUUAUAUUUUGGAACGGAGGGAGUAGUUAUUUUACUAGCUUGGUCUCAGCUAAGGAACUGUUGGAGCUUCCUUGCCACUUGAGAAGAGCUUGCAUUGCAUAUGCUGGCAAGCUCGCUCCUUUGUAGUGGUAUAUUCCUCGAAUGAGAGACUAUGAUGUAAGUCUCUGUGUGUGUGUGCGCGCGCGCGCCUGAAUAGAAACUCUGGGUGUUCACUUAGUUCUCCCAGGUCAUCAUCUCAUGGAAGCAAACUCCUAUUUGCCUGAGACCUCAUUAGAUAGAUUGCCGUUUGCCUUGCAAUUCUGGACCCAGGAGCAACAAAUCCAAGAAAAAAAUACAUCUACACAGGCUACCAUAUUGGAAGCUGGAAAUAUUUCAUGACUGGAAAACAAUAGCUUAACAAACUUCAUUUACACAGGUACACAAGCUUAUCAAAGCAUCACCAAAUACCUCUUUCUUACACAUGUCCAGGUGCAUAUGAGCAGAUCCAUUGUGUUAAAUACAUGUAGGAGCUCAACAAGGUCAUAUCUUUUGACACUUUACAAGAUUACAGAACUAAUUAACAGCAUUAACCGACCAUUCAACUAUAGUAUUUAAGCUGUAGAAUUAAGUACAAGCCCAUAUGUUCAUCACCGACCGGAUUGUGCAUGAGUAAGGUCAUAGGUGGAGAGCGUGCCGGACUGGUCAACGUCGAGUUUCUCAAACUCCUCUAGAAAAGAAGAUAUGUCUUCUUGGCUGAUCUUCCCCAGUUCUUUGAGCUUGUACACGACAAAUUCAGCAGCACUGCACAUAUCAAAGUUCACAAAUCAACACCGAUGCUCAUUACCUGCAAAAUCUUAAGGGAUAUGAUGGCGAGGAAGAAUACUAAAAAUGCUUUAUGCGCUUACCCCACUUUUCGAUCAUUAUCCAGAUCAGCUGCUUCAAGAUCCAUGUUUGUUAUUCUCCGUGUGAGAACCCAUUUGGCCAGCAUUUUCUGCCGUCGCUCGGUGUAGAUCUCAGCAAGGUACAUGAAGAACAGCGCCAGGAUUAUGGUGCUCGUAAUUAUCCAAAAUACCGCGAAAGUGCGCCCCAAUUUGGACGAGAAGCUUUUAUCCCCAUAGCCCAGGGCAGUUAUUGUGGCACAGACACAAUAAAAGGAAUCAACAAGGCUCAGCUUCUCAACCUUCCAGAGAAAAACAGUCCCCACAACAAUGGUUGUCACAAGAAGUAGGGCAGCAGUGUAGAAUUUGUACUUUGUCUUGUUUGUCUCAAUUUGCCUGAGCAUUUUGGCCUCGCUAAACUUCAUGUUCAUGUGCAGUGCCUUGAAGAACAGCACCUCCUGCUUCUCGACGAGAUAAUCUGCCGACUUGCUCACAAAGAGAGCAAUAAACGCCAUGCCGGUGAAGACGAAAACACAGGCGAGGAGCUUCGCCGUGUCACUGUGAGGGACAAGGUCUCCAUAACCAACCGAUGUCAUCGUGACAAUACAGAAGUAGAGUGCGUCAAGCACCCUGUUGGUUCUCUUGCCAGAUAACUGAUCCAUGACAAGGUAAAAGACGACGACGCCCGCUAGCAGGUAGAGAAAUAGGAGGAGCCCUGCUAGUCUAAAGCUCGGUCGUAUCACGCUGAACAACUCCUUGUCUGGAAGCGGCGAGCCAUUUUCUUCUGGUUUCUGAUCGGCCUCUGAUCUGGGAGCCGACCUGCUUCUUCGGAACCGUUUAGCUCCUUCUGACGGCUUCCUUUGGAGCACGUCGGCGUUGUGGUUAUCAGGUAGCAAUGCUCGUUGAAUACUGUUGUCAGACAUUGGUUUAGGUUGCGAAUUGCCGUCACAAUCAAAAACCUAUUAUUCAGAGAAUGUCACACGUUACAGUAUUGGUGUUACAGAUAAGCGAGAAAGAAGUUUAGAAGCUCAUUAAAUAUCAGGUAAAAAUUAAGGCAAGACGGUGGAUAUGCACUGAAUUGCAUGGACAAUUGAGAGACAAUUUUUUUCCUAUCACCAUCAUUCUAAGCAUUGAAUUUUUAACUGCAGGUCAAAGAGAGGCAGACAAAGUAACUUGGGUCAAAAAUAAGGGCCAAUUCUUACUAGAUGUUAUCCUGAAUUCCUGAUUUUGACUUUGUGGGCCUUUAGGCACAGAAUUCUCCUCUUAUCUAGUAUCAAAAUAAGGACCGAUUCCUAUUACACUUACAUAUUCUGUCGCUUUCUCUCUGGACAAAGUCGCACUGCUACUGUUUCAGAUCGGAUCUCUACAGCUAGCUUAAUCUGCAACCCAAGGGAUCAUGAAACUGACAAGCAAAGUGCUGGAAAGUUAACCUUGAUCAGAGACGAAAAGGGGAAGCGAGACGAGCAGGGGAAGCAUUUCCCACUCUGCUAUAUAACAGCAGCAUCUACUCGCAAUGAACAGAGCACAGUUCAGAAGGCAGAGAGAUUAUCCUCCCUUACCUCCCUCCGGCCGACGGAAGCUGGGCGACGCUUUGGGGUGUCCAGGCGCCUUUCUUACUCCUCCUCUUCUUCUUCUUCCCUCGAGCUCUCCUGCUUUGCUCAGCUGAUCUCCUCCCGCUCCGCGUUUGCUCGCUUUUUGUCGACCCGAGCUGAGACCUGAGGCCUGGGCUGAGAGGCACGGAGAUGGGGACGCACGCACGCGCCACGCCGGCCGAGCCGGAUCUCUACGUGUUGGCGUCGCGUGGGUUGAGCUGUGGAGGCUUUGACGUGGCCGGCCCCACCGUGCCGGUGCAAGUUGGAACCCUUCGCCUCGCCGGUUUGUUGACCUUCCUGACCCGGAGGGGGCGCGGCGCGAACCGAUCUGGCGGGUCCAGGUCGGUUGGCAGCAGGCAAAAUUCAGCAGGGCUGCUGCUUCGUUUCUCCGAUCAAGAUCCAACUGAGAUCAGAUCCGAGCUCGCCAUGUUAGGCCAACUCCACCGUGCGAUCCCAUCCUGUUCGCGCGCAUUCGUUACAGAUUAAGCAGACGGUCCAACACACGGGAGCAAACGAACUUUUGUCCGUUUUAUGUCCGCUUUCGAUCCAUCCCCGACCCAACUUUGCGUCGAUUUUGGGCGAAACGAACAACGCGCGGACGGACGGGACGCGCGCUUGUCCGUCCCUGGCCCGCGUGUCGGUGACACAAAGGAAAACCCACCCAUGUCCCCUUUGGCGCCAUUCCCCCCAAACCCUCCCAUGUCCCGCCGUCCCCCUCUCUCCCACGUCCAUGGCCGUCGUCCGAUCGGCCGUGGCCGUUCUUUUUUGGAGGUUGGCAUGGGUGUCGCCCGCUAGGCCGCUGGCUGUGUGUCGGCGAGAAACAGAUUCAUUUAGAAGGCUGGUUGUGUUGCCGCCCGCUGGCUGUGCUGCCAACGAACAAAACUAUUCACUUUGUAGGCUGGCUGUGUUGCCGGAUGCUGGCUUUGUUGCCGACGAGGAUGUGUAGGCCGCUGGCUGUGUUGCCGGCGUGAACUAGGGCCGCUGGCGUGAACUAGGCCGCUGGUAUUUGAAGCGUUGUUCUUUUGGAGGCGGACAAGAUGGGGCCAAAGGAUGCGGUGGCCGUGCGCUGAGCGCACGGCCACCGCAUCCCCGGACACGACCCCAUUGCCCUACCCAUACGGACAGAAUCCGGGCAAAACAGACGUCCGUUUGGUGUCGCGCGGUGGAGUUGGCCUUAGCUGAAUGAAAUGCAAUUGUGCAAGGAGGUGUGGUGCGGGCGUCCAACGAAUCGGGAUAAGAAAGGGCCUACAUGUCACUCUCUCCCCUCGUGCCUCGUGCCUUGCCUGAAAGCUCCACCAACCCGCCACCGCCCCCAUCACUCUCGUGUCAUUGCCCAUUCAUGAACGAUGUCCCUAGCUUGCUUUGCGACGCGGUAGGAGCAUUUAGGCCAACUCCACCGGGCGACCCCAUCUUGUCCGGGUGCGUCCGUUUGGGGUAGAACGGACGAAUAGCGCGGCCCAACGCACGAACCCAAACGAACAAAUGUCCGGAUUUCGUCUGUUUUCGACCCAUCCCCGGCCCAAACUUGCGCCGAGUUUGGGGGAAACGGACAUCGCGCGGACGCGCUCGCCGCACGCCCUUGUCCGCCCGUGGCCCGCGUGUCGGGGACACAAGUAUUCCCAUUCCCUCUCCCGCCCCGCCCGUGGCCCAACGCCUCCACCCCCUCUCCCGCCUCGCCCCGCCGACGGCGCCGCCGCUAUUCUCCGGCCACCUCAGCCCCCGGCCGUCCAUAGCAAACCACGUCUCGACAUGGCCGCCACCACGCCCGCGCUUUCGCCGUAGUUUAUAGGCGUCGAUCGGAGGAGGUUUGGCCGUCGUCGUUGUAGCCGGCGGCAGAGUGGAUACGACCGCAUGCGACGUACCACGGCGGCCACGACAGCUUCCGACGCAUGCUCCAGAGCGGCCAGUAGCCUGCCGCCAACCACCCCUGCAUCGAGGUGAUCAUCGCGACCUCUUUGCCACCACGACCGCAAGGUGUUUGACACUUUGCCCGCAAAGGUAUGGACAGUGGUGAUGAGUUUUUCUUCCACCACUUCAUUUAUUCAUCGGACGAUUCGUCGUUGGAUGAUGAAGAUCUUGUGGUGGCUGCAGUGGUGGUUCACGACCACAUUCAACGAUAGCUUCCUCGGUACAGGGGGUCACUCCCUGGCCGUGUUCCCAACCUGAACCGUAACAGGGAGAGAGGCCAGGCCCUGCUCUAUGCCGAUUACUUUGCGAACACACCGCUCUUCAAGCCGGAUAAAUUCCGUCGCCGUUUUUGUAUGGAAAGGCAUGUGUUCAAUCGUAUCUGAGAGGGAGUGGUUGCUCAUGACCCAUACUUCGAGUGCAAGACGGAUGCCCUUGGCAAGCUAAGAUUCUCCUCUUACCAAAAAUGCACCGCGGCCAUCCGCAUGCUUGCAUAUGUAAUUCCAGAUGAUCUGGUGGAUGAGUAUGUGCGUAUGAGUGAGACAACAUGUCUGAUGUCAAUGUACAAGUUCUGCCAGGCUGUGAUCGAGGUGUUUGGCCCUGAGUACUUGAGGCAGCCAACUGUCGCUGAUACAGAGAGAUUGUUGGCGACCAACGCAACCAGAGGCUUUCUAGGCAUGCUUGACAUCAUAGAUUGUAUGCACUCGGAGUGGAAGAAUUGUCCAUUUGCUUGGCAGGGCCAGUACAAGGGGCAUGUCAAAGCGUGCACUGUCAUAUUAGAAGCGGUGUCUUCGUAGGAUCUUUGGAUAUGACAUUCUUUCUUCGGCAUGGCAGGUUCUCACAAUGAUAUCAACGUGCUGCAGCGUUCUCCAGUCUUCGCAAGGCUUGCAGAAGGCCACUGCCCACCUGUCUGUUGGAAAUAUUCCCUAGAGGCAAUAAUAAAUUAGUUAUUAUUAUAUUUCUUAGUUCAUGAUAAUCGUUUAUUAUCCAUGCUAUAAUUGUGUUGAUUGGAAACACAAUACUUGUGUGGAUACAUAGACAAAACACUGUCCCUAGUAAGCCUCUAGUUGACUAGCUCGUUGAUCAAAGAUGGUCAAGGUUUCCUGGCCAUAGGCAAGUGUUGUCACUUGAUAACGGGAUCACAUCAUUAGGAGAAUCAUGUGAUGGACUAGACCCAAACUAAUAGAGGUAGCAUGUUGAUCGUGUCAUUUUGUUGCUACUAUUUUCUGAGUGUCAAGUAUUUGUUCCUAUGACCAUGAGAUCAUAUAACUCACGGACACCGGAGGAAUGCUUUGUGUGUAUCAAACGUCGCAACGUAACUGGGUGACUAUAAAGAUGCUCUACAGGUAUCUCCGAAGGUGUUCGUUGAGUUAGUAUGGAUCGAGACUGGGAUUUGUCACUCCGUGUGACGGAGAGGUAUCUCGGGGCCCACUCGGUAAUACAACAUCACACACAAGCCUUGCAAGCAAUGUGACUUAGUGUAAGUUACGUGAUCUUGUAUUACGGAACGAGUAAAGAGACUUGCCGGUAAACGAGAUUGAAAUAGGUAUACGGAUACUGACGAUCGAAUCUCGGGCAAGUAACAUACCGAAGGACAAAGGGAAUGACAUACGGGAUUAUAUGAAUCCUUGGCACCGAGGUUCAAACGGUAAGAUCUUCGUAGAAUAUGUAGGAUCCAAUAUGGGCAUCCAGGUCCCUCUAUUGGAUAUUGAUCGAGGAGUCUCUCAGGUCAUGUCUACAUAGUUCUCGAACCCGCAGGGUCUGCACACUUAAGGUUCGACGUUGUUUUAUGCGUAUUUGAGUUAUAUGGUUGGUUACCGAAUGUUGUUCGGAGUCCCGGAUGAGAUCACGGACGUCACGAGGGUUUCCGGAAUGGUCCGGAAACAAAGAUUGAUAUAUAGGAUGACCUCAUUUGAUUACCAGAAGGUUUUCGGAGUUACCGGGAAUGUACCGGGAAUGACGAAUGGGUUCCGGAAGUCCACCGGGGGGGGCAACCCACCCCGGGGAAGCCCAUAGGCAUUGGGGGUGGUGCACCAGCCCUUAGUGGGCUGGUGGGACAGCCCAAGAGAGCCCUAUGCGCCAUAGGAAGAAAAAUCAAAGAGAAAAGAAAAAAAAAGAGGAGGUGGGAAAAAGGGGAAGGACUCCUCCUUCCAAACCUAGUUGACCCAAGGGAAGGCUCCCCCCUCCUCCCCCUAUAUAUAUGGAGGUUUUAGGGCUGAUUUGACACAACUUUGCCACGGCAGCCCGACCACAUAUCUCCACGGUUUUACCUCUAGAUCGCGUUUCUGCGGAGCUCGGGCGGAGCCCUGCUGAGAUAAGAUUACCACCAACCUCCGGAGCGCCGUCACGCUGCCGGAGAACUCAUCUACCUCUCCGUCUCUCUUGCUGGAUCAAGAAGGCCGAGAUCAUCGUCGAGCUGUACGUGUGCUGAACGCGGAGGUGCCGUCCGUUCGGCACUAGAUCGUGGGACUGAUCGCGGGACGGUUCGCGGGGCGGAUUGAGGGACGUGAGGACGUUCCACUACAUCAACCGCGUUCACUAACGCUUCUGUUGUACGGUCUACAAGGGUACGUAGAUCACACAUCCCCUCUCGUAGAUGGACAUCACCAUGAUAGGUCUUCGUGCGCGUAGGAAUUUUUUUGUUUCCCAUGCGACGUUCCCCAACAGUGGCAUCAUGAGCUAGGUUCAUGCGUAGAUGUCUUCUCGAGUAGAACACAAAAGUUUUUGUAGGCGGUGAUGUGCGUUUUGCUGCCCUCCUUAGUCUUUUCUUGAUUCCGCGGUAUUGUUGGAUCGAAGCGGCUCGGACCGACAUUACUCGUACGCUUACGAGAGACUGGUUUCAUCGCUACGAGUAACUCCGUUGCUCAAAGAUGACUGGCGGGUGUCAGUUUCUCCAACUUUAGUUGAAUCGGAUUUGACCGAGGAGGUCCUUGUAUGAGGUUAAAUAGCAACUCAUAUAUCUCCAUUGUGGUGUUUGCGUAAGUAAGAUGCGAUCCUACUAGAUACCCAUGGUCACCACGUAAAACAUGCAACAACAAAAUUAGAGGACGUCUAACUUGUUUUUGCAGGGUAUGCUUGUGAUGUGAUAUGGCCAACGAUGUGAUGUGAUAUUUUGGAUGUAUGAGAUGAUCAUGUUGUAAUAGAUAAUAUCGACUUGCACGUCGAUGGUACGGCAACCGGCAGGAGCCAUAGGGUUGUCUUUAUACUAACGUUUGUGCUUGCAGAUGCGUUUACUAUUUUGCUAGGAUGUAGCUUUAAUAGUAAUAGCAUGAGUAGCACGACAACCCCGAUGGCGACACGUUGAUGGAGAUCAUGAUGAUGGAGAUCAUGGUGUGACGCCGGUGACAAGUAGAUCGUGCCGGUGCUUUGGUGAUGGAGAUCAAGAAGCACAUGAUGAUGGCCAUAUCAUGUCACUUAUGAAUUGCAUGUGAUGUUAAUCCUUUAUGCACCUUAUCUUGCUUAGAACGACGGUAGCAUUAUGAGGUGAUCUCUCACUAAAAUUUCAAGACGAAAUUGUGUUCUCCCCGACUGUGCACCGUUGCGACAGUUCUUCGUUUCGAGACACCACGUGAUGAUCGGGUGUGAUAGACUCAACGUUCACAUACAACGGGUGCAAAACAGUUGCACACGCAAAACACUCGGGUUAAGCUUGACGAGCCUAGCAUGUGCAGACAUGGCCUCGGAACACAUGAGACCGGAAGGUCGAGCAUGAAUCGUAUAGUUGAUAUGAUUAACAUAGAGAUGCUUACCACUGAAACUAUUCUCGACUCACGUGAUGAUCGGACUUGAGAUAGUGGAUUUGGAUCAUGUACCACUCAAAUGACUAGAGAGAUGUACUUUUUGAGUGGGAGUUAUUAAGUAAUAUGAUUAAUUGAACUAAUUGUCAUGAACAUAGUCUAAUGGUCUUUGCGAAUUACGAUGUAGCUUGCGCUAUAGCUCUACUAUUUUUAUAUGUUCCUAGAGAAAGUUUAGUUGAAAAUUGAUAGUAGCAAACUUUGCAGACUGAGUCUGUAAAACCGAGGAUUGUCCUCGUUGCUGCAUAGAAGGCUUAUGUCCUUAAUGCACCACUCAGUGUGCUGCACCUCGAGCGUCGUCUGUGGAGGCUGUGAACAUCCGACAUACAUGUUUCUGAUGACUACACGAUAGUUCAGUGCAAAAUACUUAAUGGCUUAGAAGCAAGGCGCCAAAAACGUUUUGAAACGUCACGGAACAUAAGUGAUGUUCUAAAGAGAUGAAAUUGUGAUUUCAUGCUUGUGCCCUUGUUAAGAGGUACGAGACCUCCGACAAGAUUCUUUGUCCACAAAGUACAGGAGAAAAGCUCAAUCAUUGAGCGUGUGCUCAGAUUGUCUGAGUACGACAAUCGCUUGAAUCAAGUGGGAGUUAAUCUUCCAGAUGAGAUAGUGAUGGUUCUCCAAAGUCACUGCCACCAAGCUGUGAGAGCUUCGUGAUGAACUAUAACAUAUCAAGGAUAGAUACUAUGAUCUUUGAGUGAUUCGCGAUGUUUGACACUGCGAAAGUAGAAAUCAAGAAGGAGCAUCAAUAGUUGAUGGUUAGUAAAACCACUAAGUUUCGAGAAAGGCAAGGGCUAGAAGGGAUACUUCGUGAAACGGCAAAACAGUUGCUGCACUAAUGAAGAGACCCAAGAUUAAACCCAAACCUGAGACUAAGUGCUUCUGUAAUAAGGGGAACAGUCACUGAGGCGGAGCAACUCUAGAUACUUGGUAGAUAAGAAGGCUGACAAAAGUCGAAAGAAGUAUAUUUGAUAUACAUGAUGUUGAUGUGUACUUUACUAGAACUCCUAGUAGCAUGAGGGUAUUGGAUACCGGUUCGGUUGCUAAGUGAUUAGUAACACGAAAUGAAAGCUACGACAUAAAUGGAGACUAGCUAAAAGCGAGGUGACGAUACGUGUUGGAAGUGUUUCCAAGGUUGAUAUGAUCAAACGUCGCACGCUCCCUCUACCAUCGGGAUUGGUGUUAAAGCUAAAUAAUUGUUAUUUGGUGCUUGCGUUAAGCAUGAACAUGAUUGGAUCGUGUUUAUUGCAAUACGAUUAUUCAUUUAAAGAGAAUAAUGGUUACUCUAUUUUCUUGAAUAAUCACCUUCAAUGGUUUAUUGAAUCUCGAUCGUAGUGUUACACAUGUUCAUGACAUUGGUGCCAAAAGAUACGAGGUAAUGAUGAUAGUACCACUUACUUGUGGCACUGCCGCUUGAGUCAUGUUGGUAUAAAUUGCAUGAAGAGGUUCCAUGCUGAUGGAUCUUUAUACUCACUUGAUUUUGAAUCACUAGUGACAUGCAAAUCAUACCACAUGAGCAAGGCCUUGUUUUCAUUGAGAUGAAAUAAGAUAGUAACUUGUUGGAAGUAAUACAUUUUGAUGUAUGCAGUCCAAUGGGUGCUGAAGCACGCAGUGGAUAUCAUUAUGUUCUUACUUCAAUGACGAUUUGAGUAGAUACUAGAGUAUUUACUUAAUGAAUCAUAAGUCUGAAAUAUUGAAAAGUUCAAUUCUGUUUCGGAGUGAAGUUCAUCGUAACAAGAGGAUAAACUGUCUACGAUAUGAUCAUAGAAAUGAAUAUCUGAGUUACGAGUUUUGGUACACAGUUAAGACAAUGUGGAAAUUGUUUCGCAGUUCAUGCCACCUAGAACAUCAUAGUGUGAUGGUGUGUCUGAACGUCAUAGCCACACACUAUUUGGUACGGUGCAUGCUAUGAUGUCUCUUAUCGAAUUACCACUAUUGUUUAUGGGUUAUGCAUUAGAGACAACCGCAUUCACUUUAAAUAGGGCACCGCGUAUUUCCGUUGAGAUGACACAGUAUAGACUGAGGUUUAGAGAAAUCUAAACUGUCAUUUCUUGAAAGUUUGGGGUUUCGACACUUAUGUGAAAAAAAGGUUUUACUCUGAUAAGCUCGAACCCAAAGCGGAUAAAUGCAUCUUCAUAGGAUAUCCAAAACAGUUGGGUACAUCUCCUAUCUCAGAUCCGAAAGCAAAGUGUUUGUUUCUAGAAACGGAUCCUUUCUCGAGGAAAGGUUUCUCUCGAAAGAAUUGAGUGGGAGGGUGGUAGAACUUGAUGAGGUUAUUGAACCAUCACUUCAACCAGUGUGUAGCAGGGCGCAAGAAGUUGUUCCUGUGGUGCCUACACCAAUUGAAGUGAAAGCUGAUGAUGGUGAUCAUCGAGCAUCGGAUCAAGUUACUACAAGCCCCGUAGGUUGACAAGGUCGCGUACUACUAUAGAGUGGUACGGUAACCCUGUCUUGGAGGUCAUGUUGUUGAGCAACAGUGAACCAACGAGUUAUGAAGAAAGCAAUGGUGGGCCCGGAUUCCGACAAAUGGCUGGAGGCCAUGAAAUCUGAGAGAGGAUCCAUGUAUGAAAACAAAGUGUAGACUUUGGAAGAACUACUUGAUGGUCAUAGGACUAUUGAGUAAAGAUGGAUCUUUAAAAGGAAGACAUACGAUGAUGGUGAUAAGUCACUAUUAAGAAAAGCUCGACUUGUUGCAAAGAUGUUUCCGACAAGAUCAAACAGUUGACUAUGAUGAGACUUUCUCACUCGUAGCGAUGCUAAAAGUCUGUUAGAAUUAUGUUAGUUGUUGAUGCAUUAUUUAUGAAAUAUUGCACGUAGGAUGUCAAAACAUUGUUUUCUCGACGGUUUCCUUGAGCAAACAUUGUAUGUGAUACAACCAGAAGGUUUUGUCGAUCCUAAAGAUACUAGCAAGUAUGCAAGCUCCAGUGAUCCUUCAAUGGACUGGUGCAAGCAUCUCAGAGUUGGAAUAUACACUUUGAUGAGAUGAUCAAAGAUUUUGGGUUUGUACAAGGUUUAUGAGAAACUUGUAUUUCCAAAGAAGUGAGUGGGAGCACUAUAGAAUUUCUGAUAAGUAUAUGUGGUAGACAUAUUGUUGAUCAGAAGUAAUGUAGAAUUUCUGUAAAGCAUAUAAGGUUGUUUGAAAGGAGUUUUCAAAGGAAUACCUGGAUUGCGCUACUUGAACGUUGAACAUCAAAGAUCUAUGGAGAUAGAUCAAAAGCGCUUAAUGAAAGUUUCAAUAAUAUGCAUGCCUUGACAAGUUUUUGAAGGAGUUCAAAAUAGAUCAGCAAAGAAGGAGUUCUUGGUUGCGUUGUAAGGUGUAAAUUUGAGUAAGACUCAAAGCCCGACCACGGCAGAAUAAAGAGAAUAGACGAAGGUCGUCUUCUAUGCCUUAGCCGUAGAAUCUAAAGUAUGCCAUGUUGUGUACCGCACCUGAUGUGUGCCUUGACUCAAAGUCUGUUGAGAGGUACAGAGAGUGAUCCAGGAUUGAAUCACUAGCAGCGGUCAAAAUUUAUCCUUAGUAACUAAUGGACUAAGGAAUUUUUCUCGAUUAUGGAGAUGGUUAAAGAGUUCGUCGUAAAGGGUUACGUUGAUGCAAGCUUUGACACUAAUCCGAAUAACUAUGAGUAGUGAAACGGAUUCGUAGAGUAGAGUAGAUAUUUGGAGCAUUUUCGAAUAGCACGUAAUAGCAGCAUCUAUAAGAUGACAUAAAGAUUUGUAAAGAACGCACGAAUCUGAAAGUUUCAGAACCAUUGACUAAAACCUCUCUCACGAGCAAGACGUGAUCAGACCCCAUAACUAUAUGGGUGUUGGAUUCGUAGGAAUCACAUGGUGAUGUGAACUAGAUUAUUGACUCUAGUGCAAGUGGGAGACUGUUGGAAAUAUGCCCUAGAGGCAAUAAUAAAUUAGUUAUUAUUAUAUUUCUUAGUUCAUGAUAAUCGUUUAUUAUCCAUGCUAUAAUUGUAUUGAUUGGAAACACAAUACUUGUGUGGAUACAUAGACAAAACACUGUCCCUAGUAAGCCUCUAGUUGACUAGCUCGUUGAUCAAAGAUGGUCAAGGUUUCCUGGCCAUAAGCAAGUGUUGUCACUUGAUAACGGGAUCACAUCAUUAGGAGAAUCAUGUGAUGGACUAGACCCAAACUAAUAGAGGUAGCAUGUUGAUCGUGUCAUUUUGUUGCUACUAUUUUCUGCGUGUCAAGUAUUUGUUCCUAUGACCAUGAGAUCAUAUAACUCACGGACACCGGAGGAAUGCUUUGUGUGUAUCAAACGUCGCAACGUAACUAGGUGACUAUAAGGAUGCUCUACAGGUAUCUCCGAAGGAGUUCGUUGAGUUAGUAUGGAUCGAGACUGGGAUUUGUCACUCCGUGUGACGGAGAGGUAUCUCGGGGCCCACUCGGUAAUACAACAUCACACACAAGCCUUGCAAGCAAUGUGACUUAGUGUAAGUUACGGGAUCUUGUAUUACGGAACGAGUAAAGAGACUUGCCGGUAAACGAGAUUGAAAUAGGUAUACGGAUACUGACGAUCGAAUCUCGGGCAAGUAACAUACAGAAGGACAAAGGGAAUGACAUACGGGAUUAUAUGAAUCCUUGGCUCUGAGGUUCAAACGAUAAGAUCUUCGUAGAAUAUGUAGGAUCCAAUAUGGGAAUCCAGGUCCCGCUAUUGGAUAUUGACCGAGGAGUCUCUCAGGUCAUGUCUACAUAGUUCUCGAACCCGCAGGGUCUGCACACUUAAGGUUCGACGUUGUUUUAUGCGUAUUUGAGUUAUAUGGUUGGUUACCAAAUGUUGUUCGGAGUCCCGGAUGAGAUCACGGACGUCACGAGGGUUUCCGGAAUGGUUCGGAAACGAAGAUUGAUAUAUAGGAUGACCUCAUUUGAUUACCGGAAGGUUUUCGGAGUUACCGGGAAUGACGAAUGGGUUCCGGGAGUUCACCGGGGGGCAACCCACCCCGGGGAAGCCCAUAGGCAUUGGGGGUGGCGCACCAACCCUUAGUGGGCUGGUGGGAUAGCCCAAGAGAGCCCUAUGCGCCAUAGGAAGAAAAAUCAAAGAGAAAAAAAAGAGGAGGUGGGAAAAAGGGGAAGGACUCCUCCUUCCAAACCUAGUUGGACUCGGUUUGGAAGGGGAGGGUUUCCCCCUUAGGUUCGGCCGACCCCCUUGGGAGUCCUUGGACCCCAAGGCAAGGCUCCCCCCUCCUCCCCAUAUAUAUACGGAGGUUUUAGGGCUGAUUUGACACAACUUUGCCACGGCAGCCCGACCACAUAUCUCCAUGGUGUUACCUCUAGAUCGCGUUUCUGCGGAGCUCGGGCGGAGCCCUGCUGAGAUAAGAUCACCACCAACCUCUGGAGCGCCGUCACGCUGCCGGAGAACUCAUAUACCUCUCCGUCUCUCUUGCUGGAUCAAGAAGGCCGAGAUCAUCGUCGAGCUGUACGUGUGUUGAACGCGGAGGUGCCGUCCGUUCGGCACUAGAUCGUGGGACUGAUCGCGGGACGGUUCGCGGGGCGGAUCGAGGGACGUGAGGACGUUCCACUACAUCAACCGCAUUCACUAACGCUUCUGCUGUACGGUCUACAAGGGUACGUAGAUCACACAUCCCCUCUCGUAGAUGGACAUCACCAUGAUAGGUCUUUGUGCGCGUAGGAAAUUUUUUGUUUCCCAUGCGACGUUCCCCAACACUGUCAACUUUGAGAUCAACGGCCACCAGUACAACAAGGGAUACUAUCUAGCUGAUGGUAUAUAUCCUUAGUGGUCAACUUUUGUGAAGACAAUCUAGAACCCCCAAGAUGAGAAGAGAAAGAGAUUUGCCCAAAUGCAAGAGAGUGCUAGAAAGGAUGUGGAACGUGCUUUUGGUGUGCUUCAAUCCCGACGGGGUAUCGUUCGAAACCCUGCACUGUCAUGGGAUGAAAGGAAGCUUUGGGAGGUGAUGACUGCUUGUGUGAUCAUGCACAACAUGAUCGUCGAGGACGAGGAUGAUGACACUAUCUUGGACCAAGGAUUCAAUUAUCAAGGUGAAAAUGUUGAGCCCAUGCACCAAGAACCGGCCACGUUCCAACAAUUUGUCCAGUUUCAUCGUGAGUUGCGUGAUUGGCACACUCAUUUGGAUCUUCAAAAUGACUUGGUUGAGCACAUGUGGGAUCAUAUUGGCAAUCAAUAGAUGUAUUGGUUAAUUUUAUGUUCAUUCAAGACAAUUUCGAUUUGGUUGUAAAACUAUUUUAUUUAGAGACAAUUUCGAUUGGGUUGAUGUGCAAACUUGUUUUGAUACGAAAAUAUGGGCAUUUUAGGCCCUGGCGGACAGGAUAGGACAACGGAUGCGGCCGCGCGCUGGGCGCACGGCCAGCGCAUCCCAGGACAGGCCCGGACACGACCCCAUUGCCCCGCCCAAACAUACAGAAUCAUGGCAAAACGAACGUCCGUUUGGGGUCGCACGGUGGAGUUAGCCUUAAUAAAGAUGCCAAUCAGCCAAUGGGUUGGGGUUUGCACGGGUUGACCAAUCCCAUUGUUAGAUUCAGGCACAAAAUUGAGGCCUCUCGGGGCGCUUGCAAUUUCGGCCGUCGGAUUGCGUUUCCAAACGAAUUCGGUUCGUCGGAUCUUGAGAUGAAUUGAUCCUGGCCGUCGGAUCGUCUCUGAUGUGACUAGCAAUGAAUAAUGUCUUUCCUUAUACACUCAUGUUGUCUCUGUGUAUUAGAAUGACUCGCGGGCCCUGGGCGGGUGGGCUCUAGCCGUUAGUGCGUGUGGUGGGUGGUGCUCUCGGUGCUUGUCCUUCUCUGCGUGUUGGCCGUGCCAUCGCGUGUUAUUUUCGAUGCUUGCCGAGGAUAGUUUUGACAUUCCACGUCUUGCCCCUUGCGUGGCACUCCGUUUGUGGCUGACUCUUGAGGGUAAAGGUGAGGAGAUCGGUUGGCUGAGACCAAAUUGUAGCCUCGCUCUUUCGUUGUCCUCCGUUUUCCUUCCUUCUUCCUCCCGUCCCAAACCAGCAGCCGCCCCCACCCUGUCGAUGAAGAUGGCCACUUGUGAGCUCCACCCUCUCUCCAUAGGAGCCAACCGCUGUCGUUUCACCUUCUCGAGAAGAUCAGGUGAAGGCCAUAUCCGCCACACCACAGAACGGUGCUUCCGCUGACACGCUCCUCUGUCGUUCCCGAGCCCGGUGACAAAGGAGAUGCACUAUCAUCCCCUCCCCGCACGAUGGUGUACGUAGGAGGUGGAUAUCUCCGCCGAGGUUGGCGUGCCUCCCUCCAGAUUUGUGCUACUGAUGGCGAUGGCAACCGGUAAGCAGCACACACCUACCACGCCAACCCCCACCACCAUGCUCCUCCGAAGGUAUGCCCACUUUGUGAUGCCUACUUAUUAUUCCUGCUGAUGCUAAUCCUCUUUCUCAUGUAAGGCUCUACCAGAUCCGCUGUUGCUCGUGUUGUUGCUCUUUGUGUUGUUGCUUCUGUCUUGGGGCGUUUGCAAUGUUGUGCCUCGCGGUAGUCAGGCAUAUCCUGCCAGCGCUUGGAGGUGGAUGUACUUAGACAGAACAAAGCAUGAAUGUCGGCAACCUCGCAUCGUCUACAUAUCCCCAGUUAUAUGCCUUUCUCUAAUUUGUUAACAACCCCAGUUCACUUUGGGUCCUUAACGUGUGUGUUCUUCUCCAAUCCAUACUCUUGAUGCUUCAUGUGAUUACUUUUGCGGCAGUUCCAGUUUGUUGCAAUGAGAUGGCUCAUAUUCUGUUGAACUCAAACUCUGUAGGCCUCCCAACAUUUUGAAGACACAUUAUCCAGUUAUUUUACUAUCUUGGUCUCAGCUAAGGAACUGUUGGAGCUUCCUUGCCACUUGAGAAGAGCUUGCAUUGCAUAUGAUGGCAAGCUCGCUCCUUUAUAGUGGUAUCAAAUGAGAGACUAUGAUGUAAGUCUGUGUGUGUGUGUGUGUUGCGAUCCCUUUUCUACAACUAGACAUGCAGGUCAGUGUUUGUGUUUGUGUGCAGAAUCUCGGGAGGGACAAAAGCAGGGCCGACCCUGAGAGGGGGGGGGGGGCGAGCGGGGCGGCUGCCCCCGGGCCCCAGGAACCGAGGGGGCCCCGCCCAGGUAUGUGAGAGAACCCGUACCCUAACCAUCGGAGUCGCCAUUAGAACAGUACAAACAGUUAUGUGUCUCAACCAAGAAGAAAGAGUAACGAAGUUGUGGCUGGGCCUUGGGCCUUGUUCUUUUCUGUAAGGGAAGAUGCGGCAUGCCUGUUGUUGGUUAAGUGGUGGUGGGCCUUAGUAGAGAACGCCCCGUUUCAGUAGGAAUUGAUGUCGUUAGUGACAAAUGCUUUGUGUACGUUGCCCUUUGCUAUGGUGGAAAAUCAGCGCUGCAUUAGGCUCAACCCUAGCAAACAAAUACUAAAAAUAAAAUAAGAACAAGAAAACUAAACAUGGUGGCAAAGACCAAAGAACCACAAGUGACACACAUGGCCAAUGGAAGGUUGGUGAUGCUGGAGCGCACGGCGACAAUAGCGAAUCAUGAAUUACAUGGUCGGUAUUCUUGUUUUCCAUGCAUUGUACUACUCAUGUUGAUAGUUAAUUGUGUGUUAAUUGUUUUCCAUGCAUUGAAAGUAUUCUUGUUUUCAUCACCUAUAUUUAGUGAUCAUCUACAUUUUCUCAGUAUCCUACUUUGGUAUUAGAAUGUGUAUGUGGAGAGUGAAUUUUUGGAACGUGCGUGCAUUGGAAGACUUUAUUUUGAAUAUUUUAAAAGUCACGUUUGAAAUUUCAAAAAUCCCAAAAAUAAAUCUACAUGAUUAUAUGGAUUGGUAUUCCUCGUGUGUAAAGUUUGGUCAUGAAAUAAGUAAACAUGUGAGCCAUACAAAAAUUACAAAAUGAUGAUUUCAAAAUACAUGCAUUGUUCAUCUUUUUGAAAUCAUGAUUUUGUCAUAUGUGUGUAACUCACAUGGUUACUUAUCUUACCAUCAGAAUUUGCACUUGUGUAACAUACAUCCGUAUGAACAUUUGGAGUAAUUUUUGAAUUUUUUGACAUUGUUUAAAAUAUAGGUCUCCAAUGCACCUGUCCACCAAAGUGACUUUUUGGUAUAUGUGAGGCUAACUUGCAUGACAAGUCGAGUGGAAACCAUACUGCACUUGUCGGCAACAAUAAUAUGAUUUCAUAGAAGUAAUCUUUUGAAUUAAUUUUCUUUGCGACGACUGAAUUCUAUUGUUGUUGGUAUGAUACCAUCAACCUUGACACUGUUCCUUUGAAUAUUAAAGAAAAAUAAGGACCUUAUAUUCUAAUUUCGCCCCGGCCGCCCAAAAACUCAGGACCGGACCUGGACAAAAGAGAAGCUCAGGAGGGGCAAAAGAGGGGGUCGUUGGGAGAUGACCAAAGGGCAAGGACGGGGAAGUGCAUCACAACACCACUGCCCUGUUUCUCUUUUUGUCGCUGACUCGGCUUAGGGUGCUCAUUUGUACCCAUGUUGGAGGGUAUGUUUGUCUUCUUUCCUAUAAUUUCCUUUAUUGUAAUUACCAUUUGGGAGUAGGCUACGAAGUACUUGGCCUAGGUGUUUGAAUUUAUAGGGACAGACAUGUUAUUUGUUGCCUUGGUUAUAUUGAUAUAUAUGAGGAAUUUCAUUGUGUGUAUGCGUACAUUUCUUUUGUUAUGGAUUUUAUUUGCUCGGCAAAGUGCAAAACAACGAAAAACAUCAUGUAUAGCUAUUUCAAAUGCAAGAUUAGGAGGUGCUCCUCUUUGCUUUUCAUUUCCGCACUUUGAUUUUGACUUGCUAAUAUAUGGGCUUUUCUAAAAUGGACAUUCAUAGAUCUAGGAAAGAAGAGAAGAACAGGAAAUCUGAAAACUAUCAAAGAGGCUCCGAAUGAUGAAUAUUUUGAGAUGUCGACACACAUGGUAAAACAUGUUUUGGUACGUUAGUGCUAAGCAUGCUUAUUUUUAAACCUGAAACAAUCUUUAUAUUGGCGGGCUCUCUAAAUCAUUAAUUUGAAUUUCACUAAUUCCUUUCAAUUAUGAGCUUUGAUUCAAUGUCCUGCAUUUUAGAAAGCUCAAGCUUGAAUUGCUCUGUUUCUGGAUUCAAACCUUCUUGAGUUCUGCGAUCACAAAUAUCUUACCCACAGAUAAAGAAACCUGGAUAUUCUUACACAUAAAAGGUGUUUUCUUACAUGUAGGUGCCUUCUUUUAAUCUGUGCAUGAGCCAUGUUACAUGUAGUUAGGUAAUUUAGUUAAUACAUUCUUAAAUAUAAGUUGUUUGUGUUCUUUUGAUUUUGUUUGGUUAUGAUGAGAAAAAGAAGAACUACUUCUAUGAUGGCAAUAUGGUCCAAAGUAGUGAUUUCCCAUUCACACCUCAAACUCUACAUCUUUAAUCUAUCUCAUAUUGCUGAAAUUGUGUUUUUGUUUUGUUUUGUUUAUGCCGGGUUGACUAUGAUGUGCUCAUCAUUGACUCCACCACCGCUGAUUUUGAGGAUGGUACCUCCAAGAAUGACCAAACUCGUGAGCACGUCGUCCUUGCAUUCACUCCAAUUGAUUAUCUUCUAUUUAAUAAGGUAUACGUGCUAGUAUUAAACUUUGAAACACUGAUUCUCAUGGGUGGCCAUAAGGUUUAUGUACUCUUUUGCUAUCCACUUGAUCAGAGAGGUUUAGAAUAAUUUAGUACAUUGACAUUCCCAUGUUCAUUAGUACAACAACCUUUUUUAUAAUUAGAUGGAGCCACUGAAAUUCUAUAAGUGAACAUGUUCUAUAUUAGAUUGAGUGUGAUAUAACCAAAUGUAUUUUGCCACCCCUUCAAUUGCAUGCUUAUUUUGCCGCCUCUUUGAUACUCCCUUCGUUCCUAAAUAUAAGUCUUUUAAGCGAUUUCACUAGUGGACUACAUACGGAGCAAAAUGAAUGAAUCUACACUCUAAAGUAUGUCUAUAUACAUCCGUAUGUAGUUCUCUAGUGGAAUCUCUAAAAAGACUUAUAUUAUGGAACGGAGGGAGUACAUAGCUUAUCUCAAAAAGAGUUUUAUCUAUUCAUGAGCAAACAUUACUGUUUAUGAGCAUGUGUUUAUGCGAAUUUUUCUCUGGGCAGGUGUGACAGCCCGGUGCCGACGUUUCAGAAGAUUCCCCUUUUCUUUCCGUUGCCGUCGUGUGGGUAUUUUCAUUUGUCGCAUCAUCAUCGCAUCAUGCGCAUCAUCAGCAUUGCAUCGGCAUCCCGUUGCCGCUAGUUUUUCAAAACUUGCAUCCGUUAGUAGUUGCCGGUUCUCGACGUUGCCCGUUCUGAGUCCGACCGCACACGCACGCGCCCGCGGCAUCGUCGUAACCCUGUUUUAAAAGUGUGCGUAAAACUUUCUCUGAUCGAGGUGAAACUUGGCACGCGGUCGUGAUUAGUUAUAGCUAGGCCGCCUGUCAAAUUUCGUCGCGAUCGGAGUUCGUCUGGUACCCGAACGGUCGUCCGUAGCGGCACCGUCUUCGGUCUACCGCGGACGUCUGUCGAUGUUUUUAAAUCGUUGUCGCGCCGCCCGUUCUCCCUCUCUUCUCUGGAUAUCCCCUCUACACGGUCGCGUACCCAUACCCGCGUUCGGAAUCGUCCGAAUCCGACCGCACGGUUGGAUCCGGAACGAAAUUCUGCUAAACCUAGCCCCCCAUUGUCUAUAAAUAGACAACCUCCCCUUUCAUUUUUAGUCUCCCCUAACCCUGCCUCAAAAACCGCGCCCAUAAAACCCUAGUCGCGCAGCCUCUCUCCUCCCUCCAGCCGCCGGGCCCGCGAAGCCCAUCUGGGGCCCGCCCAAGCCCGGAUCCAGCGCGCCCCCAUCCGGCUCCCUCCUCCUCCCGAUCUGCUCCUCCCGCGCCUCCCAUGGCCGCCGUGCCCUCCGGUCGCCGCCUCGUGCCGCCGCCCUUGGCCGAGCCGUGCUGCCGGAGCCGCGACAGCCAGCGAUCGGUUCCCGCGCCACCCCGCAGCUCGCUCGGGCCCCCGUUGCGCCGCCGCCGGCCGCCGCAACUCUUCCCGCCGGCAGCCGCGCCGCCUCUUGCUGCUAGCAGCUCGCGCAGCCACCUCCUAGCCCUGCCAGCGCCGCCAGCCUCCGGCCGCGCAGCCCCUGUCGCGCUCCGCCAGGCUGCCCCCUCGGUUCCCGCGUCGAAUCCGGCUAGCCCGAGGACGACGAGGUUCUUCCUUCUCCAGCCGCUGCGAGCUCCGUCGGCGGCCGAUCCAGACCGGGAUCCCGUCCCGUGAGCGUCCCAGCCGACCCAGCAACCAGCUCGGCCUCCCCCUCCGCGACCGACCCAGGUGCGCCCCAGAUCCGAGCCGGCCCACCUCCUCGCCUCGGCCAGGGCGGCCCCGAGGCCCAGGUGAGACUACUCCCUCGCCCCCAGCGCACCGUAGGCGUUUUACGCCCAGUUCGACCCGAUGGGCUUUUAGAUUAUUUUCUUUUUCCGGUUUAGUUGUAUUCAGGAAUUAGCUAAAUAUAUAAACGUUCGUAACUUUUGUUUGGUAAGUCGGUUUGAGGCGUGUAGCAUAUGGAUUUCGCGUAGUUUUGCGCGUAGAAGACGAUUAUCCAACUUGCAUAAUUAUUUGACGUAGUUUUAAGUGCCAAACGCCUAGUUUAACGUGCUGUCCUAUAUUGUUUCGUUCCGUAUUUAUUUUUCUUGCGGUCCGGAUUGCUCGAGUACCUUAGAAAAAAUGCGCAUGUUCUAGGGACUAUUUUCCCAUGUAUUUUAGAGUGGUCAUUUGUAUUUUUGCGUGUAUGGAUUGCCGGUAGUUUAUUUAUCCGUAUCUAGGUUAUUUAUCUCGCAUUUAUGUGUGGCUAUAUUUUGUGUUGCAACCCCACAUAUUUUAUAUGUUUCCGGGGUAGAAAAAUCCAUUGGAUUUUUCUGUGCAAUUAGUUUUAGCUUUCGAGUUAGUUAGUUCGCGUGAUAUUUUGCCGUGAUGCCCUUUUGUUUAUUAAGUAGGAUUUAUUCCAUGCGUCGUGUGACAGAGUUGUCAACUAGGAAAGUUGUUCUUGGGUGUUUAGACUAGCCCCGGGUAUUUUUGUUCACAAUAGAAAUGCAUGUUUAGGAGUGUUUGCUUGCUCUCAAGUUGCUAGAAAUAGUGUUGAUUUGGAGGUGCUGAAAUAUUUCUAAGUCGGGAAUCAGUUAUUAUUUUGUUGCUGUUUUGUUGCUUCUAUCUUGUGAUCCGUAGCUCUUUUGAGGUUGGUCCAAUGGAGUUAGUUGUACCCAUUGUGUUUCUCUAGCAUGCUGCAAAUUGUCAUGCCAUAUGGAGUCCUUUAGCUAUAGGUUUUGCUGCUGUCAAUAUUGCUUCAGAUGAAAAACUGCACUUUCAUGAGGUGUAAUUUUCACAAAGUCUGAAAUAGUGAGUGGGAUGCCUUUUUGUGACUUCUUUCCCUAGUGAUCCAUGAUGCCAUGCUAGUUGUUGUUAGUUGUUUGAAGUAGUGCUUCUUGCCCUCUUCCGUGCCAUUCCUUGCGUGAGCAUAUCGGAGUUGUGUAGCCGUAGUUGUGGGGCGUAGAAAAUGCUAUGUGGCUGAUUUUGGCAGAUUGUAGUGAUUUCUUGAUUUGCUCGUAUCUUUUGAACCGUAGCUCCGUUUUGAUAGUGACCUACAUGAAACUUGCUUAGAAUCUCGUGUAGUUUCAUUUUAUCUUGCUGGUUGUAUGUUUUGAAGUGCUCGUGACCGUCGUUGCACACAUAUUGCAUUCAUGCCAUCAUAUCUUGCGGUGCUUGUAUCUUUUGAUCCGUAGCUCCGUUGGAGAUGUUCUUUAUGUGUAGAUUGCUUUAAAUGACGCGUAGAACCACGAGAACCUAUUUGUUUUGCUAUUUAACAACUAAUUAAAUGUGUUAACUUUGAUCUGGACAGAAUUGUAAAUUAACAUGUGAGGUCGUCUCGGAGAUGUUAUAUGUCAUUUCCGACCUCACUUAAAAUGUCUAGAUAGGUAGUUUAAUUCCCGCUUCACCUCUUGCAUGUUUGACGACACUAAUAUUGCCGUGUAGAUAACCGGGAGUGAACUAUAUAAUUCAUAUGUGGAGUUUCGUCAAUAUGCAACUCGUUGCAUAUUGAACCUCACUUAAUGUGUAGUGUUUGAUUGUGUGAAUUGUGAUGCCGUGACUUGCAUGUAUUCAACUACUCAUGCAUCAUAUGUGUUGUGCAUCGUGUGGUGAAUUCCGUGUGUUGAUUUGUGUUUCCGGUUUGCUUCGUCUCGAUAGAGUUCCGCAGCGUGCCGGAUUGUGAGGACCCGUUCGACUACGUCGGUUCGUCUGCUUCACGGAGGCAUUCUUCUUCCAAGCGGGAUCUCAGGCAAGAUGACCAUUUCCUCAGAUACCAUUACUGUCAUUGCCAUGCUAGUUAUUUCGAUGCUAUCGUUAUGUCUCGUUGCCUACCACCUGUUAAAUAUCAGCCUCUCAACAAUGCCAUGAAACCUUCAACCUGUUCAACCUAGCAAACCACUGUUUGGCUAUGUUACUGCUUGCUUAACCAUGUUGUUAGCGUUGCUAGUUGCAGGUGCAUUGCUUCCAUGUGAAAGCAUGGGUUCCUUGUUAUAUCACCAUAUUAAAUAAUAUUUAAUUUAAUGCACCUAUAUACUUGGUAAAAGGUGGAAGGCUCGGCCUUUCUAGCCUGGUGUUUUGUUCCACCUUUGCCCCCUUAGUUUUCGGCUACCGGUGUUAUGUUCCAUAAAUGAGCGCUCCUAACACGAUCGGGGUUGUUAUGGGGACCCCCUUGAUAAUUCGUUUUAGAUUAAAGCCGGUCUAGCAGGGCCCAACUUUGGUACUACAUUUGCCUAAUAACUAAUGAACUGCAUAGGGAGUAAUUAACCCAAGGAAAUUUAAUCAACCCCCCGGGCCAGUGCUCCGCAUGAGUGUUGGUCCACCCACCUAGCAGUCGACGGUGCCACCACGGGGCAACUCGAGGUUUGGUUCCCGUCCACUUUGCAUAGACGGUGUGUCCUGAGAACGAGAUACGCGGCUCCUAUCGGGUUCGUCGACACACCGGGUGGCCUUGCUGGAUUAGAUUUACCUUUGACGAGAUAUCUUGUGCAUCGGGAUUCCGGUGAUGCUUUGGGUAAUCUCAGAGUUGAGGUUUUCCACUAGGGAAUCCGACGGGAUCGCGAGCUUCGUGAUUGAGGAUUUCUAUGCGGCUUGUGGUAAUUUGUGAUGGACUAGUUGGAGCAUCCCUGCAGGGUUAAAUCUUUUCGGAAAGCCGUGCCCGCGGUUAUGUGGCAACGUGGAAGCUUUGUUUAACACUGGUUCUAGAUAACUUGAAGUUAACUUAAUUAAAAUAUGCCAACCGUAUGCGUAACCGUGACUGUCUCUUUCGUGAGUUCCUUCUCCGAUCGAGGACACGGUGGGGUUAUGUCUGACAUAGGUAGGUGUUCAGGAUCAUUCAUUUGAUCAUCAGUAGGUCACGUCCGUUAUGCGUAGAUCAUUCCCCCUCUUAUUUCUUGUACUCGUAAGUUUAGCUACUAAAUUUAUGCUUAGCCGCUGCUGCAACCUCACCACUUAACCAUGCCUCAUCCAUUAAGCUUUGCUAGUCUUGAUACCUUUGGAAAUGAGAUUGCUGAGUCCCCUGUGGCUCACAGAUUACUACAACACCAGUUGCAGGUAUAGGUAAAGGUUACUUGACGCGAGCGCGUUGAUUGUUCAUUUGGAGUUGCUUCUUCUUCUUCUUCUUCUUCUUCUUCUUCUUCUUCUUCAUCGAUCUAGGAUGGGUUCCAGGCCGGCAGCCUGGGAUAGCAAGGAUGGACGUCGUUCUUAUUUUUCUCUUUUGUUUUCGUCCGUAGUCGGACCCUGCUCUUACUCUUGAUGAUUAUGUAAUGUACUGAUGUGACUCUAAUGGAGCUUGUGACGAGUGUAAGCCAAUUCUAUAUAUAUUUCUUUUCUUUUCAGUACAUGUACUUGCAACGAUAUCCAUUCUUGCGACACGACGAGAUGCGCUUCUAUCCCUGACGAGGCCCUCGUGCCAAAUUGAGGAUAGGGUCGCAUCUUGGACGUGACAGCAGGUUUGCUUUCUACUUCUGGACGAUUGGUUGGUCGCAAACAAUUUAUGCAGGAACACUAACUCUUGUGUCUGGGUUUUGGCUGGUUUCUUCUUGAGGAUAGCUAGGACGACCAUUUGAAAUUUUGGACUAUGCUCAGCGAGGUGUCGUUAUUUGAGCGGAUACAAUGGCCUUGCUCCAUAUGAUAGGUAGUUCUUCUUUGCUUUCAUUGGCUACAUGUACUUCUGUAGCCCGCUGAUUCCUGCACAACUCCUUCAUAAUUUGUUUUAUAUGUGUGCAUGUAGAAAAAUUAAUGGGUAUUGCUGAGGAAGCGAGCUACCGGUGUAAGUUUGAGGAAGAGAAGAAAAAAACAAGUGAGUUUGAUUGGUAAGUUCGUAAGCAGAAAAAUGUGGGUUGCGGUGUUUGCGCCUCUGAAUUUUCUCAUUAUUAUUUUCAGAAAGGCAUGUUAGUGGAAGAGUUAAGAUGUUUGGAAUUUUACAGAGCGAGACAAAUAAAUUUACUAAUCCAGUAUCAAAUCUGAGAUUUGUAAGUUGCAACAAUGAUGUUAUUAGUAAGACUAAAAUAUAGUUCAAGAUCAAGUUGUGUGUUCUCUUACCAAUCUCAUUGACCUUUGUUGCACCACUGAGUGUAAUCAGAGUAUAAUUGUAUUGUUGCUUCACGGUGCUUUCCAUCAAGAUAUAUGGUAUAUGCUCAUCCUAUGCAAUUUAAUUGUUAACUACUCCCUCCAUAAAUUAAUAUAAAAACGUUUAGAUCACUAUUUUAAUCAUCUAAACACUUUUAUAUUAAUUUGCAUAGGGAGUAAGAGAGCGAAUAUUCAAUUUGGCUCUAGGGAGCAUAUGCUCCUGCAUGUUAAAAAUGGAUUUUACAAAUGUAUUUUUUUUUGAAAAAAAUAGAUGUGUUCGUGGUCACACUCAAAUGACACAUGUAAAUUUACAGGUGAAAAACGUAAGUAUUUUGGCAUGUGCAAAAAGAACAAGUCAAACGUCAAAUGUUACCUUCAAAUGUUACACUUAAUUUUGUUUUUUUCACCAACGAAGCACCGCUAUCCCAUAUAGCAUGAAAAUUGGCAAGCACACUUGCCACACUAAUAUGAACAACUACAAAAAAAUUCAGAUUUUUUGAAACUUAUUUACUAUUUAUUUUGAUUUACUGUUCAUUAGGGAGCAUAUGCUCCCCAAAGCCAAAAAAGAGAAAAAAGAGAGGCGAUUUCCUAUGUAUGGUGGUAGCUACGCACCCUUUAGUAUAAGUGCUUUUUUUGAUAUACGAAGUGUCGAUUUCAAUGGAAUUGGCACAAAUGCAUUUUUGUUGUAGAUGAAUGACUUUUUCACUUUUAUUUAUCUUUUUUGUUACCUUUUUAACACAAGUGUCUUUUUGUUGUGUAGAAAGGACGUUUUUCACUUCUCUCGUUCUUUUUUUCUUACCCUUUUGGCAUAAUUACAUGUUUGCUUGACUAGAUGGUCCAAAACAAUGAUAUUUUUGCUAUAGAGUUAUUUUUCAUAUUUCAAAAUAAUUUAUUAAAUUAAUUAGAGAUAAAAAUUGGGGCCAUUUGUAGCUACCAUCAUGGGUAGUAAAUUAUUUUUCUACUUUAAAAAAUCAUCCCACCUUUAUAUUUGUGCACAACAUCACUUAUCAUGUUGUUUCUCGUACGACGUUGUGAAAGAAUUCAUAUGAUUUUUUGGGGUCGUCAAGUGUUUGUAUGGGGGUGAUUUAUUUUCUUCCGUUGCAACGCACGGGCAUGUAUGCUACUCCCUCCGUUCUUAAAUAGAAGUCUUUUAAGUGAUUUUACUAGGUGUCUACAUACGAAGUAAAAUAAUUGAAUAUACACUCUAAAUAUGUCUAUAUACAUUCGUAUAUAGUUCACUAGUGAAAUCUCUAGAAAAACUUACAUUUAGGAACGGAGGAAGUAGUAUGUAUCUUUACCUACUAAUAAAGCAAAUAUUGCUUCUGCCGUACGUCAUUCAAAUUGUCCCUAAAGUUGACUAAAAUUACCCACCAAUGUCACCUAUAAGUCAUAAAAAAACGUUUCAAACAGGAAAACUCAGGACUGGGCCGGCCCAUCUAGGCACCUCCUAUAUUACGUUCUGGGCGUUGGAAAAAGAUGCAGCACACCUGUUUGGACCGGCCCAUGAGUGGGCGCGUGUUUUUUAGUUUUGUUUUUUGAUUUUUCUUUUCAGUUCCAUUUUAUUUUCUACUUUAAAUAAUUUAGAACUUCAAAUAGCUUUUCUCCAUUUUAAGAAACACAGAAUUUCGAAAUAAAAUAUUCAAAAUAACUUUUUUUUUGAGAAUUUAAAAACUACUGGAGAGUUUUGAAAAAUGUUUGCAUAUACAAAAAAAGGUUUAAAUUUUGAGAAAAUGUCCAUAAAAUAAAAAAAGUCAAUAAUUUUAAACAAAAGUCCGUGUAAAAAUGUUAAAAAUAGUUCGUGCCUCUGGUUUUAGUCUCGUUUUUUAUUUUCAUUUUUCUGUUCCAUUUUUGAAUUUAAAUAAUUUAGAACAUUGAAAAAGUUUUGCAAUUUAUAAAACUGAGAGUUUUGAAAAAUCAUAAAAUGUUUGAAGAAAACAUAAAACGUUUGUGAAUUCAAAAAAUGCUCGGGAUUUUUCUAAAAGUGUUUGCAUAUUCAGAAAAAUGUUCAUAAUUUUGAGAACAAUGUUCGUGAAAACAAUAAAAGUCCAUGUUUUUGAAAAAAAAUUACGUAUAUUUUUGAGUGCAAUUGAAAAAAUGUUUGCUAAUUUAAAAAAUGUUCAUACAUUUCAAGGAAUGUCCUAAAAUUUUAAAGACAUAAUAUAGUCAGCAUCAUUGAGGAUUAUAAUUGUUUUUCUCGCGUUGCAACGCACGAGCUCUUUUGCUAUUAUAUAUAAUAUAAUAAAGCGCCGAUCGCUUCGGUCAUCCGUCGUGCCACUUCUACAAAAAAAGCCUACGGUGUUUCCUGAGAUCAAGCCACAGUCCGGAUUUAAGUCAGAAAACGAAUCGUUUUUUGAAUUUUUCAGAAAACCCUUGAUGUUUCAGGUAAUCAACCCGCAGUCCGAAUUUAAGUUAAAAAACGAAUAGUUUUUUGCAUUAUUCAGAAAACCCCCUGAUGUUUCUGGUAAUCAACCUGCCCUCCGUAUUUUAAUAAAAAAACCCUAACUUUUCAGUUAAUUAAUCUAAAUUUUAUCUAAAACAAAAUUAUCCAUAUCUUUUAAACCGUAACUCCGAUUUUAACAUGUUAUAUAUGAAAUUUGAUUUAAAAAAUAUGUAGAAUCUAAAUAGGAUGUUAUUUUUAUCUGUUGAAUACUUCUUAAAUAUUAUUUUUGGUGCAAACUUAAUCUGUAGUGUACGGUCCUUUUUUCUCUUUUUCCGGCGACGAUACGAAUUGCAAUAAACAUCCAUUAAAUUAAAACCAAAUUGAGAGGAAAGAAAACAUCGUUAACCACACAUGCACAACUUUGAAAAACCUCAUGGGAAGAAACAACAUAUUUCUCAUCUUAUUCCGAGUGACUGUACAUUUAAACACGUUUUCGUUGUGUGAGCACUAACGCCAUCGUCGGCAACACAAAUGUGAUGCCAUGUGAAAAUAUAUUAUGUUCAGAGCGUGUGUUAUUUUCUCUUCCGUUGCAACGCACGGGCUCUUUUGCUAGUAUAUAUUAAAGGGACUAUUGUUUCUCCACUAUUUUUGGUCUAGCCUGGAUUUUGUACGUUGAGUCACAAAUUUCGUACAUCACGUUGUUCCUGAGUUGUCUUUUUUAUUCUGAAAAAGCCAAAAAGUGGGGCCUAACCCAGGACCUUUCAGUUUUGGGCUAAUCGUGUUAGCCAUUGGACCAAGACGUGCUUGGCGACUUGAGAGUUUCCAAAUGAAUGGUAAACCCUUUUCACUAUACGUUGAACUUUUUUAGAUUAACAUAAAUAAAUUAUUGCAUGACUUUUAUCAGAAAUAACCUCAAAUAAAUACGUAUAUGCAAUGCUUGUGAUAAUAUUCAAGGUAGUCAUGUCCUCAUCACUUCCCACAUUGUCUCCAGCCCAAUCCGCAUCUGUGUACCCAAUGAGAUCAAACUUGACAUCCUUGGGGUGCCAUAGACCCAACUUUGAGGUGUGAACAAUGUAUCUAAGAAUAUGCUUAACCGCCUUAUGAUGACUUUUCCUAGGGUAAGCUUUAAAUCUUGCACAGAUGCCUACACUUAACAUGAUGUCCAGUCUAGAUGCACAAAGAUAAAGCAAAGAACCAAUUAUAGAGUGAUAAAGAGAUGGGUCUAAUGGGAUAUUGUUUGUAUCUUUGUUAAGGGCAAAUUUGGUUGGCAUGGGCUACUUGCAUGGAAUGGCGUCAGUCAUUCCAAACUUUGCAAGAAUGUCCUUGAGAUACUUGGUUUGAGACAAGAAAAUUCCUUCUUGACAAUGUUGAAUUUGAAAACCAAGUAAGAAACUCAAGUCCGCAUUAAGUGACAUCUCAAAGGUCUUGGUCAUGGAAUCAACAAACUUCUUGCAUAAAUGGAUGUUAGGAGAACCAAAAAUGAUAUCAUCUACGUAAAUUUGGCAUAAGAUCAAAUCACCCUUUUCCCUCUUUGUGAAAAGAGUCGGGUCGAUCACCCCUCUCACAGAACCAUCAUCGAGUAGAAACUUAUUAAGGUGAUCAUACCAAGCACGAGGUGCUUGUUUGAGGCCAUACAAAGCCUUGUGAAGUUUGUACACAUAGUCUUUGUGAUAGGGGUCAAUGAAAACGGGUGGUUGUGAUACAUAUACUUCUUCUUGUAAAUGACCGUUGAGAAAAGAACUCUUCACAUCCAUUUGAUGUAAAGUAAAACCAUUGAAAGAAGCAUGAACAAGUAACAUGCGAAUUGAUUCAAGACAGGCAACAGGGACAAAGGUCUCAUCAAAGUCCAAACCUUCAACUUAUGAGAACCCUUGAGCCACUAACCUUGCCUUGUUUCUGAUGAUUACACCAUUCUCAUCUUGUUUGUUCUUGAAUAUCCAUUUUGUUCCAAUGACAUUGUGCUCCUUGGUUCGUCUUUUGACUAGAGACCAUACUUUGUUGUGCUCGAAGUUGUUCAACUCUUCUUGAAUCGCAACAAGCCAUUCGUUGUCUGUCAAUGCAUCCUGUGCCUUGAGUGGCACAACACUAGAGACAAACUAAAAAUGAGCACAAAAGUUUGUCAAUUGUUUACGAGUAACUCUACCUUCCGAUAUCCCGGUAAGAAUUUGAUCAACAUCAACACGACCAGCCACACGAUGAAUGAUGGAGGUUAAGGUUUCACGAGGUUCAACUUUGUUCCCAUCAUCAGCAUAUUCAACAUAAGGAUCUGUAAUGUGUGGUGGAAGAUCUUAUUCAUGCAUCAUUUGUUGAGGUUCAUCAUCAUUUAAGGUUCGUCGUCAUCGACAUGUGCAUGUUCUUGUUCUUGUACGUGAUGAUGAAUUUGUUCUUGUUCUUGUACUUGAUGGUGGACAUCUUCUUGUUCUUGGAUUAUGGACUCCUCUUGAGGGAUGAGAUCUUGUGGUGGUGUAGGUGUAGUGGUUGGUUGAGCAUGAGUGGUGCUUGUGUCCUCAUCUUCACCUUCACAAGGAACAUGUUCCAUUGGAAGGAGAGCACCUACACCCAUGGUUAAAAUGUCUUGAGAAGGAUCUUCAUCACCUGCAUCACUUAGAUCAACUUGCUCCCCAUGGGAGCCAUUAAAUUCAUCAAACACCACGUCACAAGUUUCUACAAUGCAUCCGGUGAAUUUGUCGUAGACCCUAUAGGCAUGGGAGUUUGAUCGAUAACCAACAAAUAUUCCUUCAGAUGUUUUAGAUUGAAAUUUUCCUAACCAUUCGCUCUUGUUGAGAAUGAACCAUUUGCAACCAAAUACCCGAAAAUAAUUGACAUUUGUCUUGUUUACGGUUAUGAGCUCAUAUGGUAUCUUCUCCAAGAUCUUAUGAAGGAAGAGACGGUUUGAUGCAUGGCAUGCGGUGUUCACGGUUUUUUUCCAAAAGCUAUGAGGUGAUUUGUACUCAUCCAGCAUGGACCUUGCCAUCUCCACAAGUGUGUCGUUAUUCCUCUCGGCUACCCCCAUUUUGUUGUGGGGUAUAUGGCGUGGAGUAUUGAUGCUCAAUUCCUUCAUCACUAAUAAGCUCUUCCAAGGUGUAGUUAUUGAAUUCAGAUCCAUUGUCACUUCUUAUUGCUAAGAUUUCUUUGUCAAACUUGUGUCGAGCUUUCUUGGCAAAAUCAAUGAAGGCGAUCUUUGUCUCGUUCUUGGAUUUGAGAAAGAACACCCAUGUGUAUCUUGAGUAAUCAUCAACAAUGACAAACCUAUACUUCUUUCCACCAAGACUAUCCCAUGAAGGAGGCUCAAAUAGAUCCACAUGAAGGAGCUCUAAAGGUCUUGAAGUUGACACUAUAUUCUUGGGGUAUGCUUUGUUUGAUGUUACUUCCCGGCUAUGCAUGCACUACACACACAAUCUUUCUCAAAAGAUAUAUUUGUUAGUCCAAGGAUGUGUUCACCCUUUAAGAGAUCUUGAAAAUUUCUAAUGCCGACAUGGGCUAGCUAACGAUGUCAUAGCCAUCCCUUGUCGGCCUUGGCCAUGAGGAAAGUUUCAUGGAAUGUGCUCUCUUUCGAGAAAUCAACCGUGUAAAGGUUACCAUCCAACUCCACCACAAAGGCAACUUCAAGAGUAUCUCUCUUAAAUACUUUUACAUCCGUUAGUCCAAAUAUUGUAUCAUAACCAACAGAAGCCAAUUGAGGAACGGAAAGCAAGUGAUAUUUUAUGGGAUUGGACAAGCAUGUCAUUUGCAAGUGACAUGUCAUUGGUGAUAGCCACCUUACCCAACCCAAGUACCUGUCCUUUAGACCCUCCACCAAAGACAAUGCUUAUAAAUGGUCGAAUAGCUUCCAUGAAGUCCAUGAGCAAUGUGCCAUCUCCGGUCAUAUGAUUGGUGCAUUCGCUAUCAAUCACCCCUUUCACUCCACCGGAUAAGGCAUCCUACACACAUUUCAAGUCUUGGUUAGAGGCACCCGUUUUACAAUGGAACCUCUCAAGUUAGUAGCAAGGGUCUUAGGAAACUAAAUUGCGUAGAAACGAAAGGCAUUCCUAGGGCCAACAAAUUGUGCAUAAACAUCUCAAUCUUUUGCCUUACGAAGCACAUAUGAUGGAGGCAUACAUUCUUUUGGCUUGUUAGGAGUAGGCUUGCCCCUUGUGACCUUCCUACUCGUAACCUUCCCGACGUUACCCAUUCCUUUAUCCGUGUGCCCUUCUCGCACAAAUAUCUCCUUGAGGGGAGUCGUGGACUUGUGUGUCGCCAUUUUAUUUUUGCUUGUGCUUCGAUCAAAUCCAAUCCCUUCCUUAGACACUACCUCCUUGUGUUGACUCAACACUUGAUUGAGGUUCUUUUGUCCUUGGGCACAUGACAUGAGCCAUUUUUCAAUUUCAGCCUUUAGCAACCGGUUCUCCUCAAGUACGCUAGCUAGGUUACCACUAGGGUUAGUAUCAUAAGCAUAAACAUUUAUAAUAGGAGAGGAAUAAACUUUGCCAAGAGUGUUAAGAUAGGUAAGCUUGAGUUCAUCAAACUUCUUCGUAAGAAUGUUGUGCUCUUCUUCAUUUGUCUUGAGGGACAAGUGUAAGAGCUCCCAAUCCUUAGAAAGAGUAGCAUGGGAGUGUUCAAGCUUACACUUGUCAUUUAUUAACAUAUUAUAAGCACUUUUAGUCGUUUUCAAAGAGGUAAGUUCUUUAGUGUAUUUAUCAAUGUUUGUACAUAUUUUUAAACAUGAUUCAUCAUUACAUGCUUCCUCAUAUAGGACUUUCUGCUCAAGGAUUUCACAUUUCUCCUUUUCCUCAGUAACAAGGGUUUCAGGUUCCUUAAUGGAGGUGGUGUGCAUACUCACCAUCUCCAUAAGCAUACGAAACAUAAUGGGCUUCUUUCCUUUGAGAAAGCACAUGACUUUCUUCAUUUUGGCAAACAUAGCAUCACUUAUUUCAGAUUCAUGAUCAUGAUCCUCUACAUCAAGAUAUUUGUCACUAGAUGUGGUAGGGGUAAACAGAGGAGGGUUAGGUCGUGGAGUUACCUUCAUCUUGUCCGGAGAUGCUUGAUCCUCAUCGACUUCUACCACACCCUUUGUCAUGAUACAUUUGUGUGUGUUACCCUUGUAGUCUUUCAUGUAGUUGUAUGUGACAACAUCAUCACUUUUGUUGACCAGUCUCAAUGUGGUUUGAGUGUCUUGGGCUACACCUGCAACACCCCAACAUCAUCGGGUUCGAAUUCGUCUUGAGCAACCAUUGCCUUCCCAUCUAUCUUCUUGAACUUGGAGUUUAAUGGGUUGGGCAACUUUUUAUUUACAGAAGUCUUCGGAAAUCUUGGUUUGUCUUCUCUCUUCUCAUAGGGACACUCAUUUGAGAAGUGGUUGGUUUCUUCACAACCGUAGCAAGUCCUUAUUUUCUUAUUUUGGAAACUUCCCUUUAAUUUUCCUACACUAAACUUCUUCACAAAGAGGGCCAUAUCUUCAUAUGAGAGCCCGUCAUCUGAGUCAACCUCAUAACCUUCUUCCUCAUCUUCCUCUUCUUCUUCACUAACAUCAUCGUCCCUUACAUGAUUGGCCUUCAAGACAAGAUUUGAAUUGGGUGAUGAGGAGCCAUGCAUGGCAAGAUGUCUUGUAGCACUGGCAUUUGAUUCUUCAAAUAAUUGGAAGGUUGAAAUGACAUCAUCGGGAUACAUGUCCUUAAAACCAUGCUCGCUUCUUAUGUUCCAUACCAUUUGAUGGUGAUAUGGAGCAAGGGCAUUUAGAAAUUUAUCCACAAGAAAACCGUUUGGUCAAGUUGAAUCCAUCUUGACUCUUGUCACAAUCAUAUGAUUCAAUAUAGGCACCAAGUGUCAUCAGUCUCUCAAGAUGAAGCUUGGGGUUCUCAACUUUCUCCAUGCAAAAAUAUUGUAAUGCCCCUUUCCAAUCUCAUAUUAUGCAAGACGAAGAGAAGACGUCCCCGUCUUGGUCAUCACAAUGCUAUCCCAUAGUUCCUUUGCAUUUGAGAGGUGAAUGUAGGGCCUUUUCUGCUUGUUAGACAUGUCCUUUCUUAUGAGCAUGAUUGCAGUGUCAGUGACGUGCUUGUCAUAUACUUCACCCGGUGUGAGAUUCUUGGGGUUCACGGGGUUGUGACCUUUCUCCAAGAUCCCCAGGAUAUCAUUGUUCGCAAACCUAAGAUGAUCCUGCAUACCAACUCUGCACAAACAAAAAUCGACAGUGUCAUCAAGUAAAGGAGGGUUUCCCCCAGCAUUAUACAUAGGUUUAUCCACUCUAGGUUUUGCAUAUAACCAUGGAACACCGUUGUUGUCACCAACUUGAGGUUGUUGGCCCAAAUUGGGGAGAGAUGUAUUAGAUUGCUUUAUCACACCCACUGGGUUCUCAAGUGGUGGAGUUCUUGCAACUAAUGCAUCCAACAUCAUUUUUACCAAGAUCUCAAUAGAAGUAUCAUGCUCCUCUUUCUGCUAGCAAGGGCCCAUUCAAGAUCCUCAGAAGUGAAGGAUCUCCUUUCAUCCGAAGAUGAUGACCCUUUCUCAAGUGGAAGUGCAAUGAGGGUGUUCCCAUCCUUAUCCAUCCCACUCAAGUGCGGUUAAGCCACGCGAUUAGAUCAUGAGGAUCUAAUGCCAAUUGAAAGGACCGAGAUGGACCUACAGGGGGUGAAUAGGUAAAAUUACAAAUUUUAGUUGUUACUUAGCAAUUAUUAGGCAAUAAUGCGGAAUACGAAAUGUAGCCUAACAAUCGCAAGGGUGACAAGGUGAGAACUAUGAUAUACAAGUUAAGCACCUAAAUAGAUAAACAAGCCACAAUAUGAAAACAAGUUAAACACGCGAGGAGACAAGUAAUAACCACAAAUAAGGAGCUAGGGUUAGGAAAAAACGCAAGUAUGAGAGACGAGGAUGUAUCCCGAUGUUCACUUCCUUAAAGGGAAGCUACGUCGCCAUUUAGAGAGGUGGAUGUUACUGAUGACCCACAAGUGUAGGGGGUCUAUCGUAGUCCUUUAUAUAAGUAAGAGUGUCGAAUCCAACAAGGAGCAGAAGUAAAUGACAAACAUUUUUCAGUAAGGUAUUCUCUGCAAGCACUGAAACUAUCGGUAACAGAUAGUUUUGUGAUAAGGUAAUUCGUAACGGGUAGCAAGUAACAAAUGUAACAAUGGUGCAGCAAAGUGUACCAAUCGUUUUUGUAGCAAAGGACAAGCCUGGACAAACUCUUAUAUAAAGCAAAGUGCUCCCGAGAACAGAUGGGAAUUUCUGUCAAGCUGGUUUUCAUCAUGCUCAUAUGAUUCGCGUUCGUUACUUUGAUAAUUUGGUACGUGGGUAGAACGGUGCUUGGGUACUGCCCUUACGUGGAAAAACAUCCCACUUAUGAUUAACCUCUCUCGCAAGGAUCCGCGACUACGAAAGAAGAAUUAAGAUAAAUCUAACCAUAGCAUGAAACAUAUGGAUCCAAAUCAGCCCCUUACGAAGCAACGCAUAAACUAGGGUUUAAGCUUCUGUCACUCUAGCAACUGAUACGUCCAUUUUGCAUCAUGCUUUCAUGUUGAUAUUUAUUGCUUUUUGGUCUGUUAUAUUACUUGUGGUACCAUAUUUAUGCCUUUUCUCUCUUAUUUUGCAAGGUUUAUUUGAAGAAGGAGAAUCCAGGCAGCUAGAAUUCGGGACUGGAAAAGGAGCAAAUCCUAGUCCACUAUUCUGCACAUCUCCAAAUGCCCUGAAAAGUUACGUGGAUUUUUUCUGGAUUAUAUAAAAAAUACUGGGCGAAAGAACUACCGGAGGGUGGCUGCCACGGCGCCACAAGCCCUAACACCGCCACCCCCUGGUGGCGGAGUGGGGGCUUGUGGGCUCCCUGACGGCCCACUAGCCCCCCUCUUUUGCUAUAUGAAGCGUCCUCGUCCAGAACAAAUCAAGGGGGAGCUUUUUCAUGGUUUCGCCGCCGCCACAAGGCGGAACUUGAGCAGAUCAAAUCUAGAGCUCCGGCAGGACGAUCCUGCCGGGGAAACUUCCCUCCCAGAGGGGGGAAUCGUCACCAUCGUCAUCACCAACACUCCUCUCGUCGGAGGGGAGGCAUCUUCAUCAACAUCUUCAUCAGCACCAUCUCCUCUCCAAUCCCUAGUUCAUCUCUUGUAACCAAUCUUCGUCUCGCAACUCCGGUUGGUACUUGUAAGGUUGCUAGUAGUGUUGAUUACUCUUUGUAGUUGAUGCUAGUUGGAUUACUUGGUGGAAGAGUUUACGUUCAGAUCCUUGAUGCUAUUCAUUACACCUCUGAUCAUGAUUAUGAUUAUGUUUUGUGAGUAGUUACUUUUGUUCCUGAGGACAUGGGAUAAGUCAUGUUAAUAAUAGUCAUGUGAAUUUGAUAUUCGUUCGGUAUUUUGAUAUGCUGUAUGUUGUCUUUUUCUCUAGUGGUGUUAUGUGAACGUCGACUACAUAACACUUCACCAUAUUUGGUCCUAGAGGAAGGCAUUGGGAAGUAGUAAGUAGAUGAUGGGUUGCUGGAGUGAUAGAAGCUUAAACCCCAAUCUAUGCGUUGCUUCGUGAGGGGCUGAUUUGGAUCUACUAGUUUAAUGCUAUGGUUAGACUUUGUCUUAAUUCUGCUUUUGUAGUUGCGGAUGCUUGCGAGAUAGGUUAAUCAUAAGUGGGAUGCUUGUCCAAGUAAGGGCAGUACCCAAGCGCCGGUCCACCCACAUAUAAAACUAUCAAAGUAACGAACGCGAAUCAUAUGAGCAUGAUGAAACCAGCAUGACAUAAAUUCCCGUGUGUCCUCGGGAGCGUUUUUCCUCCUAUAAGACUUUGUUCAGGCUUGUCCCUUGCUACAAAAGGGAUUGGGCCACUUGCUGCACCGUUUCUACUACUUGUUACUUGUUACUCUUUGCUUGCUACGUUUCACCUCGCUACACAAUCACUUGUUGCUCUUUGCUUGCUACGUUUCAGUGCUUGCAGUUAUUACCUUGCUAAAAUCCGUUUAUCAGAUCCUUCUGCUCCUCGUUGGGUUCGACACUCUUACUUAUCGAAAGGACUACGAUUGAUCCCCUAUACUUGUGGGUCAUCAAGACUCUUUUCUGGUGCUGUUGCCGGGGAGUGAAGCGCCUUUGGUAAGUGGAAAUUGGUAAGGAAACAUUUUUAUACCGUGCUGAAAUUUAUUGUCACUUGUCACUAUGGAAACUGUUCCUUUGAGGAGUUUUUUCGGGGUAUCUUCACCAUGAAUGGAAGCACGAGGAGUUGCUCCUCAACCUGAGGUACCUACUGAAAAUAUCUUUUAUGAAAUUCCUUCGGGUAUGCUUGAGAAACUGCUGGCUAAUCCUUUCACACGAGAUGGAUCUUGACAUCCAGACUUGCAUCUAAUCUAUGUAGAUGAAGUUUGUGGUUUUAUUUAAGCUUGCAGGUUUUCCCGAGGAUGAGGUAAAGAAGAAAGUCUUUCCUUUAUCUUUGAAGGAUAAGGCGUUGACAUGGUAUAGGCUAUGUGAUGAUACUGGAUCAUGGGGCUACAAUCGGUUGAAAUUGGAAUUUCAUCAAAAGUUCUAUCCUAUGCAUUUAGUACAUCGUGAUCGGAACUUUAUUUAUAAAUUUUGGCCUCGUGACAGGGAAAGCAUAGCUCAAGCUUGGGGGAGGCUUAAAUCAUUGCUAUAUUCAUGGCCCAAUCAUGAACUCUCGAGAUAAAUCAUCACUCAAAACUUUUAUGCUCGGCUUUCUCAUGAAGAUCGUACCAUGCUUGACACUUCUUGUGCCGGUUCUUUUAUGAAGAAGGAUAUUGAUCACAAGUGGAAUUUAUUGGAGAGAAUCAAACACAACUCUAAAGAUUGGGAGCUGGAGGAAGGUAAGGAGUCAGGUAUGAAUUUCCAGUUUGAUUGCGUUAAAUCUUUUGUUGAGACAAACACUUCUAGAGAUUUUAGCGCUAAGUAUGGACUUGACUCUGAGAUAGUAGCUUCUCUAUGUGAAUCUUUUGCUGGUCAUGUUGAUCUUCCCAAAGAGAAGUGGUUUAAAUAUAAUCCUCCUAUAGAAAGCAACAUAGCCAAAACCAAUCUAGUUGAGGAGAAAGUCAUUGCUUUUAGUGAUCUUGUUGUUCCUUGUGCUUACACUGAGAAACCACCAUACCCUGCUAGAUAAAGGAUUAUUCUAAAGCUCCAACUGUGAUACGUAGGGGUUUCAUUAGACCACUUGCACCCCCUGAGGAAAUUAGAGUUGAACCUAGUGUUGUUAUUAUCAAAGAUCUCUUAGCCGAAGACAUAGAUGGGCAUGUUAUCAAAUUCUGUGAGGACUCCGCUAGAAUUGCUAAACCUCACGCGAAAGACAAACACUGACCUGUAGUUGGCCUGCCCGUUGUUUCUGUUAAGAUAGGAGAUCACUGUUACCAUGGUUUAUGUGAUAUGGGAGCUAGUGUUAGUGCAAUACCUCGUUCUCUAUAUGAUGAAAUCAAAGAUGAGAUUGCACCUGCUGAGUUAGAACCCAUUGAUGUCACUAUUACGCUAGCUAAUAGAGACACUAUCUGCCCUCUGGGAAUUGUGAGAGACGUAGAAGUCCUGUGUGGUAAGACGAAGUAUCCUACUGAUUUCCUCGUCCUUGGUACUGCACAAGAUAGCUUUUGUCCCAUCAUAUUUGGUAGACCCUUUCUUAACACUGUCAAUGCUCACAUUGAUUGCAUUAAGCAGACUGUCAUAGUAAUUUUCGAGAGUGUGUCUCAUGAAUUUAAGUUCUCCAAGUUUGGAAGACAAUCCCAUGAAAGAGAGUCGUCUGGUAGGGAUGAAAUCAUUGCUCUUGCCUCUAUUGCCGUACCUCCUACGAAUCCUUUAGAGCAAUAUCUGCUUGAGCAUGAAAAUGAUAUGCAUAUGGAGGAGAGAGAUGAGAUAGAUAAAAUUGUCUUAGAACAAUAUCCUAUUCUCAAGAAUAAUCUGCCUGUUGAACUGCUUGGGGAUCCUCCCCCACCAAAGGGUGAUCCUGUGUUCGAGCUUAAACAGAUGCCUGAUACUCUUAAGUAUGCCUAUCUUGAUGAGAAGGAGAUAUAUCCUGUCAUUAUUAGUGCUCUCCUCCCAGAGCGCGAAGAGAAGAAGUUACUAAAAACUCCGAGGAAGCACCGCGCUGCUAUUGGAUAUACUCUUGAUGAUCUUGAGGGUAUUAGUCCUACUCUAUGUCAGCACAAGAUUAAAACUGAUCCUGACUUUAAACCAGUUGCUGAUCAUCAAAAGAUAUUAAAUCCUAAGAUGAAAGAGGUCGUUAGAAAAGAAAUAUUAAAGCUUCUGGAAGCAGGAAUCAUUUAUCCUGUUGCUCAUAGUGAUUGGGUAAGUCCAGUACAUUGCGUACCUAAGAAGGGAGGUAUCACCGUCGUUCCUAAUGAUAAGGAUGAACUAAUCCCACAAAGGAUUAUUACCGGCUAUAGAAUGGUGGUAGACUUCCGGAAACUGAACAAGGCAACCAGGAAAGAUCAUUAUCCUUUGCCGUUUAUCGACCAAAUGCUAGAAAGGCUAUCAAAGCACACUCACUUCUGCUUUCUAGACGGUUAUUCAGGUUUCUCGCAGAUACCUGGUGCACAAUCUGAUCAAGAGAAAACCACUUUCACCUGCCCUUUCGGUAGCUUUGCCUAUAGACGUAUGCCUUUUGGCUUAUGUAAUGCACCUGCUGGAAUUCUGGACUAGAAAAGGAGCAAAUCCUAGUCCACUAUUCUGCACAUCUCCAAAUGCCGUGAAAAGUUACGUGGAUUUUUUCUGGAUUAUAUAAAAAAUAUUGGGCGAAAGAACUACCGGAGGGGGGCUACCAGGGUACCACAAGCCCUGACACCGCCACCCCCUGGUGGUGGAGUGGGGGCUUGUGGGCUCCCUGACGGCCCACUAGCCCCCCUCUUUUGCUAUAUGAAGUGUCCUGGUCCAGAAAAAAAAUCAAGGGGGACCUUUUUCGUGGUUUCGCCGCCGCCACGAGGCGGAACUUGAGCAGAUCCAAUCUAGAGCUCCGGCAGGACGAUCCUGCCAGGGAAACUUCCCUCCCGGAGGGGGGAAUCGUCGCCAUCGUCAUCACCAACACUCCUCUUGUCGGAGGGGAGGCAUCUUCAUCAACAUCUUCAUCAGCACCAUCUCCUCUCCAAUCCCUAGUUCAUCUCUUGUAACCAAUCUUCGUCUCGCAACUCCGAUUGGUACUUGUAAGGUUGCUAGUAGUGUUGAUUACUCUUUGUAGUUGAUGCUAGUUGGAUUACUUGGUGGAAGAGUUUAUGUUCAGAUCCUUGAUGCUACUCAUUACACCUCUGAUCAUGAUUAUGAUUAUGUUUUGUGAGUAGUUACUUUUGUUCAUGAGGACAUGGGAUAAGUCAUGUUAAUAAUAGUCAUGUGAAUUUGAUAUUCGUUCGGUAUUUUGAUAUGUUGUAUGUUGUCUUUUCCUCUAGUGGUGUUAUGUGAACGUCGACUACAUAACACUUCACCAUAUUUGGGCCUAGAGGAAGGCAUUGGGAAGUAGUAAGUAGAUGAUGGGUUGCUGGAGUGACAGAAGCUUAACCCCAGUCUAUGCGUUGCUUCGUGAGGGGCUGAUUUGGAUCCACUAGUUUAAUGCUAUGGUUAGACUUUGUCUUAAUUCUUCUUUUGUAGUUGCGGAUGGUUGCGAGAGAGGUUAAUCAUAAGUGGGAUGCUUGUCCAAGUAAGGGCAGUACCCAAGCGCCGGUCCACCCACAUAUCAAACUAUCAAAGUAACGAACAUGAAUCAUAUGAGCAUGAUGAAACUAGCAUGACAGAAAUUCCCGUGUGUCCUCGGGAGCGUUUUUCCUCCUAUAAGACUUUGUUCAGGCUUGUCCCUUGCUACAAAAGGGAUUGGGCCACUUGUUGCACCGUUGCUACUACUUGUUACUUGUUACUCUUUGCUUGCUACGUUUCACCUUGCUACACAAUCACGUGUUACCGCUACUUUCAGUGCUUGCAGUUAUUACCUUGCUGAAACCCGUUUGUCAGAGCCUUCUGCUCCUCGUUGGGUUCGACACUCUUACUUAUCGAAAGGACUACGAUUGAUCCCCUAUACUUGUGGGUCAUCAGCAACCCAUCAUCUACUUGUUACUUACCAAUGCCUUCCCCUAGGCCCAAAUAAUGGUGAAAUGUUAUGUUGUCGACGUUCACAUGACACCACUAGAGGAGAGACAACAUACAUCUCAUCAAAAUAUGGAACGAAUACCAAAUUCACAUGAUUACUUAUAGCAAGACUUAUCCCAUGUCCUUAGGAACAAACAUAAUUACUCACAAAGCAUAUUCAUGUUUGUAAUUAGAGGAUUAUUAAUAAUCAUUAAGGAUCUGAACAUAUGAUCUUCCACCAAGUAAACCAACUAGCAUCAACUACAAGGAGUAAUCAACACUACUAGAAACCCCCAGGUACCAAUCUAAGGUUUGAGACAAAGUUCGGAUACAAGAGAUGAACUAGGGUUUGGAGAGGAGAUGGUGAUGAUGAAGAUGUUGAUGGAGAUUGGCCCCCUCUUGAUGAGAGGAUCAUUGGUGAUGACGAUGGCUUCAAUUUCCCCCUCUGGGAGGGAAGUUUCCCGAGCAGAAUAGCUUCGCCGGAGCUCAAGAUUGGUUCUGCCGAAGUUGCACCUCGAGACAGCGGCGCUUCAUCCCGAAAGUUCUAAUAUGAUAUUUUCCAAAUCAAAACCCUACAUAUAGCAGAAGAUGGGCACCGGAGGUCUGCCAGGGGGCUCACAAGCCCGCAGGGCGCGCCUAAGGGGGUAGGCCGUGUCCCCUGGCUUGUGGCCACCUGGUGGGUCCCCUGAUGUAUUUCUUUCGCCCAAUAUUUUUUAUAUAUUACAAAAAAUGCUCCAUAAGUUUUCAGGACUUUUGGAGCUGUGCAGAAUAGGUCUCUCAGCUGCCGGCAUUCUCCCUCUUCAUGUAAACCUUGUAAAAUAAGAGAGAAAAGGCAUAAGUAUUGUAUCAUAAUGUGUAUUAAUAGCCCAUAAUGCAAUAAAUAUCGAUAUAAAAGCAUGAUGCAAUAUGGACGUAUCAACUCACCCAAGCUUAGACCUCGCUUGUCCUCGAGGGAAAACCGAGAUCGAUAAAUAUGCCCACAUGUUUAGAGAUAGAGGUGUUGAUAAAAUUAAAAUACGGACAUGAAGGCAUCAUGGUUAUAUUAAGAACAACAACCCAUAUUGACAUAGAAUAUCUUAUGCUAGAGUAACAAUUCAUUCACAAGGUAAAAUAUGAAUCAAGAACUCUAUUGAGAACUAAUAAACUAUGAUUUUAGUCAUUGAAUCAAUUCCAAUUUAUCGCAACAUAGGAAAGAGUCAAUAUAAGAGCCUGUAAAGCAAAUCCACAUACUUAAUCAUCUUAUGGUAUUUCAUAAUUGCUAACACUCACGCGGUACCUAUGAGGUCAAAGCUUCAAUCGGAUAGAGAGAAAGAUAGGGGCUUAUAGUUUUGCCUCCCAACUAUUUACCUCAAGGGUAAUGUCAACAAUAAUAACUCAUGAUCAGCCACAUCCGAGUGGAUAUAUUUGUCUACAUCAUUCCCCAACACAUGAUGCUUGCCAAAAUAUAAAGGCGAAAUAAAGGAAAUGGUGAAUAUCACCAUGACUCUUGCAUAAAGGUAAAAACUAGAAAGUAAAGGUAACAGAUAGGCCAUUCACAGAGGGAAGCAGCGGUUGUCAUGCGCUUUUAUAGUUGGAUGCACAAUCCCUUAAUAAAAGGAUCGAACGAAGAAAAACGAAGAAAGUAAAAGGUGUGAUGGUAAUACGAUAUCGGGGCUCCUCCCCCAAGCUUGGCACAAGCUAAGGGGGGUGCCCAUACCCAUGUGUUUAGUUGUAUUUCUUCGGAGGUGUUGAUGUUGGAGUUGUUGGUGGGGUUGAAGGCUUGUCCUCCAUCUUCCAAGGCAUGGGCUCACCAUCAUAAAAAGAUGAACGAGUCUCCGGGAUCCUCAAGUCUGCAACCAAACUCAUUCUCUUAAAUAUGUAUUCAUACUUACAGUUUUGGAUUUGCAAGUCAUAGAUCUGGGCUUGGAGAUGCUCGAUUUUCUCGUAAAUCCUGAAGACGUGAUCCCAGAGGUCCUUAGCGUCUAGCUUCUGCUUAUGGGUAAACUCUGCGAUCAUCAGGUGAUUAGCAUUGAGUCCUCGUUCCACCAUCCCUUGGCACUUGAAGACCUGUUGCUCCAUUGCUUCGAGCCUUGUCUCCACGCUUCCGGUCUUCUUUGGCGCCUCAACAUCAUGGAUGUGCAGUACCCCCUCAAGCAUCUCAAUGGUUUGAGGGUGUUGCAGCACCUUCGCAAGGUAGGGGUAGAUACGUCUCCAACGUAUCUAUAAUUUUUUAUGGUUCCAUGCUAUUAUCUUGUCAAACUUUGGAUGUUUUGUAUACCUUUUAUAUCUUUUUUGGGACUAACCUAUUAACUAAGUGCCAAGUGCCAGUUCCUGUUUUUUCCGUGUUUUUCACCCUUUUCAGAGGAGGAUUUUAAACGGUGUCCAAAUGGAAUAAAACUUCUGAAAAGAUUUUUUUCGGAACAGAAGAUACGCACGGGACGUGAGAACCAAGGGAGGGGCCACCAAGGGACCCCACAAGCCCCCUAGGCACGGCUAGGGGGGGGCGCGCCUAGCAGGCUUGUGGGCCCCCCGUGGCUCGUCUAGCCUACCUCUUCCGCCUAUAAAUUCCCAAAAAAUCCAAAACUGCGAGAGAGAUCCACGAAAAUACUUUUCCGCCGCGGCAAGCUUCUGUCUCCGCAAGAUCCCAUCAGGGGCACAUUCUAGUUCCCUGUCGGAAGGGGGAUUCGGAUACGGAGGGCUUAUUCAUCAACACCAUGACCUCUCCGAUGAUGCGUGAGUAGCUCACCAUAGACCUUCGGGUCCAUAGCUAGUAGCUAGAUGGCUUCUUCUCUCUCUUGGAUCUUCAAUACAAAGUUCUCCAUGAUCUUCAUGGAGAUCUAUCCGAUGUAAUCUUAUUUUGUGGUGUGUUUUUCGAGAUCCGAUGAAUUGUGGAUUUAUGAUCAGAUUAUCUAUGAAUCUUAUUUGUGUUUCUUCUGAUAUCUUAUAUGCAUGAUUUCAUAUCCUUGUAAUUCUCUUCGAGUUGUGGCUUUUGUUUGGCCAACUUGAUAUAUGAUUCUUGGAAUGGGAGAAGUGCUUGGUUUUGGGUUCAUACUGUGCGGUGACCUCUCCUAGUGACAGAAGGGGCAGCGAGGCACGCAUCGUGUUGUUGCCAUCAAGGGUAAAAAUGUGGGGUUUACAUCAUUGGUUUGAGUUUAUCCCUCUACAUCAUGUCAUCUUGCUUAAGGCGUUACUCUAUUCGUCAUGAACUCAAUACACUAGAUGCAUGCUGGAUAGCGGUCGAUGUGUGGAGUAGUAGUAGUAGAUGCAGAAAGUAUCGGUCUACUUGUCUCGGACGUGAUGCCUAUAUGUAUGAUCAUUGCCUUAGAUAUCGUCAUGACUUUGCGCGGUUCUAUCAAUUGCUCGACAGUAAUUUGUUCACCCACCGUAUUAUUUGCUAUUUUGAGAGAAGCCUCUAGUGAACACUAUGGCCCCGGGGUCUACUUCACACCAUAUUUUCAGCCUUACACUUUUACUUCGUUGCACUUUCCGCCUUAAGAUCUCACUUUGCAAUCAAUCUUGAAGGGAUUGACAACCCCUUUAUAGCGUUGGGUGCAAGCUCGUUUGUGUUUGCGCAGGUACUCUGGACACUUGGCGCGAUUCUCCUACUGGAUUGAUACCUUGGUUCUCAAACUGAGGGAAAUACUUACUGCUCCUGUGUUGCAUCACCCUUUCCUCUUCAAGGGAAAAACCAACGCAAGCUCAAGAGGCAGGAGAAGGAUUUCUGGCGCCGUUGCCGGGGAGGAUCAAUUCAAGAACUCAUCCAAGUAAGUGUCGCAAACUCAUCUCUUGCAUUUACUUUUUUGCCUCUCGUGUUCCUCUCCCCCACUUCUGAAAAACAAAAAUUUACAAAAAUAUUUGCCUUUUUCGUUCGCCCUUUUCUCUCGCUUGCUUUCUGUUCGCUUGUGUGCUUGUUUGCUUGAUGAAGUCACCAUGACUGAAAACACCAAACUUUAUGACUUCUCGAAUACUGAUAAUAAUGAUUUUAUUAGUACUCCGAUUGCUCCCGCCACUAGUGCGGAAUCAUACGAAAUCAAUGCUGCUUUGCUAAAUCUUGUUAUGAAAGAGCAAUUCUCCGGCCUUCCUAGUGAAGAUGCCGCAUCCCAUCUUAAUACCUUCAUUGAGCUUUGCGAUAUGCAAAAUAAGAAAGAUGUGGAUAAUGAUGUGAUUAAAUUGAAGCUUUUUCCGUUCUCGUUGCGAGAUCGAGCAAAAACUUGGUUUUCGUCUUUGCCCAAAAAUAGUAUUGAUUCUUGGAACAAGUGCAAAGAUGCUUAUAUAUCCAAGUAUUUUCCACCGGCUAAAAUAAUCUCUCUCCGUAACGAUAUCAUGAAUUUUAAGCAACUUGAUCAUGAGCAUGUUGCACAAUCUUGGGAGAGAAUGAAAUUGAUGAUUAGAAAUUGUCCCGCUCAUGGCUUGAGUCUUUGGAUGAUUAUACAAAUCUUCUACGCUGGUUUGAAUUUUGCUUCUAGAAAUAUCUUGGACUCCGCCUCAGGUGGAACGUUCAUGGAAAUCACAUUAGGAGAAGCCACAAAACUCCUAGACAAUAUCAUGACAAACUACUCUCAAUGGCACACUGAAAGGUCACCUACUAGUAAGAAGGUACGCGCUAUAGAGGAAAUUAACUCAUUGAGUGCUACGAUGGAUGAGUUAAUGAAUUUGGUUGCUAGUAGAAGUGCUCCUUUAGAUCCUAAUGACAUGCCCUUGUCUUCUUUGAUUGAGAGUAGUAAUGUGAGCUUGGGCGUUAAUUUUGUUGGUAGGAAUAAUUUUGGCAACAACGAUGCUUUUAGAGGAAACUAUGUUCCUAGGCCUUUUCCUAGUAACCCCUCAAAUAACUUUGGCAACUCCUACAACAAUACUCAUGGAAAUUACAAUAGAUUACCCUCUGAUCUAGAGAGUAAUAUCAAAGAGUUUAUCAACUCGCAAAAGAUUUUCAAUGCGUCCAUAGAGGAAAAACUACUCAAAAUUGACGAUUUGGCUAGGAGCGUUGAUAGAAUGUCUAGUGAUAUUGAUGCUUUGAAAGUUAGAUGUGCUCCUCCCAAGAUCAAUAUGGAUGACACUUUUAAAGCUAUGCGUGUUUCCAUGAGUGAGAGCAAAGCAAGAACCGCCCAAAUUCGUGCUAGACAUGAAUGGCUUAAAAGGCAUGUUCUCGUGAUAAGAAUCACGAAGCUCUUAAAGUGGUUGGUGUGACUCCCUUUGAAUAUUUGUUUUCUAGUGUAAAACCUAAUGAUGCUAGGGCUGGAUAUGAAUCCACUUUGGUUGAAAAGCGCCCCAAUGAUUCGGAGUCCAUCUAUCUUGAUGCUAAAAGCAUUGAAAGUGGGGUAGAAGAUAUCAAAACUUUGAGUAGUAAUGAAACUACUACUUUGGAUUUCAAGGAAUUCAAUUAUGAUAGUUGCUCCUUGAUUGAAUGCAUUUCCUUGAUGCAAUCCAUGCUAAACUCUGCACACGCUUAUAGCCAAAACAAGGCAUUUACCGAUCAUAUCGUCGAUGCUAUGAUAAAAUCUCUUGAAGAGAAACUUGAGUUGGAAGUUUCUAUCCCUAGAAAGCUUCAUGAUGAGUGGGAACCUACUAUCAAAAUCAAAAUCAAAAACUAUGAAUGCAAUGCUUUAUGUGAUUUGGGUGCUAGUGUUUCCGCGAUUCCAAAGUCUUUAUGUGAUGGUCUAGGCUUUAAUGAGAUUGGGGAGUGUUCUCUUAAUUUGCAUCUUGCGGAUUCUACUCUCAAGAAACCCAUGGGAAGGAUCAAUGAUGUUCUUAUUAUUGCAAAUAGGAAGUAUGUACCCGUGGAUUUCAUUGUGCUUGAUAUUGAUUGCAAUCCUACAUGCCCUAUCAUUCUUGGUAGACCUUUCCUAAGGACUAUUGGUGCUAUCAUCGAUAUGAAGGAAGGGAAUAUUAGAUUUCAAUUUCCUUUGAAGAUGGGCAUGGAGCAUUUUCCUAGAAAGAAAAUAAGAUUGCCUUAUUAUGAAUCCAUGAUGAGGGCUACUUAUGGUUUGAGCACCAAAGACGACGAUACGUGGUUCCAUCACCUUAUGCCUAGCUAAGGGCAUUAAACAAUAGCGCUCGUUGGGAGGCAACCCAAUGAAUUUAUCUUUUUCUUUCUGUUUGUUGCGUCCACACCAUCAUAAUUCUGUUAUGAUUGUGUUUUUUGUGUUUAUUUUUGUGUUUGAGCCAAACAAAACCUUUAUGAUUAGUUUGGUGAUGGUUGUUUGAUCCUGCUCGAAAAAAGGCAGAAACUUUUCGCUCACUAAAUUAUUUUUCAUUUUUAUUCAUAAAUAGAUUUUGAGUUGAUUCUUUUUUCUUCUGGUUGAUAUGCCUUUUUCCCAGGCGUUCGUAAUUUUUCAGAAUUUGUGAGGUACCAGAAGUAUACGAAGUAUACAGAUUUCUACAGACUGGUCUGUUUUUGACAGAUUCUGUUUUUGUUUAGUUGGUUGCUUGUUUUGAUGAAACUAUGGAUAGUAUCGGGGGUACUAUCCAUGGAAAAGUGAGAAUACAGUAAUCUAACACCAAUAUAAAUAGAAAUCAAGAUUGCUACAGUACCUAAAGAGGUGGUAGUUUGUUUUCUUGUGCUAAUGAUAUCACAAGUUUCUGUUUAAGUUUUGUGUUGUGAAGUUUUCAAGUUUUGGGUGAUGUUCUCAUGGACAAAUGGAUAAAGAGUGGAAAGAGCUCAAGCUUGGGGACGCCCAAGGCAUCCCAAGCCAAAUUGAAGGACACCAAAAAGCCUAAGCUUGGGGAUGCCCCGGGAAGGCAUCCCCUCUUUCGUCUUCAAUCCAUCGGUAACAUUACUUGGAGCUAUAUUUUUAUUCACCACAUGAUAUGUGUCCUGCUUGGAGCGUCUUGUAUCGUAGGAGUCUUCUCUUUUUUUGUCACAAUCAUCCUUUCUGCGCACCUUUUUAGAGAGACAUGCACUCAUCGUGAAUUUGCUAGAAUGCUCAUUGUGCUUCACUUAUAUCUUUUGAGCUAGACCAUUUUGUUCUAUGUGCUUCACUUAGAUAUUUUAGAGCACGACGGUGCGUAACUUGGUAGUUGGCUUAUGCUAUGAAAGUAGUCCCAAAGGUGAUAGGUACCCAAAGAGGAUACAAUAAAACCUCCAUCUACAUGUGCAUUGAGUAUAAAGAGAAGUUUUGUUUCCUCUCAAUUAGUUUUGAGACGUGGAUUUGGUAAUAUUAAGAGUUAUGUUAGUAGGGUGUUGUGAAUCUAGAAAUACUUGUGUUGAAGUUAGUGAUUCCCGUAACAUGCACGUAUUGUGAACCGCUAUGUUAGGAAUUCAGAGCAUAAUUGAUCUAUUGAUUGUCAUCCUUUGUGUUGCGGUCGGGAUCGAGUGAUGGUUUACACCUACCAACCCUUCCCCUAGGAGUAUGCGUUUAGCACUUUGUUUCAAUUACUAAUAAAAACUUUCGCAAUAAGUAUGUGAGUUCUUCAUGACUAAUGUGAUUCCAUGGUAUAGAUGCACUUUCACCUUCCACCAUUGCUAGCCUCUCUAGUACCGUGCAAUUUUCGCCGGUGCACAAACCCACGAUAUGCCUUCCUCAAAAUAGCCACCAUACCUACCUACUAUGGCAUUUUCAUAGCCAUUACGAGAUAUAUUGCCAUUCAACUCCCACCGUUCCAUCUCAUGACUUGUGUCGUCACUCUCAUAUUGCCAUUGCAUGAUCGUAAGAUAGCUAGUGAGAUGUUUCAACGUCAUACGCCAAGCUAGAUCGUUGCACAUCCCGGUACACUGCUGGAGGCAUUUCCUAUAGAGUCAUCAUCGUUCUAAGCUUUGAGCUGUGAGUAAAUAAAAGUGUGAUGAUCAUCAUUAUUAGAGCAUUGUCCCAUGUGAGGGAAUAAAAAAAAGGCCAAAGUUGCCCACACACAAAAAAAGAUAGAGAUGGAAAGAAGCCAAAGAGCCCAAACAAAAAAAGAGAGAAAAAGAGAGAAGGGACAAUGCUACUAUCUUUUCCACACUUGUGCUUCAUAAUAGCACCAUGUUCUUCAUGAUUGAGAGCCUCUCAUUUUGUCACCACCAUAUACUAGUGGGAAUCUUUAUUAUAUAACUUGGCUUGUAUAUUCCAAUGAUGGGCUUCCUCAAAAUUUCCCUAGGUCUUCGUGAGCAAGCAAGUUGGAUGCACACCCACUAGUUCUCCUUUUGAGCUUUCACAUACUUAUAGCUUUAGUGCAUCCUUUGUAUGGCAAUCCCUACUCAUUCACAUUGAUAUCUAUUAAUGGGCAUCUCCAUAGCCCUUUAAUACGCCGAGUCAAUGUGAACAUCUCCUCCUUUUUGUCUCACAACCACCACCACACUCUAUUCCACCAUAGUGUUAUAUCCAUGGCUCACGCUCAUGUAUUGCGUGAGAGUUGAAAAAGGUUUGAGAAAGUAAGAGUGCGAAAACUAUUACUUGGCCAAUACCGGGGUUGUGCAUAAUUUAAAUUAGUUGUAUGGGGAUGAUGGAGCAUAGCCAGACUAUAUGAUUUUGUAGGGAUAACUUUCUUUGGCCUUGUUAUUUCGAAAGUUCAUGAUUACCUUGCUAGUUUGCUUGAAGUAUUAUUGUUUUCAUGUCAAUAGCAAACUAUUGUUUUGAAUCUUACGGAUCUGAACAUUCAUGUCACGUGAAAGAAGUUACAAAGGACAACUAUGCUAGGUAGCAUUCCACAUCAAAAAUUCAGUCUUUAUCACUUCCCUACUCGAGGACGAGCAGGAGUUAAGCUUGGGGAUGCUUGAUACGUCUCCAGCGUAUCUAUAAUUUUUGAUGGUUCCAUGCUAUUAGCUUGUCAAAGUUUGGAUGUUUUGUAUACCUUUUAUAUAUUUCUUGGGACUAACCUAUUAACUCAGUGCCAAGUGCCAGUUCCUUUUUUUCCGUGUUUGGACCCUUUUCAGAGGAGGAUUUUAAACGGUGUCCAAACGGAAUAAAACUUCCGAAAAGUUUUUUUUCGGAAUAGAAGAUACGCACGGGACGUGAGAACCAAGGCAGGGGCCACCAGGGGACCCCACAAGCCCCCUAGGAGCGGCCAGGGGGCCGCGCCUAGCAGGCUUGUGGGCCCCCUGUGGCUCGUCUCCCCUACCUCUUCCGCCUAUAAAUUCCCGAAAAAUCCAAAACUGCGAGAGAGAUCCACGAAAAUACUUUUCCGCCGCCGCAAGCUUCUGUCUCCGCAAGAUCCCAUCUGGGGCUCGUCCCGGUGACCUGCCGGAAGGGGGAUUCGGAUAUGGAGGGCUUCUUCAUCAACACCAUGACCUCUCCGAUGAUGGGUGAGUAGUUCACCAUAGACCUUCGGGUCCAUAGCUAGUAGCUAGAUGGCUUCUUCUCUCUCUUGGAUCUUCAAUACAAAGUUCUCCAUGAUCUUCAUGGAGAUCUAUCCGAUGUAAUCUUCUUUUGCGGUGUGUUUGUCGAGAUCCGAUGAAUUGUGGAUUUAUGAUCAGAUUAUCUAUGAAUCUUAUUUGAGUUUCUUCUGAUCUCUUAUAUGCAUGAUUUCAUAUCCUUGUAAUUCUCUUCGAGUUGUGGGUUUUGUUUGGCCAACUUGAUCUAUGAUUCUUGCAAUGGGAGAAGUGCUUGGUUUUGGGUUCAUACCGUGUAGUGACCUCUCCCAGUGACAGAAGGGGCAGCGAGGCACGCAUCGUGUUGUUGCCAUCAAGGGUAAAAAGAUGGGGUUUACAUCAUUGGUUUGAGUUUAUCCCUCUACAUCAUGUCAUCUUGCUUAAGGCGUUACUCUAUUCGUCAUGAACUCAAUACACUAGAUGCAUGCUGGAUAGUGAUCGAUGUGUGGAGUAGUAGUAGUAGAUGCAGAAAGUAUCAUGUUGGAAAUAUGCCCUAGAGGCAAUAAUAAAUUAGUUAUUAUUAUAUUUCUUAGUUCAUGAUAAUCGUUUAUUAUCCAUGCUAUAAUUGUAUUGAUUGGAAACACAAUACUUGUGUGGAUACAUAGACAAAACACUGUCCCUAGUAAGCCUCUAGUUGACUAGCUCGUUGAUCAAAGAUGGUCAAGGUUUCCUGGCCAUAGGCAAGUGUUGUCACUUGAUAACGGGAUCACAUCAUUAGGAGAAUCAUGUGAUGGACUAGACCCAAACUAAUAGACGUAGCAUGUUGAUCGUGUCAUUUUGUUGCUACUGUUUUCUGCGUGUCAAGUAUUUAUUCCUAUGACCAUGAGAUCAUAUAACUCACUGACACCGGAGGAAUACUUUGUGUGUAUCAAACGUCGCAAUGUAACUGGGUGACUAUAAAGAUGCUCUACAGGUAUCUCCGAAGGUGUUAGUUGAGUUAGUAUGGAUCAAGACUGGGAUUUGUCACUCCGUGUGACGAAGAGGUAUCUCGGGGCCCACUCGGUAAUACAACAUCACACACAAGCCUUGCAAGCAAUGUAACUUAAUGUAAGUUGCGGGAUCUUGUAUUACGGAACGAGUAAAGAGACUUGCCGGUAAACGAGAUUGAAAUAGGUAUGCGGAUACUAACGAUCGAAUCUCGGGCAAGUAACAUACCGAAGGACAAAGGGAAUGACAUACGGGAUUAUAUGAAUCCUUGGCACUGAGGUUCAAACGAUAAGAUCUUCGUAGAAUAUGUAGGAUCCAAUAUGGGCAUCCAGGUCCCGCUAUUGGAUAUUGACCAAGGAGUCUCUCGGGUCAUGUCUACAUAGUUCUCGAACCCGCAGGGUCUGCACACUUAAGGUUCGACGUUGUUUUAUGCGUAUUUGAGUUAUAUGGUUGGUUACCGAAUGUUGUUCGGAGUCCCGGAUGAGAUCACGGACGUCACGAGGGUUUCCGGAAUGGUCCGGAAACGAAGAUUGAUAUAUAGGAUGACCUCAUUUGGUUACCGGAAGGUUUCCGUGCAUUACCGGAAAAGUUUCGGGCUCAUCGGUAGUGUACCGGGAGUGCCGGGAGGGGUGCCGGGGACCAUCGGGAGGGGUGUCACGCCCCAAGGGGUCUCAUGGGCUAUGGGAAGAGAUAAACCAGCCCCUAGUGGGCUGGAAUAAGUUCCCACUAAGGCCCAUAAGGUUUGAGAAGGAAAAAACACAAGGUGGAAAGAGUUUCCAAGUGGGAAGGUGGAAUCCUACUCCAAGUAGGAUUGGAGUAGGACUCCUCCACCUCCAAUUUCGGCCAAACCUUGAGGGUUUGAGGCUGCCUCUUCCCUCCCCCUCCCACCUUUAUAUACGGAGGUUUUAGGGCUGAUUUGAGACGACUUUCUCACGGCAGCCCGACCACAUACCUCCACGGUUUUACCUCUAGAUCGCGUUUCUGCGGAGCUCGGGCGGAGCCCUGCUGAGAUUAGAUCACCACCAACCUCCGGAGCGCCGUCAUGCUGCCGGAGAACUCAUCUACCUCUCCGUCUCUCUUGCUGGAUCAAGAAGGCCGAGAUCAUCGUCGAGCUGUACGUGUGCGGAACGCGGAGGUGCCGUCCGUUCGGUACUAGAUCGUGGGACUGAUCGCGGGAUUGUUCGCGGGGCGGAUCGAGGGACGUGAGGACGUUCCACUACAUCAACCGCGUUCUCUAACGCUUCUGCUGUAUGGUCUACAAGGGUACGUAGAUCACACAUCCCCUCUCGUAGAUGGACAUCACCAUGAUAGGUCUUCGUGCGCGUAGGAAAAUUUUUGUUUCCCAUGCGACGUUCCCCAACAGCCUAUAUGUAUGAUCAUUGCCUUAGAUAACGUCAUGACUUUGCGCGGUUCUAUAAAUUGCUCGACAGUAAUUUGUUCACCCACCGUAUUAUUUGCUAGUUUGAGAGAAGCCUCUAGUGAACACUAUGGCCCCCGGGUCUACUUCACACCAUAUUUUCAGCCUUACACUUUUACUUCGUUGCACUUUCCGCCUUAAGAUCUCACUUUGCAAUCAAUCUUGAAGGGAUUGACAACCCCUUUAUAGUGUUGGGUGCAAGCUCGUGUGUGUUUGCGCAUGUACUCUGGACACUUGGCAUGAUUCUCCUACUGGAUUGAUACCUUGGUUCUCAAACUGAGGGAAAUACUUACUGCUCCUGUGCUGCAUCACCCUUUCCUCUUCAAGGAAAAAACCAACGCAAGCUCAAGAGGCAGCAGGGGUUGAUGACCCUCUCGAAGAACUUGUCCUUCAAAGCACUGGAAGACGUCAUGUUUAUCUAAAUCUGCUCCCCAAACAGCUCAAAACAAAAACAGGAGAUAUUGCCGUGAUACAGAGGUCAAAACAUUCGGGAGAUUAUAUAAUGAAUUUUUGCCGACCGGGAAGAGUAUACCACAAAAAAAUGGAGUCCGAAGGGUACAAGAGGUGGCCAUAAGCCUAUAGGGCGCACCCAGGGGGGUAGGUCGCGCCCCCCUAGCUUGUCGCCUCCUCAUGCACUUUUCAGACUGCUUUAAAUUUUCCUAAUUUGUAAAUAUUCCAAAACUGAUAAAAAUUGCCAUUAGAAAUAUUUUGCAGUCGGUUUGCUUACCGUAACACAUACCUAUUCCUUUUCAGAGUCUGAAACAUUCUGAUAGGUCUCCCCAAUGUAUUCCUCCGGAGUUAUUGUAUUGAUAAUAUUGGUUUCAACAUUUAUGGGAGUACCUGAGAUAUAAUGUUUGAUUCUUUGCCCAUUUACCACCUUCAGAUUUGUGCCUUCGGUGUUGUUGAUCUUGAUGGCACCGGAACAAUAUACUUCCUCGAUAAUGUAAGGCCCUUCCCAUUUAGAGAGAAGUUUUCCUGCAAAAAGUCUUAAACAUGAGUUGUAUAGCAAGACAUGAUCACCUACAUUGAAUUCACGCUUUUGUAUCCUUCUAUCAUGCUAUCUCUUAACAUUUUCUUUAAACAACUUAGCAUUCUCAUUGGCCAGGGUUCUCCAUUCAUCAAGUGAGUUAAUGUCAAAUAACCUCUUCUCACCAGCAAGUUUGAAAUCAUAGUUAAGCUCUUUACUUGUGCAAUAAGCUUUAUGUUCUAGCUCUAGAGGUAAGUGGCAUGCUUUACCAUAAACCAUUUUAUAUGGAGACAUACCCAUAGGGUUUUUGUAAGCGGUUCUAUAAGCCCAUAGUGCAUCGUCAAGUUUCUUGGACCAAUUAUUUCUAGAUCUAUUAACGGUCUUUUGCAAGAUCAAUUUAAUUUCUCUAUUGCUCAAUUCUACUUGACCACUAGACUGAGGAUGAUAAGGAGAUGCAAUUCUAUGAUUAACACCAUACCUAGCAAGCAAUUUAUGGAAAGCACCAUGAAUAAAGUGUGAAUCACCAUCAGUCAUUAAAUAUCUAGGGACUCCAAAUCUAGGGAAAAUAACUUCUUUCAGCAUUUUAAUAGAAGUGUUAUGAUCAGCAUUACUAGUUGGAAUAGCUUCUACCCACUUAGUAACAUAAUCAACAACAACUAGAAUAUGAGUAUACCCAUUGGAGUUUGGAAAAGGUCCCAUAUAAUCAAAACCCCAAACAUCAAAUGGUUCUAUAACAAGAGAGUAAUUCAUAGGCAUUUCCUGAUGUCUACUAAUAUUACCAAUUCUUUGACAUUCAUCACAAGAUAAGACAAACAUACAAGCAUCUUUGAAGAGACUAGGCCAAUAAAAACAAGAUUGCAAUACCUUGUGUGCAGUUCUAUCUCCAGUGUGAUGUCCUUCGUAGGCCUCGGAGUGACAAUUGUGUAGGAUGUGUCCCUGUUCAUGCUCAGGUACACAACGUCUAAUAAUACCAUCUACUCCUUCUUUAUAAAGGUGUGGAUCGUCCCAAAAGUAAUGUCUUAAAUCAUAGAAGAACUUUUUCUUUUGUUGGUAUGUGAAACUAGGCGGUAUAAAUUUAGCAACAAUGUAGUUAGCAUAAUUAGCAUACCAAGGAGCACUGCGUGAAGCAUUUAUGACAUCUAGUUGUUCAUGAGGGAAGCUAUCAUCAAUAGGUAGUGGGUCAUCAAGAACAUUCUCUAGUCUAGAAAAGUUAUCUGCUACGGGGUUAUUAGUGCCCUUUCUAUCAAUAAUAUGCAAAUCAAAUUCUUGUACCAGAAGAACCCAUCUAAUGAAUCUAGGUUUAGCAUCUUUCUUUUCCAUAAGGUAUUUAAUAGCACUGUGACCAGUGUAAACACAACUACUAAAAAUUCCUUUUCAGUGGUGGCGUAGUUUCUUUGAGCACUGUCUAGAGUUUUACUAGUGUAAUAGAUGACAUUUAAUUUCUUAUCAACUAUUUGCCCUAGAACAGCACCAACAACAUAAUCACUCGCAUCACACAUAAUUUCAAAGGGUAGGUUCUAAUCAGGUGGUUGAACAACAUGUGUAGUGAUCAAGGCUCUCUUAAGAAUUUCAAUUGCUUCCACACAAUCAUCAUAAAAAACGAACGGAACAUCCUUUUGCAAAAGAUUAGUGAGAGGCUUAGAAAUCUUAGAGAAGUCUUUAAUAAAUCUCCUAUAGAAACCAGCAUGACCAAUGAAACUUCUUAUACCUUUGAUAUCUGUUGGACACGGCAUUUUUCAAUAGCAUAAACUUUAGCUUUAUCAACUUCAAUACCUCUUUCAGAGAUUUUGAAUGUCCCAAGACAAUGCCUUCAUUAACCAUAAAGUGGCACUUCUCCCAAUUCAAGAUAAGAUUAGUUUCUUCACAUCUCUGCAAAACUCGAUCAAGGUUGCUUAAGCAAUCAUCAAAAGAAGUUUCGUAAAGCAAAGAUCAUCCAUGAAAACCUCAACAAUCUUUUCACAAAAGUAAGAGAAUAUAGCCAUCAUACAUCUUUGAAAGAUAGCAGGUGCAUUGCAUAAACCAAAAGGCAUAUGUCUAUAAGCAAAGGUACCGAAAGGCCAAGUAAAAGUUGUCUUCUCUUGAUCCUCUUUCGACACAAGUAUUUGAGAGAAACCAGAACAACCGUUUAGAAAGAAAAAUAUGUAUGUUUGGAUAGUCUUUCUAACAUUCGAUCAAUAAAAGGUAGCGGGUAAUGAUUUUCCUAGUAGCCUUAUUUAAUUUCCUAAAAUCAAUUACCAUUCUAUAUCAUCUAACAAUUCUUUGCGGGGUCAAUUCAUUUUUAUAAUUAGGAACAAUGAUAAUACCUCCCUUUUUAGGGACACAAUGAACGAGAUUAACCCAUCUACUAUCAGCAAUAGGAUAAAUUAUACUUGCCUCCAGAAGCUUUAGUAUUUCAUUUCUUACCACUUCCUUCAUUUUAGGAUUUAAUCAUCGUUGGUGAUCAACAACUGGUUUAGCAUUGGGCUCCAUAUUUAUUUUGUGUUGACAUAGAGUGGGACUAAUGCCCUUAAGAUCAUCAAGAGUAUAUCCAAUAGCGACACGGUGUUUCCUCAAAGUUUUCAAUAAUCUCUUUUCUUCAUGCUCUGAAAGAUUAGCACUAAUAAUAACAUGCUAUAUCUCCUUUUCAUCAAGAUAAGCAUACUUCAGAGUAUCAGGUACUUGUUUAAGCUCAAACACGGGAUCACCCUUGGGUGGAGGAGGAUCCCCUAGUAUUUCAACAGGCAGGUUGUGUUUCAAAAUAGGCUGUUGAUCAAAGAAAAUCUUAUCUAUUUCAUUCCUUUCAUUCAUAUGCAUAUCAUUUUCAUGGUCUAGUAAAUAUUAUUCUAAAGGAUCAGUAGGAGGCAGAGCAGUAGAAGCGAGACCAAUAAUUUCAUCUUUACUAGGCAAUUAUUUGUCAUGGGUUUGUCUACGAAAUUUAGAGAAACUGGACUCAUGAGAAACAUGCCCGAAACUUACAAGAAUCGUUUUUUUUCUCACAAUCAAUCCUAGCAUUAACAGUAUUCAAGAAGAGUAUACCGAAUAUAAUAGGAAAAAAUCAUCUUGUGGGGAGCCAAGAACAAGAAAAUUAGUAGGAUGCUUUAUUUUCCCACACAAUACUUCAACAUCUCUAACAAUCCCAAUUGGUGCAAUAGUAUAUCUAUUAACAAGCUUGAUGGUAACAUCAAUUUCUUCUAAUUCAGCUGGUGCAAUAUCAUUCAUAAUUUCUAGGUAUAAGGUAUAGGUAAUUGCACUCACACUAGCACCCACAUCACAUAAGCCAUGAUAGCAAUGAUCUCCUAUUUUAACAGAAACAGCAGGCACGCCAACAAUAGUUCUAUGUUUACCUUUAGUAUCACGUCUAGCAAUUCUAGCAGCUUCAUCAUAGAAAUGAAUGACAUGCCCAUCAAUAUUAUCAACCAGGAGAUCUUUAACCAUAGCAAUAUUAGGUUCAAACUUAAUUUUUUCAGGAGGUAUAGGUGUUCUAGCAAACUCUUACGAACCACAGUUGAAGCUUUAGCAUGUUCCAUUAUUCUAACAGCAAAGGGUGGUUUCUCAAUAUAAGCAGUAGGAAUAACAUGAUCAACAUUAUAAAUAACAAUUUCUUCUUCAACUUUAAUAGGCUCAACCACUUUAAACUCAAUGGGAGGAUGAUAUUUAAACCACUUCGCUUUGGGGAGAUCAAUAUGAGUAGCAAAAGAUUCACAUAAUGAAGCUACUACCUCAGAGUCAAGUCCAUAUUUAAUGCUAAAAUCACGAAAAGCAUCGGUGUCCAUAAAGGAUUUAACACAAUAAAACUUAAGGUUUAUACCUUACUCAUUACCUUCGUCGAGUUCCCAAUCUUCAGAGUUGCAUUUAAUUCUUUCCAAUAAGUCCCAUUUGAAUUCAAUAUCUUUCUUCACAAAGGAACCAACACAAGAAGUAUCGAGCAUGGAUUGAUCAUUACGAGAGAGCCGAGCAUAAAAAUUCUGAAUAAUAGUUUCUCUCGGGAGCUCAUGAUUGGGGCAUGAAUAUAACAUUGACUUAAGCCUCCCCCAAGCUUGAGCGAUUCUUUCUCCUUCACGAGGCAAAAAAUUAUAAAUAUAAUUCUGAUCACGAUGAACCAAAUGCAUAGGAUAAAACUUCUUAGGAAAUUCCAAUUUCAAUCGGUUGUAGUUCCAUGAUACAAUAUCAUCACAUAGCCUAUACCACGUCAAUGCAUUAUACUUCAAAGAUAAAGGAAAUACCUUCUUCUUGACGUCAUCCUCGGGCAGACCUGCAAGCUUAAAUAAGCCACAAACUUGAUCCACAUAGAUUAGAUGCAAAUCAGGAUGUAGUGUUCCAUCUCCUGCAUAAGGAUUAACUAGCAGUUUUUCUAUCAUACCCGAAGGACUUUCAUAAUAAAUAUUUUCAGUAGGUGCAGCAAGUUGAGGAGCAUCUCUUUGUGCUUCCGGCCAGGGUGAAGAUACCCCGAACAAGCCCCUCAAAGGAGUAUUUUCCAUAGUGACAAGUGACAGUAAAUUUUAGCACAAUAUAUAUUUUUUACUUACUAAGUUCCACGCACCAAAGGCGCUUCACUCCCCUGCAACGGCGCCAGAAAAGAGUCUUGAUGACCCACAAGUAUAGGGGAUCUAUCGUAAUCCUUUCGAUAAGUAAGAGUGUCAAACCCAACGAGGAGCACAAGGAAAUGAAAAGCGGUUUUCAGUAAGGUAUUCUCUGCAAGCACUAAAAUUAUCUGUAACACAUAGUUUUCUGAUAAGGUAAUUCGUAACGGGUAGCAAGUAACAAAUGUAAAAAUGUUGUAGCAAAGUGGACCAAUCCUUUUUGUAGCAAAUGACAAGCUUGGACAAACUCUUAUAUAAAGCAAAGUGCUCCCGAGGACACAUGGGAAUUUCUGUCAAGCUAGUUUUCAUCAUGCUCAUAUGAUUCGAGUUCGUUACUUUGAUAAUAUGGUAUGUGGGUGGACCGGUGCUUGGGUGCUGCCCUUACUUGGCUAAACAUCCCACUUAUGAUUAACCUCUCUCGCAAGCAUCCACAACUACAAAAUAAGAAUUAAGAUAAAUCUAACCAUAGCAUGAAACAUAUGGAUCCAAAUCAGCCCCUUACGAAGCAACGCAUAAACUAGGGUUUAAGCUUCUGUCACUCUAGCAACCCAUCAUCUACUUAUUACUUCCCAAUGCCUUCCCCUAGGCCCCAAUAAUGGUGAAGUGUCAUGUAGUCGACGUUCACAUGACACCACUAGAGGAGAGACAACAUACAUCUCAUCAAAAUAUCGAACGAAUACCAAAUUCACAUGAUUACUUAUAGCAAGACUUAUCCCAUAUCCUCAGGAAGAAACGUAAUUACUCACAUAGCAUAUUCAUGUUCAUAAUCAAAGGAGUAUUAAUAAACAUUAAGGAUCUGAACAUAUGAUCUUCCACCAAGUAAACCUACUAGCAUCAACUACAAGGAGUAAUCAACACUACUAGCCACCCCCACGUACCAAUCUGAGGUUUGAGACAAAGAUCGGAUACAAGUGAUGAACUAGGGUUUGGAGAGGAGAUGGUGCUGAUGAAGAUGUUGAUGGAAAUUGUUCCCCUCUCAAUGAGAGGAUCGUUGGUGAUGACGAUGGCUUUGAUUUCCCCCUUCGGGAGGGAAGUUUCCCUCGCAAAAUAGCUCCGCCGGAGCUCUAGAUUGGUUCUGCCAUAGUUCCGCCUCGAGACGGCAGCCUUUGUCCCAAACGUUCUGAUAUGACUUUUUUUCCCGGUCGAAACCCUUCAUAUAGCAGAAAAUGGGCACCGGAGGCCUGCCAGGGGGGCCACAAGCAUGCAGGGCGCGCCUAGGGGGGUAGAUCACGCCCCUGGCUUUUGGCCACCUGGUGGGUCCCCUGAUGUAUUUCUUUCGCCCAAUAUUUUUUAUAUAUUCCAAAAUAAUUAUCCGUAAGUUUUCAGGACUUUUGGAGCUGUGCAGAAUAGGUCUCUCAUAUUUUCUCAUUUUCCGGUCGAGAAUUCCAGCUGCCGGCAUUCUCCCUCUUCAUGUAAACCUUGUAAAAUAAGAGAUAAAAAGCAUAAGUAUUGUACCAUAAUGUGUAUUAACAUCCCAUAAUGCAAUAAAUAUCGAUAUAAAAGCAUGAUGCAAAAUAGACGUAUUAGUUACCAUGAAGACACACCAACGCCACGAUGGCUCACCCUGUUCUCUCCUUGAGACAACACCGCGAAGGUGUUUCUCAACCACUAGUGGUAGGUAUUGAGGUGGCCUCCAAACCCUCACAACCUUUUCUGGGGAAAUCACAAUGAACGAUUCUUCGCCGGAGUACUCCUACCGCCUAGGAGUCUCCAACCUCCAAGAGUGACAAGAUGCACCACGAAAACAAGGGGGAUUCAACUUUUGCUUUGGUGAAUGUGUAGGUCGGGCACACCUCCUUCACUCCUCAAAAGAUCAAGAGCUUUAGUUGGCUAAGGAGGGAGAAAUCCAAGAAAUCAAGGUCUAAAAAUGGUGGAGAGAGAAAUGGAGUCAUCACGUUCUUCGUGGGGAAGAAGAAGACUAUUUAUAGGUGGGGACAUAAUCCAGUCGUUGGAGAGAGAUUCUUGCAAAGCCCUGAAGUUUCGGGGACGCAUGGAAGUUCUGGAUCAUGAAAGUUCUGGGUAGGUUCCGGGCUAACCAGAGAGUUUGCAUCCACUCUGGGGUACCCCUGAAGCUGCUAGAACUGUGGAACGGAAGUUCCGUGGCCCGAAAGUUCCGUCAAGCCCAGAAGUUCCUGGGGAUGGACGUUUCGGCCAAGGUUCUGGGCUACCGAGUGAGUUUCCACAGAAGUGCAGUUUUUCUAGGUGACCCAGAAGCUUCCCGGAACCAUCCCGGACCUUCUGGUCCCCGGAAGUUUCGGACAUCCCGGAAGUUCCGCCCUGAUUAGAAACAUUUUGCGAUUAUAUUAUUUGGACCACUUUUGAGAAUAAGUUGUGCUAGAUCUUAUGUGUACGUGAAGUUGAAUCCCAGGUGUUUUCAUGAUGCACCCCCUCUUAAUAGUGGGGUUGCCUAAGAACUCAAGAAAGAGGAAAACACUAUGGCUUUUUACUUUUUCCGAGUAGAGGGAGAAUAACCAUCAAUGCUUCACUUCAAAUUUGACGGUGUUGUUUAUACUAGAGCAUGUGGUUAGAAACACAAAUGAAAUUAUCAUAUAUGUCAAAAACUAUUAAGGGCAACAAUGCACUUUCAUGUGGGAGAAAAUGCGGUAUCAAACCUGUUGGAUUCAUAUUGUGCAGCGUCACGAUAGAGGGUUAAUCAUGAAAAAUAUUCGAUAUUUUUUAGCAAGGGUUGUCCCCAAACUCUAAGGCAAGAAGUAAAGACUUCGCUUGAAGUGCACAAUGAGUCCUUGAGUGAGAGAUACCUUGGAAUGCCUAUGGAUGUUGGUCACUCAAUCAAUGGUACUUUUAGGUAUCUUCGUUAUAGAGUAUGGGAGAGGAUAAGGGCGUGGAUGGAGAAACUCGUGUGUGCAGGAGGAAAAGGGGUGUUGAUAAAAGCAGGGGCGCAAGCACUACCGGUGUUUUCAAUGGCAUGAUUCAGGCUGCCACGUGGCCUAUGUGAGAAUAUAACAUCUAUAAUGCGACAGUUUUGGUGGGGCAGCAAGAAUGAUAAACAAAAGCCUAACUGGGUGGCUUUGGAUGAUAUGACUCGGCCUAAAAAACAUGGGAGGAUUAGGUUUCCGCAACCUAGAGAUAUUUAACUUGGCCUUGCUCUCUCGACAAGCAUGGCGUAUAUUGCACGAGCCUGAUUCUCUUAGUGCAAGGAUUUUGAAGGCAAAAUACUUCCCGACCCGCAGAUUUCUAGACGUAGAACUUGGACAUAAUCCCUCACAAAUUUGGAGGGUGAUGCUGGAUGGAAGGGAUGUACUGCUGCAAGGUCUUGUUUGUCAGAUCGGAGAUGGGCCAACUACUAAUAUCUGGUACGGUAACAGGAUCCCUAGGCACCGGAUGAGGCGUCCAAUUCCCACCCAUCCAAGGAAUGCUCCAACGAUGGUUGCGCAGCUGCUCGAAGUGACUACACGAGAGUGGAAGGAGGAACUGAUGCGGAACACUUUUGUGCCAAACGAUGCGGGUGCGAUUGUGGGAAUACCCAUAUGUACAAGACAAAUUUCACACUUCUGGGCAUGGGCCCCUGACCGAAAGGGCCGCUUCUCAGUCCGGUUAGCAUAUAACAUGAUCCUUGGAACCAAGAUACAGAGGGAGGUGUGGCUUCAUGAUAAGCAAUGGGUCUCGAACACGCAGCAAGACGAUGAUGGUUGGUCGUCCGUUUGGAAUUUGAGGGUUCCCUCAAAGAUCAAAAAAUUUGCGUGGAGGCUUUGUAGGCAGUCGCAUCCUUCGGGGGGUUUACUACAUCAUUGCAACGUGGCCUCGUCCCUGGGAUGCUCUUUAUGUGGAGAAACAGACAACUCGACGCAUAGCCUCAUUGAGUGCAGAUGGGCUAGGAGCUUAUGGGCACAUUCUAAUGAGCAAAUGGUGGAGCACAUGCACCAUAAUAGUAACCCUAGGGCAAAGAAAUGGUUGUUUGCAAUGAGUGACUCAUUAUCGCAUGAUGAAUUACAAAUAUGAUUGUUACCCUAUGGGCAUUUUGGAGAUCACGGAGGAAAUUCAUACAUGAGGAUAUAUUUCACAACCCUCUAUCAACACAUGGGUUUUUCCAGAAGUUUGUGUUAGAUAUUCAAGUCUUCCAGAAGCAUAUGAUGCCAAGGCAAACAACACAUGUGCCUAAACCUCUAGGUUUGCUGCCACCACGUGAGAGCUACGUAAAAAUAAAUGUUGAUGUUGCAGUCUCAAGGCAUGGUUGUUUAGGUGUUGUGGGUGCUAUUUGUAGAGACCAAGGGUGCUUAUUCAUGGAUGCAUCUACACUAUUCUUUCUAUACAUAAGUGAUGCGGCUACCUUGGAGGCUCUUGCGGUGAGGGGAGCUUUGGCCUCGUAGAGGACAUGUACACCCUGCACAUAUUCAUUGCUUCGGACUAUAAGGCUAUUGUGGAGGAAAUCAAGACGAGGAGCUCGACGAAUUAUGGAGUUGUGAUUAAAGAAAUACAAGAAUGUCUAGUAGAUUUUCUUUCUAGUAUUUUUAGUUAUGAAUUCAUAGCCCCUGAUGGUCUGGCUCACACUCUUGAAAAGCAUGGUCUUACUUUAGGGGUUGGUCGCCAUGUAUGGUUAGGUGUAACGACUAAGAUGCGAUGCUUUCCUUAUUUUGAGGCCUCGCCCCCAACUAAGGAAAGUGUAGGAGCUUUUGAUUGAUCGAACUUGGCCGAGUUGAAUCUAGCAAAAACUUUUUUGAGUCUUAGUUAUAUCGUACAGUAGGUUUAUUUUUUCUCCUCUUCUAUGCUCUCGUGAGGUUCACGACUUAGGAAAUUUUAAUAUCUUAGUAUCUCAGGACGGAGGAUGUUCGAAAUUGCUUCAAUACUAGUAGUGGCGCGAUAAGCCCGACAUCCCCAGUACUGGUGUAGAGAGUUCGGGGGUACCACCAUACUUAGUAUCGUUGUGAUUACGAUGGUCUGAGAUAGAUGAGGUUCCGAUAUUCUGGUUAUGUGUUGAUGGAUGUGAUACACUGGACGGGUUAGUAUAGGAGUUGAGUGACAUAUUACUCCUUGUAUCCGUGGACCAGAUUGCAUGACCAGAAAUUUUGAAAGUUCUUACGUGGGAAUUCCAUUAGCAACUUAGGAAUUCUUUCAUCAGAUGUAUGUUGGGUAUAUACAUUUGUUCCUAGCAAUCCUAGCUUAUACUUGGCAUUUACAAGUGACUUUUCAGUCAGAUGUUGUUGACGGUUAUUUAGAGGAAGCAUUCUUACUAAUUAUAGUUCGAGUGCAAUUGCUAAGAAUUCGCCCUANNNNNNNNNNNNNNNNNNNNNNNNNNNNNNNNNNNNNNNNNNNNNNNNNNNNNNNNNNNNNNNNNNNNNNNNNNNNNNNNNNNNNNNNNNNNNNNNNNNNCACACACAAGCCUUGCAAGCAAUGUAACUUAGUGUAAGUUGCGGGAUCUUGUAUUACGGAACGAGUAAAGAGACUUGCCGGUAAACGAGAUUGAAAUAGGUAUGCGGAUACUAACGAUCGAAUCUCGGGCAAGUAACAUACCGAAGGACAAAGGGAAUGACAUACGGGAUUAUAUGAAUCCUUGGCACUGAGGUUCAAACGAUAAGAUCUUCGUAGAAUAUGUAGGAUCCAAUAUGGGCAUCCAGGUCCCGCUAUUGGAUAUUGACCGAGGAGUCUCUCGGGUCAUGUCUACAUAGUUCUCGAACCCGCAGGGUCUGCACACUUAAGGUUCGACGUUGUUUUAUGCGUAUUUGAGUUAUAUGGUUGGUUACCGAAUGUUGUUCGGAGUCCCGGAUGAGAUCACGGACGUCACGAGGGUUUCCGAAAUGGUCCGGAAACGAAGAUUGAUAUAUAGGAUGACCUCAUUUGGUUACCGGAAGGUUUUCGUGCAUUACCGGAAAAGUUUCGGGCUCAUCGGUAGUGUACCGGGAGUGCCGGGAGGGGUGCCGGGGACCAUCGGGAGGGGUGUCACGCCCCAAGGGGUCUCAUGGGCUAUGGGAAGAGAUAAACCAGCCCCUAGUGGGCUGGAAUAAGUUCCCACUAAGGCCCAUAAGGUUUGAGAAGGAAAAAAACACAAGGUGGAAAGAGUUUCCAAGUGGGAAGGUGGAAUCCUACUCCAAGUAGGAUUGGAGUAGGACUCCUCCACCUCCAAUUUCGGCCAAACCUUUAGGUUUUGAGGCUGACUCCUCCCCUCCCUCCCACCUAUAUAUACGGANNNNNNNNNNNNNNNNNNNNNNNNNNNNNNNNNNNNNNNNNNNNNNNNNNNNNNNNNNNNNNNNNNNNNNNNNNNNNNNNNNNNNNNNNNNNNNNNNNNNGAAUUCCUUGUGCUAAAUAGGUCAUAUUUCCAUUUCUGGAAAUGUCCAGAUAUGGACUUGCCAAAUUGGGCAGGCCCAAGAACAACCCUGGUUCUGGUUAUGUUGUAGUUUGAUGUGUGCUAGAUUUUCUUUCAUUGUUUGUGGUGUUUUUCUGAAUGCAACAUGGGCAGUAUGAUAUAUGGAUUUGGGGUAGAAAAUCCCAAUGAAUCCAAUGGUGUGUUGGUUUCUGGUUUUGAGCAUUUCUGUAGAAAGUCCCCUUGUGGUGAGGUGGCAAUAGUUAUAUCGGUGUAGGGUGGUUCAUGUGCAUGGUAGAGGUUGUGCUUGCUUGCAUCAUUAUGUCUGUGGCAUCAUCUUCCUGCUGGUAUUUAUUUCCUGCUUGUUUUCUUUUGGGUAGCUACUGGGACCGGAAACGAGUUCGAGGAGUCCGGUGAGUUCGUGCAGGAAGAUCAGGAUCAGUUCCACUCUGAAGAAAUCACAGGCAAGAUGACCGUGACCUUGACACCAUUUCUAGCUUUGUUAUGCUUAGUGUUAUGUUUCCUUCGUUACAUCUCCGCUGCCUACCACAUGAUAUAUAGGCCAUCAAACAUUGCCAUGAAACCUCAAACACCUCCCCUCCUAGCAAAUAUUGUUUGGCUAGGUUAGGCUUGCUCAGCCACUAAUUGUUAGCGUUGCUAGUUGCAGGUGCCAAUUGGUCCAUGUGAUAACAUGGGAAAUUUGAUAUCAUUAUAUUAGUUGCUAUUUAAAUAAUGCACCUAUAUACUUGGUAAAAAGCGGAAGGCCUGGCCUUUUGUCGGGUGAUUUGUUCCGUUGUUGCCGCCUUAGUUUCGGCUACGGCUGUGUUAUUCCGUAACUGAGCACUCCUAACAAGUUCGGGGUUGUUAUGGGGACCCCCUUGAUAAAUUGUAUAGUGUUAAGACUUGUCUGGCAGGACCCAACUUUGGUUUUUAACUUGCUAAUAACUUAAUAAAAAUGCAUAGGGAAUAGCUACCCCGAGGAAGUUAAUCAACCCCCCGGGCCAGUGCUCCUCAUGAGUGUUGGUCCACCCACCUAGCAGUCGGCUGUGCCACCUGGGGGCAACUCGAGUCGUUUGGUUAUCGUCCACUAUGCAUAGACGAUUGUGUCCUGAGAACGAGAUACGCGGCUCCUAUCGGGUUCGUCGACACACCGCUUGAUCUUGCCAGACUUGUCUUACCUUAGCGAUAUAGCUUGCGCAUUGGAAUUCCAGUGAGACUUUGGGUCUUUUCAGAGUUGAGGUUUUCCUCUAAGGAAUCCGACAAGAUCACGAGUUUCGUGGUAGAGGAUUACUAUGCGGCCUAUGGUAAUUUGUGAUGGACUAGUUGGAGCACCCCUGCAGGGUUAAAUCUUUCGGAAAGCCAUGCCCGCGAUUAUGUGGGAAACACGGAUAUUUUGUUAACAUCCGAUUCUAGACAAUUUAAAGUAAUUCAAAUAAAACUUGCCAACUGAGUGCGUAACCGUGACUAUUUCUUUCAGAGCUCCUUCUUUGAUCGAGAACACGGUGGGGUUAUGAAUGAUGUAAGUAGGUGUUCAGGAUCACUUAGUGAUCAACCUAGUCUUCGACCGUAGUCGGACCCUGUCUUAUGUAUGAAUAAUGAAUGCUUGUUUGGAUUGUAAUUUAGCAUGUGGCGAGUGUAAGCCGAAUCAUAUACUCAUCUCUCUAUUUAUGUAUGACAUUGUUAUCCUACUUGCGAAAUGCUUAGAUGCGACCCUUUCCCCUUUUGAGGCCUCGCCCCCAAAUAAGGAAAGUGUCACAUCUUGGUCGUUACAAUUCUUCUCAAAGAUAAACUUCAACUCCUGAAACAUCUUAUAUGCUCCGUGACGUUCAAAACGUCUUUGAAGUCCUGGUUCCAAGCCAUACAAAACAGCACAUUGAACUGAUGAGUGGUCAUCCUUGCGCGUCUACGAGACGUUCAUAACUUCUGGCAAUGCAGGUUGGGGUGGUUCAGCACCUAGCGGUUCAUCAAGGACAUAUGACUUUUGGGCAGCCUUAAGGAUGAGCCUCGGAUUAUGGGCCGAGUCAACAAAGUUGCUUCCAUCAUCUUCCAACUUAGAUUUUUCUAGGAACGGAUUAAAAUUCAAGGUUGCUACCUGAUACGUCUCCGUUGUAUCUACUUUUCCAAACUCUUUUGCCCUUGUUUUGGACUCUAAUUUGCAUGAUUUGAAUGGAACUAACCCAGACUAACGCUGUUUUCAGCAGAAUUGCCAUGGUGUUGUUUUUGUGCAGAAAUAAAAGUUCUCGGAAUGACCUGAAAAUUUACGGAGAAUUUUUCUGGAAUUAAUGAAAAAUACGAUACGGAGGUGCCGCCACCUCCUGUUCUUCAUCUGGAGGGCAGAUCUAGAGUUCGUUCAGGGCUCCGGAGAGGGGAAAUCAUCGCCAUCGUCAUCAUCAACCUUCCUCCAUCAACAAUUCCAUGAUGCUCUUUGAUACGUCUCCAUCGUAUCUACUUUUCUAAACUCUUUUGCCCUUGUUUUGGACUCUAAUUUGCAUGAUUUGAAUGGAACUAACCUGGACUGACGUUGUUUUCAGCAGAAUUGCCUUGGUGUUAUUUUUGUGCAGAAAUCAAAGUUCUCCAAACGUCCUGAAAAUUUACGGAGAUCAUUUUUGGAAAAUAUGAAAAAUAUCUGUGCCAAGUUCGACCUGAGGGGGUGGGCCAGUGGGCCACAAGCCCUGGCUCCGCCACCCCCUGGUGGCGGUGGGCAGGCUUGUGGGGCCCACACAGCUCUGCCGCCCCCAAUCUCAGGUCUAUAAGUUCCCUUUCAUCCCAGAAAAAAUAAAAAAGAGAAGUUUUCGUCGCGUUUGCGAUACGGAGGCGCCGCCACAACCUGUUCUUCAUCUCGAGGGCAGAUCUGGAGUCCGUCUUGGGCUCCGGAGAGGGGAAAUCGUUGCCAUCGUCAUCAUCAACCUUCUUCCCUCUCCAAUUCCAUGAAGCUCUUCGUCGUUCGUGAGUAAUCUAUUCGUAGGCUCGCUGGGCGGUGAUGAGUAGGAUGAUCUCUAUCAUGUAAUCGAGUUAGUUUUGAUGGGGAUUGAUCCCUAGUAUCCACUAUGUUCUGAGAUUGAUGUUGCUACUACUUUGCCAUGCUUAACGCUUGUCACUAGGGCCCGAGUGCCAUGAUUUUAGAUCUGAAAUUAUUAUGUUGUCACCAAUAUAUGUGUGUUUUAGAUCCGAUCUUGCAAGUUGUAGUUACCUACUAUGUGUUAUGAUCCGGCAACCCCGGAGUGACAAUAACCAGAACCACUCCCGGUGAUGACCAUAGUUUGAGGAGUUCAUGUGUACAACAAGUGCUAAUGCGUUGGUCCGGUUCUUUAUUAAAAGGAGAACCUUAAUAUCCCGUAGUUUCCUUUUGGACCCCUCUGCCACGGGAGGGAUGGACAAUAGAUGUCAUGCAAGUUCUUUUCCCUAAGCACGUAUGACGACACAUGGAAUGCAUGCCUACAUCACAUUGACGAACGGGAGCUAGCCACAUAUCUCUGCGUGUUAUAACUGUUGCAUGAUGAAUAUCAUCCAAACAAAUCACCGACCCAUUGCCUACGAGUUUGUCCUACUGCUGCUGUUACUUGUUUUGCUCUGCUGCUGUUACUACUGUUGCUGCUGCUGUUACUUGUCUUGCUCUGCUACUAUUACUAAUGUUGCUACUGCUGUUACUUGUCUUGCUCUGCUGCUACUGUUGCUACUACUAUCGCUUGCUACUGUUGCUACUUGCUACUGUUGUCACUAUUGCUAUUCCUUGCCAUUGUUACUCGUUACACUGCUGCUACCUGCUACAAUACUUUUUCGCUCGGCGUUGACGGGAACAGACAAUUUCCGUCAACGGGCAACUUGGCGCCAUUGAUAUGAAGUUAGGAAUAGUCUUCCGUCAACAGAUCGUUUCUGACACCAUUGUUAUCAUACUACUUUGCUCUUACCACUUUGCUUGCAGAUACUAAUCUUUCAGGUGUGGUUGAAUCUGACACAUUCAGCUGCUAAUAUUCGAGAGUAUUCUCUCACCCCCUGUUUGGUGAUCAACAAAUUUGGGUCGAAUACUCUACCCUCAAAAACUACUACGAUCCCACGCGUUGGUGGGCCGUCAACAACAUUCUUCUAGUUUCGAUUGUCGGAGAGUGCUAGCAGCAUUCUUCUUGUGCCGUUGCAAGGGGAAGCACAACUGACAUCAAGCAUUUUUCUGGCGCCAUUGCCGGGGAGGUAUUGCUAUAUUCUUUGAGUUACUUGGGAUUUAUAUCUGCUGAUCACUAUGAAGAAUCUGAAGGAUCCGAAGACCAAAGUCUUGCCCUCAACUAUGAGGGGAGGUAAGGAAUUGCCAUCUAGCUCCGCACUUGAUUCACCUUCAGUUAUGAGUAAGUUUGCGACAUCACCUCAUGCUAGAAAUCUUGAUAUGUCGCCUGUGCUUGAUGAUGCUUAUGAUGCUACUGCUAGAGAUGCUAUGCUUGAUACUGUGCUUGAUGAUGCUAUGCUUGAUACUGCUAGAGAUACUAUGCCUGAUGAUGCUAUGCUUGAUAUUGCUAGAGAUGCUAUGCUUGAUACUGCUAGAGAUGCUAUUUUGCCUGAUGAUGCUAUGCUUGAUACUGCUAGAGAUACUACUUUGCCUGAUGUUCCACUAGGGGUGUUCCUUGAUGCUCAUAUUGCUAGAGUUACUGCCAAUGCUCGUGAUGCUUCUGAAACUGCCGAUACUAUUGGGAUAGAACCAGCGUUUGCUCCUACUAGAUCUAGCUCUCCUAGAUAUGAAUUGCCUGAUAUACCUGAGGGUUACGUUAUGGAGGGAGAGAUAGCUGAGGAUUUUCUUGCGUGUAAGGAUGCCUAUGACGCUAAGAAAUUACUUCUCAAGUGGAAGGAAAAAUCUCUGAAAGCUAAGAUGAAAUACGACCCGAAGUUUGCCACUUCACCUAUCUUUAUCACUGAUGUUUGAUGUGUAUCCCCGGCAAGGUGCCAGAGAUGCUUCUGAUGUACGUUAUGCUACUGCACAAAAGACCUUCCAGUGGCGCCAGAAAUGAGCACGUUGACGGCACCAGGAAUCCUUCUGCGUUGGUGUUCCCUCAAAGCGUAGAGGAUGAUGUAGCACAGCGGAGGUAAGUAUUUCCCUCAGUUUUGAGAACCAAGGUAUCAAUCCGGCGAAGGAGUAUCUCAAGAUCCUGCACAAACACAAAAACUUGCACCCAACGCUAUGAAGGGGUUGUCAAUCCCUUAUAGAUUGUUUGCCAAGUGAGAACUGAAAGCAACAAAGUAACAAAGCAAAGUAAAAGUGGAGUUGUAAACGAUGGAAGUGAAUAGACCCGGGGGCCGUAGUGUUUACUAGUGGCUUCUCUCAUGAAAGCAAGUAGACGGUGGGUAAACAAAUUACUGUCGAGCAAUUGAUAGAACUGUGCAGAGUCGUGACGAUAUCAAUGCAAUGACUAUUUCUAUAGGCAUCACGUCCGAAACAAGUAGACCGAUACUGUCUGCAUCUACUACUAUUACUCCACACGUAGACCGCUAUCCAGCAUGCAUCUAGUGUAUUAAGUCCAUAAGAACAGAGUAACGCCUUAAGCAAGAUGACAUGAUGUAGAGGGAUAAACUCAAACCAAUGAUAAAACCCCCAUCUUUUUACCCUUGAUCGCAACUGCUUGAUGUGUGCCUUGCUGCCCCUACUGUCACUGGGAAAGGUCACCACAUGGCAGAACCCAAAACCAAGCACUUCUCCCAUUGCAAGAAUCAUAGAUCUAGUUGGCCAAACAAAACCCAAUACUCGGAGAGACUUACAAGGAUAUCAAAUCAUGCAUAUAAGAAAUCAGCAAAGACUCGAAUAUAUAUCAUAGAUAAUCUGAUCACAAGUCCACAAUUCAUCGGAUCUCGACAAACACACCGCCGAAGAAGAUUACAUCGGAUAGAUCUCCAUGAAGAUCAUGGAGAACUUUGUAUUGAAGAUCCAAGAGAGAGAAGAAGCCAUCUAGCUACUAACUAUAGACCCGUAGGUCUGAAGUGAACUACUCACGAGUCAUUGGAGGGGCGAUGAUGAUGAUGAAGAAGCCCUCCAACUCCAAAGUCCCCCCGGUAGGGCGCCGGGAAGGGUCUCCAGAUGAGAUCUCGCGGAAACGGAAGCUUGCGGCGGCGAAAAAGUAUUUUCGAGGCUCCCCUGAUUUCUUGCGGAAUAUUUGGGAAUUUAUAGGCCAAAGACCUAGGUCAGGGGGCGGCCAGGGAGGCCACAAGCCUACCCACCGCCGCCUCCCCCUGGUGGCGGAGUGGGGGCUUGUGGGCUCCCUGGAGGCCACCUGGCUUGGCCCAAAAGCCCACUGGACUUCUUCCGUUCGGGAAAAAAUCAUUUCGGGGGUUUUUCUUCCGUUUGGACUCCGUUCCAAAAUCAGAUCUGAAAAGAGUCAAAAACACGGAAAAAACAGGAACUGGCACUUGGCACUAAAUUAAUAAGUUAGUCCCAAAAAGAUAUAAAAAGGUACAUAAAACAUACAAAGAAGGCAAGAUAACAACGUGAAAACAUCAAAAAUUAUAGAUACGUUUGAGACGUAUCAAGCAUCCCCAAGCUUAACUCCUGCUCGUCCUCGAGUAGGGAAGUGAUAAGAAUGAAUUUUUGAUGAUUUCAUGCUACCUAGCAUAGGUGUCCUUUGUAAUUCCUCUUAUGUGACGUGAAUGUUAAGAUCCAUUAGAAUCAAAACAAUAGUUUGCUAUUGACGUGGAAACAAUAAUAAUUCAAGCAAACUAGUAAAGUAAUCAUGAACUUUCAAAAUAACAAGGCCAAAAGAAAGUUAUCCCUACAAAAGCAUAUAGUCUGGCUAUGCUCUAUCAUCAUUGCACAACAAAUUUAAAUCAUGCAUAACCUCGGUAUUGGCCAAGUAAUUGUUUCACACCUUUACUUUCUCAAACAUUUCAACUCUCACGCAAUACAUGAGCUUGAGCCAUGGUUAUAGCACUAUAGAUGGUGUGGAAUGUGGUGGAUGUUGCUAGACAAAAGGAGAAGAUAGUCACAUUAACUAGGCAUAUCAAUGAGCUGUGGAGAUGCUCAUCAGUAGAUAUCAAUGUGAAUGAGUAGGGAUUGCCAUACAAAUGAUGCACUAGAGCUACAAGUAUGUGAAAGCUCUUAAAGUAAACUAGUGGGUGUGCAUCCAACUUGCUUGCUCACAAAGACCUAAGGCAAUUUUGAGGAAGCCUAACAUUGGAAUAUACAAGACAAGUUAUAUAAUGAAAAUUUCCCACUAGCUAUAUGGUGGUGACAAAAUGAGAGACUCUCAAUCAUGAAGAUCAUGGUGCUUAAUAUGCACAAGUGUGGAAAAAAGUGGUAGCAUUGUCCCUUCUCUCUUUUUCUCUCAUUUUUUAUUUUUAUUUUGGUGGGCUCUUUGGCCUCUUUUUUUAUGGGCUUCUUUGGCCUAUUUUAUUUCCUCACAUGGGAAAAUGCUCCAAUAAUGAUGAUCAUCACACAUUCAACUCAAAACUUAGAGCAACUAUGACUCUAAAUGGAAUGCCUUCGGUAGUGUACCGUGGCAAUGAUCUAGUAUGGCAUAGACAUCAAUGGAAACAUCAUGCUAGCUGACUUACGACCAUGCAAUGGCAAUGUAGACGUGGUGGCACAUGUCAUGGGGGUAGUUGCAUGGCAAUAUAUCUCGGAAUGACUUUGAAAAAGCCAUAAUAAGUAGGUAUGGUGGCUGUUUUAAGGGAGGCUAAUGGUGGGUUUUGUGCACCGGCGAAAGUUGCACGGAACUAAGAAGAUAGUGAUCGUGAAAGGUGAAAGUGGAUCUAAACCAUGGACUCAACAUAGUCAUGAAGAACUCAUAUACUUGUUGCAAAAGUUUUAUUAGUAAUCGAAACAAAGCAUUCAACGCAUACUCCUAGGGGAAGGGUUGGUAGGUAUAAACCAUCGCGCGAUCCCGACCGCCACGCAAAGGAUGACAAUCAAUAUACUAAUCAGGCUCAGAUUUCAUCAUAUAGAGGUUCACCAUACGUGCAUGCUACGGGAAUCACUAACUUCAACACAAGUAUUUCUAGAUCCACAACACCUUACUAGCAUGACUUCAAUAUUACCAUAACCACAACUCAAAACUAAUUGAGAUGAAUCAAACUUCUCUAACUAUUCAAUGCAUAUGAAGGUGGAAGUUUUCGUAUCCCUUUGGAUAACUACCCCUUUUGAGACUACUUUCAAAGCAUAGAUCAACUACCAAGCUAUGCACCGCUGUGCUCUAAAAGAUAUAAGUGAAGCACAUAGAGCAAAAGUAUCUAGCUCAAAAGAUAUAAGUGAAGCACAUGUGAGCUGAAUUGUCUACCAAAAGAUAUAAGUGAAGCUCGACAAAAUCACGGUGUGUGCAUGUAUCUCUCUCUCUCUAGGUGUGCAGAAAGGAUGAUUGUGUCAACAAAAAAAUAAAAGACUCCUACGAUACAAGACGCUCCAAGCAAAAACACAUAACAUGUGGUGAAUACAAAUAUAGCCCCAAGUAACGUUACCGAUGGAUUGAAGACGAGAGAGGGGAUGCCUUCCCGGGGCAUCCCCAAGCUUCGGAUUUUAUGACAUCCUUGAAUCUCUUGGGGUGCCUUGGGCAUCCCCAAGCUAGAGAUCUUGCCACUCUUUAUCUUUUUGUCCAUAAGAACUUCACCCAAACCUUGAAAACUUCACAACACGAAACUUAAACAGAAACUCGUGAUAACAUUAGUACAAGAAAGCAAACCACCACUUCCUUAGGUACUAUAGCAAACUUAAAUUCUACAUGUGCUGAUGUUGGGUUACUGUACUUUCAAUCUUCCAUGGCUAAUACCCCCCGAUACUAUCCAUAGUUUCAUCAAAAUAAGCAACCAACACAACAAAAACAGAAUCUGUUAACAGCAGACCAGUCUGUAGCAAUCUUUAUAUUUCGUAUACCUCUGGUACUUCAACAAUUCUGAAAAAUUACGACAGUCUGAAGUAUUUGCGUAGAAAUCAGAAGCAAAAAUAAUCAACUCAAAAGCUCUUACAGAAAAAAAAAAUCUUUUCGUGAUAAGAAAGUUUCUGUUUUUCCAGCAUGAACAAACGAUCAUCCUCAAGACUAAUCAUAACGGUUUUGCUUGGCAUAAACGCAAAAAGAAACACAAAAAACACAAUCAUAACAGAAUUAUGAAAGUGUGGUAAACACAAAACAGAAAGAAAAAGGAUAGAUUCGUUGGGUUGCCUCCCAACAAGCGCUUUUGUUUAACGCCCUUAGCUAGGCAAAAGUGAUGGAAUCACGUAUAGUCAUCUUUGGUACUCAAACCAUAGGUAGCGUGAUCAUUUAUCAUCUUAAGAUUUUCAUCUUUAUUAGAUGACUCACCACUAGCUCUAGGAACAAAAACAGGCUUGACGGUCUUUUUGAGAGUAAGAUUUGGAGUAUUUUUCACAGCGGCAAAAGCGGAAUCCAAGUUGGUUAUGACAUCUUCUAAUUUGCCAAUUCUAGAAGAAUCAUUAACUAUAAGUUCCUUCUCCUUUAAAUUUUUCAAAAAGUUUCCCACUUUGGAUCCAUACUGAGAGAUUUGAUUGUGGAUCUUUCUAUCCAAACCCUCAAUAAGUUGAACUAUGGCAAUUUUGUUUUCAAUAGCGUCAAGCCUUUGCAUCACGUGUUCCAAGGUCAACAUAGUUCCAUUAACCAUGAGCGGGGGUGAGCCUACCAAAUUAAUUAUAGCUCUAUAGGAGUCAACAGUAUGGCUCCCCAAAAAGUUCCUGCCUACAAUGGUAUCAAGGAUAUACCUAUUCCAAGGAGAAAUUCCAACAUAGAAACUGCGAAGGAGGACGGUAGUGGAUUGCUUACGAGUAGAUCUACUUUGAGCAUUGCAAAUCCUGUACCAAACGUCCUUCAAAUUUUCUUCCUCAUUCUGCCUGAAAUUGAGAACUUCAUUAUGAGGGGUGUCAUUUGGAGUGGUGGGUCUAGCCAUUGAUGGACUAUCUCACACACAAACGAGCAGGAAGAGAGAGUGAAACGGGCAAAAGAAGACAGCAAAAGCGAAAGGCGAAUGAAAACGACAAAUGUGAAGUGGGGGAGAGGAAAACGAGAGGCAACUGGCAACAAAAGUAAAUGCAAGAGAAGAGUUUGUGAGACCUACUUGGAUAGAUCUUGAUUUCUCCUCCCCGGCAACGGCGCCAGAAAUACUUCUGAUGUUUGCUGUGUAUCCCCGGCAAGGUGCCAGAGAUGCUUCUGAUGUCUGUUAUGCUACUGCACAAAAGACCUUCCAGUGGCGCCAGAAAUGAGCACGUGGACGGCACCAGGAAUCCUUCUGCGUUGGUGUUCCCUCGAAGCGGAGAGGACGAUGUAGCACAGCGGAGGUAAGUAUUUCCCUCAAUUUUGAGAACCAAGGUAUCAAUCCGGCGGAGGAGUAUCUCAAGAUCCUGCACAAACACAAAAACUUGCACCCAACGCUAUGAAGGGGUUGUCAAUCCCUUAUAGAUUGUUUGCCAAGUGAGAACUGAAAGCAACAAAGUAACAAAGCAAAGUAAAAGUGGAGUUGUAAACGAUGGAAGUGAAUAUACCCGGGGGCCGUAGUGUUUACUAGUGGCUUCUCUCAUGAAAGCAAGUAGACGGUGGGUGAACAAAUUACUGUCGAGCAAUUGAUAGAACUGUGCAGAGUUGUGACGAUAUAUAUGCAAGGAUUAUUUCUAUAGGCAUCACGUCCGAAACAAGUAGACCGAUACUAUAUGCAUCUACUACUAUUACUCCACACGUCGAACGCUAUCCAGCAUGCAUCUAGUGUAUUUAGUCCAUAAGAACAGAGUAACGCCUUAAGCAAGAUGACAUGAUGUAGAGGGAUAAUCUCAAACCAAUGAUAAAAACCCCAUCUUUUUACCAUUGAUGGCAACUGCUUGAUGUGUGCCUUGCUACCCCUACUGUCACUGGGAAAGGUCACCACAUGGCAGAACCCAAAACCAUGCACUUCUCCCAUUGCAAUAAUCAUACAUCUAGUUGGCCAAACAAAACCCAAGACUCGGAGAGACUUACAAGGAUAUCAAAUCAUGCAUAUAAGAAAUCAGCAAAGACUCAAAUAUAUAUCAUAGAUAAUCUGAUCACAAGUCCACAAUUCAUCGGAUCUCGACAAACACACCGCCAAAGAAGAUUACACCGGAUAAAUCUCCAUGAAGAUCAUGGAGAACUUUGUAUUGAAGAUCCAAGAGAGAGAAGAGGCCAUCUAGCUACUAACUACGGACCCGUAGGUCUGAAGUGAACUACUCGCGAGUCAUUGAAGGGGCGAUGAUGAUGAUGAAGAAGCCCUCCAACUCCAAAGUCCCCACCGGCAGGGCGCCUGGAAGGGUCUCCAUAUGAGAUCUCGCGGAAACGGAAGCUUGCGGCGGCGGUAAAGUAUUUUCGAGGCUCCCUUGAUUUUUUGCAGAAUAUUUGGGAAUUUAUAGGCCAAAGACCUAGGUCAGGGGGCGUCCAGGGAGGCCACAAGCCUGCCCACCGCCGCCUCCCCCUGGUGGCGGAGUGGGGGCUUGUGGGCUCCCUGGAGCCCACCUGGCUUGGCCCAAAAGCCCCAUGGACUUCUUCAGUUCGGGAAAAAAUGAUUUCGGGGUUUUUCUUCCGUUUGGACUCCGUUCCAAAAUCAGAUGUGAAAAGAGUCAAAAACACGGAAAAACAGGAACUGGCACUUGGCACUGAAUUAAUAAGUUAGUCCCAAAAAUAUAUAAAAAUGUACAUAAAACAUACAAAGAAGGCAAGAUAACAGCGUGAAAACAUCAAAAAUUAUAGAUACGUUUGAGACGUAUCAAUCACCGAUAAGGAUUAUGAAUUCUUUGUCGAUCCUGAGAUAAUCUCUCUAGUCGAAUCUGAUCCUUUUCACGGUUAUGAGUCUGAGACGGUCGUAGCCCAUCUUGCCAAACUACACGAUAUAGCCACCCUUUUCACUAAUGAGGAGAAGAUCCGCCACUACUAUAUCCUUAAGUUGUUCCCUUUCUCUCUAAAGGAUGAUGCUAAAGUCUGGUUCACCUCUCUUGCUCCUCGAUGUGUGAGUAGUCCCCAGGAGAUGGUCUAUUACUUCUGUGAGAAAUAUUUCCCUGCCCAUAAGAAGCAAGGUGCCUUGCAGGAAAUAUACAACUUUGCUCAACUCCAAGAAGAGAGUCUUCCACAAGCUUGGGGGAGGCUCGUCCAGCUACAGAAUGCUUUUCCUGAUCACCCUCUUAAGAAGAACGAGAUACUUGAUAUCCUCUAUAACGGACUUAUCGAUGCCUCUAGAGACCACCUAGAUAGUUGUGCCAUUUGUGUUUUUAGGGAACGAUCUGUAGAACAACCUGAGACCCUACUGAAUAACAUCUUGAUCAACGAUAAUGCUUGGACUAUUCCAGAACCACCUCCUAAGCCAACUCCAAAGAAAAGAGGUAUUCUAUUCCUCAGUCCCGAAGAUAUGCAAGAAACCAAGAAAUCUAUGCAAGAGAAAGGCAUUAGAUCUGAAGAUGUCAAAAAUCUACCACCUAUCGAAGAGAUCCAUGGUCUCGAUAACCCGAUACAGGUAGUAGAAGUGAAUUCUCUGCGUAGGUUUGAUGAGAGUGAUAUUCCUUUUGAUAAACCUGCUAGCCUAUGCUUUGAUGAAUUUGACAACUUUGUUGCCAAACAACAGAGUUUCAAUGAUUAUGUUAGCACACAUUUGGAACAAAGUACUCGUAUGCUUAGCCAUUUAAGUGCUUGUGUAGACAGAAAUGUCAAUGAUCUGAAGCUUCUGAGUAAACAUGCCUCUAUGAUUACUACUCAGGUAGAACAAGUACUGAAAGCUCAGAAUGACUUGCUCAAUAAAUUAAAUGACAACUUUGUCAGAGUCAUUACUGGAGGAGGCAAAAUGACCGAGGAACCUUUGUAUCCUGAAGGUCAUCCUAAGAGAAUUGAUCAAGAUUCUCAAGGAAUCAAUGCUGAUACACCCAGUCAUCCUAAGGAGAAGAAGAAGGAUGAUAGAAACUUACAUGCCAGUUCACCAAAUACUGUCACACCUGAAGAACCUAAUGAUAUUUAUGCGUCUGAUGCAGAAACACAAUCUGGUGAUGAACAUGAACCUGGUGACAAUAUGGACAGUUAUGUUCAUAAUAAUGCUCAACCUAGCAAUGAUGAGGAUGUGGAGAUUGAACCUACGGUUAAUCCUGAUAACCCACAACCUAAGAGAUAAGACAAGAAUGACUUCACUACUAGGAAGCAUGGUAAAGAAAGGGAGCCAUGGGUUCAGAGAUCUAUGCCCUUUCCUCCUAAGCCAUCCAAGAAAAAGGAUGAUGAGGAUUUUGAGCGCUUCAUUGAGAUGAUAAGACCCAUCUUUCUGCAAAUGCGGUUAACUGAUAUGCUCAAGAUGUCUCCGUAUGCUAAGUACAUGAAAGAUAUUGUGACUAAUAAACAGAAGAUACCAGAUCUUGAGAUCUCCACCAUGCUUGCCAAUUACACUUUCAAAGGUGGAACUCCUAAGAAACUUGGUGACCCCGGAGUGCCCACUAUACCUUGCUCCAUUAAAGGAAACUACGUAAGAACUGCCUUAUGUGACAUUGGAGCUGGUGUUAGUGUUAUGCCGCUCUCUCUUUGUCGUAGACUUGAAUUGGAUAAGUUGACACCCACUGAAAUUUCUCUGCAGAUGGCCGACAAAUCAACUGCUUUCCCUAUCGGCAUUUGCGAGGAUGUGCCUGUUGUGGUUGCUAAUACCACUAUCUUAACAGACUUUGUUAUCUUGGAUAUUCCCGAGGACGAUACCAUGGCUGUCAUCCUCGGAAGACCCUUUUUAAACACGGCAGGGGCUGUUAUAGAUUGCAACAAAGGCAAUGUCACUUUCCAUGUCAACGGUAAUGAGCACACAGUGCACUUUCCAAGAAACGGUAUCAAGUACAUUGCAUCAAUGCUAUCGAAAAGACUUCAUCGAUUCUUAUUGGGAGCUUUGAAUGCCCUAUUCCUCAUGUCAAGAUGAAGUAUGAUUUCCUUGUUGGGGAGAUACAUAUCCCCAUUGAGAUGACUUAGUGGCUAUCAGAAAAUUCUCCAUUCUCUCUUGAGAUUCGACAAGGUUUUGUCAUGAGGACUUGAUCAACCCCAUUGACGGAUUUCUUUCGAUGACCAUGAAACGGAUGAAUCAAAGAGUCACAUAUCUCUGUUUUAAGCUUUCCUUUUCUUUUGCUUAGAAAAAAAAUGGUAGAAUUAGUUUAGUUUUUCCUGUUUUCUGUUUUAGCGUCCCGGAGAAAAAUACCUCGAAAAUAAAAGUUCUCCGAUGGUCCUAAAAAUUUAGUAUGGUUUUUUCUGGAAUUUUUGAAAACUACUGGGCCUGAGAGCUGGCCUAGGGGCCAGACCAGUGGGCCACAAGCCUUGCCACCGCCACCCACCCCCCUGGUGGCGGAGUGAAAGUUUGUGGGGCCCACAGGGACCCCCUCCACUCAUUCCAGCUCCCAGCCUCUUCUUCCACCUCCAGAAAAAAUUGUUUUGCAGCUCAAACCCGUGUUCUUGCUCAUCUGGCUGUGAUUUUCGAUCUCCUUGCUCAAAGCACCAUUCUCCGAACCGUUUUGGGGAAAUCAUUCCUUGGUAAGUGACUCCUACAUUGGUCCAAUUAGUUUUUGCUCUAGUGCUUUAUCCUUCGCGUAUUCUUGCUACCUUGGUGACCCUGUUCUUGAGCUAGAAAUGUUGAUUUUAGCUGGUUCCAAGUAGUUUUAGCGCUUGAUAUGGUCUCUAGGCACUAGUAGGAGUAGUUGCUAUAAGGUGUGGUGGGUCUUCAUUCACUUUUCCCUUUAACUUCAAAAAUUUCAGCAAAAGGAAAUUAUGUUCAGGAGGAAGUUUCAUGGUGGUUCCUCAAGUAAGAAGGGUCCCCGUCUUUCUUUUCGGGAGCCCGAACCUUUUCAACUAAGGGACGCACCGGUACAACCAUGUGAAUGGCCUUCUGAUGAGUUCAUGACCGAAGCAGGUAUCAAGGAUGAGUUCGAUACAUUUGUCCGCAAUGCCGGGUUAGAAGAUUUCCUCUCAGAUAAAUGUGAACAGUAUGCUAUGCUCACUGCCUCUUUCGUGCGUAGAUUUAAAUUUUUAGUUGGCCGUGACUCAUCCAUACUGUUUGAUCUGUAUGAUAAAUCCUAUACCGUGGAUUUGGAGGAUUUCAAUAGGAUUUGCAAGAUACCCGAUGGGGGUAGUAUUAAUGACCCUUCUAAGUCUUCGGUCAGAGACUUUGUCUCCAGUAUAACUGUUGGAGAAACCAGAGAUAUCACGCAAGCUACCAUAGGAACCAUCCAUUUCCCUGCCUUGCACUACCUUGCCCUCUUCAUAGGUAGGUGCUUUAACGGCAAGGGUGCACAUUGUCACCUAUGCGCUUCUCACCUUAGUAUCCUUAAGAGCGCAGUAACAGGUGACGGGAGCUUCAAUAUGGGAGCUAUAAUAGCAAGGAGGCUGAAUAAAAUGCUAGUGAGGGGGAUUUCUUUGGUGGAGUUUAUGCUACACGCUUAGCAAAUUUUCUUGGAGUAUCCAUCCAUCCAGAAGACCCUCCUCUCUGUACCACCUACCUUGAUCGUGUCGCUCUAACACGCUACCAGUUCCUUGAGAGUGAUCAUGGAUCCCUCCUAUACCGCUUGAUAUUUAACCGGCAGCGUGUUUUCCAUAUUACCCUUCCUGCUCCUGCUUUCUUUGACUUUCAGGUAAAACGAAGAUACUACAUAACCAUAGGAGAGGCAGCGGAGUAUGAGAGGGAUGCGACUGCUGCUCGACUUCGUGAGGCAGCUAUUCAGGCAGUGGCUGCAGCACUCCCGUAUAACACCCAUUAUGACUUUGGGUUUCGCCAGGACCAUCCAUGGGAGUAGACCAAGCUAGGCCAAAAGCCUAAGCUUGGGGGAGUACGUGUUCUCACCGACUUUACAUUCAUGCUUAUGCUUUCCCUUUGUUAGCCGGUGUUUACACUUUGCCACUGUAUUAUCCAUGCUAGUUUAUUUUUGUUUUCUUGUUUUCUUGUUUUGUGUCCUUUUGAGAAAACCCAAAAAAAUAUUUUUCUUUCUUCUUUUGCUUGUUGGGAGCUUUCCCGUGUAAAUACCUUUCUUUUUCUUUGUGUCAAGGUAGAAGAUAUUGGUUACAAUGUUUAUUGGUUCUUGCAUGCUUACCUGUUUAGCUUUCAAAGAGCCAUAUUACUUUGUCUUCUCCUUUGUGUUUGCCCGCAGAUUCAGCUUAGUCCAUAGCGCUUAUUAUUGUUCACAUCGUUCGAUCGUGCAAGUGAAAGUCAAUAAUGAUGAUAUAUGAUGAAGUGACUCGGACUGAAAAGCUGGUAUGAACUCUAUCUAUUUUGUUUUUGUAAAUAUGACUAGCUUGUCGACCCAGAUUUAGCUUUGUUCUGAGGGAACCAUGUUUGCAAUGACAACUUAGAGAUCAUAGUUUCUGAUGCCAUGCUUAUUUAGCUGAGAGCUUAUAAUGGUUUGUCUUGAAUGCCAAGAUAGAUUUUGAGAUGACUAUGAUGUAGUAUGAUAGGAUGGUAUUCUCCUUUGAAUGUUUCAAGUGGCUUGACUUGGCGCAUGUUCAUGCAUGUAGUUGAAACAAAAUCAACAUAGCCUCUAUGAUGUUUGUGUUCAUGGUGAUAUAUAUCAUGUUCACGCUUGCAUUCAAUGUUAGUCUAACUCAUUGCAUCUUGAUGACUAUUGUCGCUCUCUAGUUGGUCGCUUCCCAGUCUGUUGCUAGCCUUCACUUGUAUUAAGCGGAAUACUGCUUGUGCGUCCACUCCCAUACAUAAACCCAAAAGUUUUUCCAUGAGAGUCCACCAUACCUACCUAUUUGCGGUAUCUACCUGUCAUUCCAAGUAAAUUUGCCCAGUUCCAUGCUUAAAUCGAAAACAUAACUGUAAAACAAGACUCCCCCCGAAUUGAUGUUAGUAUGGACGGUACCCGAGGAUUCGACUAGCCGUGGAGUGUGAUUGAUUGGUGGUGGGGUAGUUAAAACUUUACUUUUCUGUUUGGGAACCGCCUAUAGCAUGAGUAGCAUGGAAGAUAUUGAGAACUCUUGGUCAUUGCGUUGACAAUGAAAGCACGCCACCCAAAAUUAUUAUCUCUGUUUUCAAAGCUUGAGCUCUGGCACCUCUGCAAAUCAAUGCUUCCCUCUGCGAAGGGCAUGUCUAUUUAUUUUCUUGUUGAGUCAUCCUCCUCUUUUAUAAGAACCAAUUAGAGAGCACCUUUGUCAUUUUUAUGCUUUGCUUUUGAUUGAUAUUGAGUAUGACUAUGACUGGAUCUUAGUUGCUAUGAAUUACAAUGUUUAGUCAGCCCUUGAUCUUUGAAAGUGCUCUGCAUUUAUGUUUUGCGGUCUCAGAAAGAGCUAGCGAGAUACCACCUAUUCAUAUUGCUUCAUGCUUGUUUUGAUUGAAGUGUUGGUAUUUGAAACUCAUUAUUAUUUGCUUGUUAGCUGAUUAUGCCAUUGAUAUUAGUUUACCGUGAGACCUUUGUGUCAUUUUUUUAUGUGGUUAACUUGUGAUCUUGCUGAAAUUCUGGUUAUGAGUUAGACAUAGUUGCAACAACAAGAUCAAACAGAGUUUGUCAAAGUUUUUCUUUCACUCUCAGUUUGUCAACUGAGUUGCUUGAGGACAAGCAAGGUUUUAAGCUUGGGGGAGUUUAUACGUCUCCAUCGUAUCUACUUUUCCAAACUCUUUUGCCCUUGUUUUGGACUCUGAUUUGCAUGAUUUGAAUGGAACUAACCUAGACUGACGCUGUUUUCAGCAGAAUUGCCUUGGUGUUAUUUUUGUGCAGAAAUCAAUGUUCUCCAAACGUCCUGAAAAUUUAUGGAGAUCAUUUUUGGAAAAUAUGAAAAAUAUCUGCGCCAAGUUCCACCUCAGGGGAUGGGCCAGUGGGCCACAAGCCCUGGCUCCGCCACCCCCUGGUGGCGGUGGGCAGGCUUGUGGGGCCCACACAGCUCUGUCGCCCCCAAUCUCAGGUCUAUAAGUUCCCUUUCGUCCCAGAAAAAAUAAAAAAGAGAAGUUUUCGUCGCGUUUGCGAUACGGAGGCGCCGCCACAACCUGUUCUUCAUCUGGAGGGCAGAUCUGGAGUCCGUCUCUGGCUCCGGAGAGGGGAAAUCGUCGCCAUCGUCAUCAUCAACCUUCUUCCCUCUCCAAUUCCAUGAAGCUCUUCGUCGUUCGUGAGUUAUCUAUUCGUAGGCUCGCUGGGCGGUGAUGAGUAGGAUGAGAUCUAUCAUGUAAUCGAGUUAGUUUUGAUGGGGAUUGAUCCCUAGUAUCCACUAUGUUCUGAGAUUGAUGUUGCUACUACUUUUCCAUGCUUAAUGCUUGUCACUAGGGCCCGAGUGCCAUGAUUUCAGAUCUGAAAUUAUUAUGUUGUCACCAAUAUAUGUGUGUUUUAGAUCCGAUCUUGCAAGUUGUAGUUACCUACUAUGUGUUAUGAUCCGGUAACCCCGGAGUGACAAUAACCGGAACCACUCCCGGUGAUGACCAUAGUUUGAGGAGUUCAUGUGUUCAGCAAGUGCUAAUGCGUUGGUCCGGUUCUUUAUUAAAAGGAGAACCUUAAUAUCCCGUAGUUUCCUUUUGGACCCCGCUGCCACGGGAGGCAUGGACAAUAGAUGUCAUGCAAGUUCUUUUCCCUAAGCACGUAUGACGACACACGGAAUGCAUGCCUACAUCACAUUGACGAACGGGAGCUAGUCGCAUAUCUCUCCAUGUUAUAACUGUAGCAUGAUGAAUAUCAUCCAAACAAAUCACCGACCCAUUGCCUACGAGGUUGUUCUACUGCUGAUGUUACUUGUUUUGCUCUUCUGCUGUUACUACUGUUGCUGCUGUUGUUACUUGUUUUGCUCUGCUGCUGUUACUACUGUUGCUGAUGUUGUUACUUGUCUUGCUCUGCAGCUGUUACUACUGUUGCUACUGCUGUUACUUGUCUUGCUCUGCUGCUACUGUUGCUACUACUGUCGCUUGCUACUUUUGCUAGUUGCUACUGUUGUUCCUUGCCAUUGCUAUUACUCGUUACACUGCUGCUACCUGCUACAAUACUUUUUCGCUCGGCGUUGACGGGAACAGACAACUUCCGUCAACGGGCAACUUGGCGCCAUUGAUAAGACAGUUAGGAAUAGUCUGCCGUCAACAGAUCGUUUCUGACACCGUUGUUAUCAUACUACUUUGCUGUUACCGCUUUGCUUGCAGAUACUAAUCUUUCAGGUGUGGUUGAAUCUGACACAUUCAGCUGCUAAUACUCGAGAGUAUUCUCUCACCUCCUGUUUGGCGAUCAACAAAUUUUGGUCGAAUACUCUACCCUCAAAAACUGCUACGAUCCCACGCGCUGGUGGGCCGUCAACAACAUUAUUCUAGUUUCGAUUGCCGGAGAGUGCUAGCAUCAUUCUUCUGGUGCCAUUGCAAGGGGAAGCACAGCUGACAUCACUCUUCACCGUUCGUGAGUAAUCUCAUCGUAGGCUUGCUGGACGGUGAUGAGUUCGAUGAGAUCUAUCAUGUAAUCGAGAUAGUUUUGACGGGGAUUGAUCCCUAGUAUCCACUAUGUUCUGAGAUUGAUGUUGCUACUACUUUGCCAUGCUUAAUGCUUGUCACUAGGGCCCGAGUGCCAUGAUUUCAGAUCUGAACAUAUUAUGUUGUCGCCAAUAUAUGUGUGUUUUAGAUCCUAUCUUGCAAGUUGUAGUCACCUACUAUGUGUUAUGACCCGGCAACCCCGGAGUGACAAUAUCCGGAACCACUCCCGGAGAUGACCAUGGUAUGAGGAGUUCAUGUAUUCACCACGUGUUAAUGUGUUGCCCCGGUUCUUUAUUAAAAGGAGAACCUUAAUAUCCCGUAGUUUCCAUUAGGACCCCACUGCCACGGGAGGGAUGGACAAUAGAUGUCAUGCAAGUUCUUUUCCCUAAGCAUGUAUGACUACAUACGGAAUACAUGCCUACAUUAGAUUGACGAACGGGAGCUAGUUACAUAUAUCUCCGUGUUAUAGCUGUUACAUGAUGAAUCACAUCCGGCAUACUCAUCCAUCACCGAUCCACUGGCUACGAGUCUUUUACUACUGGUCCUUUGUAACGACCAAGAUGCGGUCCUUUCCGAUCUGGGGAUCGAGGCCCCGAAUUGGAAAGGAGCGCAUCUAAGCGUCUCGCAAACAGGUAACACAGCACAUACAUAAUAAUAAAAGAUAGACAAUCAGGGGUUCAAUUGCCUUCUCAUAAAUAUCUCAGGGUACAUCACGCAUACAACCAAAGUAGUUCCGCUACGGACUACAAAACAGAGAAAAGGCUAUGCUACCCUGCCUGCUAGCACACGAUCACGACCACGCCUCAAUCUUCUGGAUAGUUCACGCACAGGCGGUCGGUCUCCUCGUCGUACUGCCACGCCAGCUGCGUGCCGUCGGGAUCAUCUGUCUGUGGGGUACCUCAACCUGCUGGUGUUGUGAAGGAAUCUGUGAGCCACGGGGGACUCAGCAAUCUAUGACCUCGGUGCCAGAACUAGUCAAGUUAUUAGGUUGGAUAGGGUGGAGUGUUUAAGGUUGCAGCAUCCUAAGCUUGAUAUGGUGGCUAACUUACGUAGAACAUUUAGGAAGGUGGACUAUACUAGCUGUCGAGAAUACUUGAUCACUAAGUGAUCCUGAACACCUACCUACGUCAUUCAUAACCCCACCGUAUUCCCGAUCGAAGAGAGAUCUUCGAGGGGAUAGUCACGGUUACGCACAGAGUUGGCAAUUUUAUUAGCUUAUGUUUAAGUUAUCUAUUACCGGAUGUUAACAAAAUAUUCCAAGUUGCCACAUAACCGCGGGCACGGCUUUCCGAAAGAUUAAACCCUGCAGGGGUGCUCCAACUAGUCCAUCACAAACGUACAGGGGCCGCAAAGUAAUCCUCUAUCACGAAUCUCGUGAUCUCGUCGGAUUCCUUAGAGGAAAACCUCAACUCUGGGGAGAACCAAAGCUUCACUGGGAUUCCUAUACGCAAGAUAUAUCGCUAAGGUAAGACAAGACUAGCAGGACCUCCCGACGUGUCGACGACCCUGAUAAGAGCCGUGUAUCUCAGUCUCGGGACACGUCGGAUGGGCUACGCGCACGAUGGCCUGAUAGAAAUCACUCAAGUUGCCCUGAGUUGGCCCCGAGCAGUGCCCGGUUUGGACCAACACUCAUGAGGAGCACUGGCCCGGGUUGUUGAUUAAGUUCCUCGGGGUAGCUAUUCCCUAUGCAGAUUAUUAUUACGUGAUUAGCAAAUGAAUACCAAUGUUGGGUCCUGUCGGACAAGCCUUAACACUACGCAAUUUAUCGAGAGAGUCCCCAUAACAACCCCGAACAUGUUAGGAGCGAUCAAUAUGGAAUCAAACACCGGUAGCCGGUAACUAUGGCGGCAGUAAUGGAACAAAGCACCCGGCAAAAGGCUAGGCCUUCCGUUAUUUACCAAGUAUAUAGGUGCAUUAAUUAAAUAACAGAAUUUAGAUAAUGAUAUCAAGCUCAUGUUAUCACACGAGUCAAAGCACCUGCAUCUAGCAACGCUAACAUUAGUAGCUGAGCAAAGCCUACUUAGCCAUUCAAGUUUGCUAGGAAGGGAUCAGUGUUUGGGUUCAUGGCAUAUCAAGAGGCAAAUAUUUCAGUGGUAGGCAGCGAGCAUAUGACAAAGGAAACAUAAUCUAGCAUAACAAGUCUAGAGAUGGGAUCAAGGUCAUAUCAUCUUGUCUGUGAUAUCCUCAGCUUGGAAUGGUUCUUGAUCGUCCUGCACGUACUCUCCUGACUCCAUGUAUUCGUUCUACGAUCCCGGUGCUACCCAACAUAAGAAUAACAUCCAAUUAACAACAGCACCUCAAGAUGCAACAAGCACAUGAUGCAUGAGAUGAAAAUGAGCAUGCGUCACUAUUUCUAUCACUAACAUAAGCAUAAGGAGUGAAUACAUGUUCCCGGAAAGAACUAUAGCCUAAGCUAUUUUGACAUGCAUGAGAUUGACAUGAUCAGAUGCGCCUCGUGAAAACGAUGCAAAACCAUAUAAAGAACAUUACAAUCGGAGCUACGGAUCAACGGGAAUCAACAAAACGAGAUAUGAAGCCCUACGUGUAAAAAUCAUCACCACACACUCAAAUGGCACAAAUCUGGUAUUCCCAGGUUGCCAAGACAUAAAACAAACCAACAUGAAUGGGUUGGAGCAAAGAAGAACACCACAACAUCAACUAAGCACUCACAAACAUCAAAAUGUCAAAACUACACAAUCUGCCAUAAAACUGCAUCAUAGCACUUUGUGAGCUACAUGCAAAGCACCUACAGCCACCCAACUAUGACAAAUAAUAUAUGUGGCUGUAGCUAGCCAAGAAUACUACAAGAACAAGCAAGAAUCACACAAAAAUGAAUUAAACACAGAAAGUUACAAGGCUGCAAACUUGCCCAAAAACAUCAGUUUUCAGGGACUUGGUGAAAAUUCCAGAUUCUCACUUUCUGUCUAUGCUCUGAAGCAUUUUUACAGCAGCCAAGACAAUAGCUACAGGACUCCAAAUGACAUGAAAUUUUACAGGGAGCUAUACAAACAUAUCAGGUCCAACUUUCUAGUUGAAAGCUAAGGCUAGAUCACAACACAAUGACCAGCACAACCUCAUCUACAGGAGAAGAAAAUAUAAACAGAUUCUCAGACUUGGUGAAAAUUCCAGAUUUUCACUAAUCUGGAAUUUCAGCCACAUGCCUACUUUGAGUGGGCAUAACUUGCACAUAUGGAAUCCUAAUCAUGACAUGAAACCAACAAGAGGUAGAGGGGGUCACCCUCUACUAGCACAACCAAGAAACAAUCACAAAGGCCCACCACAACUCAUGGAACCAAGCUCCAAACAUAGAAGAACAUGAAAAUAUGUCAUCUCCAGAAAAUGUUCCAAUGGCAAAACUGAGUUCACCAAUGGGUUCCUUGGGAUAUUCUACCCCAAAACAUAUAAAAGAUGCAUACACUUGUUUAGAGCAAGUGGCCACAAACUAGGAAGGAAAACUACAUAGAUUCCUACUAGUUAAAUAGUGCAACAUAUCAUGUGCACACACUAGAUCAACUACCACAUAGCUAUGCUCAUGUGCACAAAGACAAUAUGGACAUGAGGGUUUUGACCCCAUGUAUGUGUCAUGCACAUCAACACCACAAGCUCAUCUACCAAGUUUAUCACACACGCACAAGACAUCAUGCCCUUUCACAUAUGGUCAUGUGGAGGUGCAUAGUGACUUGCAAAGGGGCUGAUCCACACACAUACAUCUACUCCACUACACCUCUCUUAUGCUAGCUUUACCACCACUCACAUAUACAUGCACAAGCUAUACCACACAAGAGAUCCACAAGGUAUGUGGGGGAAACCACACACACUACACACCACACUAGCAUGCACUAGUGCAUCAUCAUCACCAUGAGGGAGAGCUGCUCACACACAUGCAGUACACUACGCUUAGUAAAACACCCACAAGUUAAGCACCUCACAAACAUCAUAUAGGGUAGAAGUUCCACACAUGCACUACACUACCUUGCAAAUACAUACACACUCACAUAUACACAUGCUAGCAAAAAUACUUAGCUAGCCAUACUAGCAACUCCUGCUGUUGGAGGUAGCAAGGGAAAAAAACUCACAAGAUAGAUCUUGUUGGAAAUAUGCCCUAGAGGCAAUAAUAAAUUAGUUAUUAUUAUAUUUCUUAGUUCAUGAUAAUCGUUUAUUAUCCAUGCUAUAAUUGUAUUGAUUGGAAACACAAUACUUGUGUGGAUACAUAGACAAAACACUGUCCCUAGUAAGCCUCUAGUUGACUAGCUCGUUGAUCAAAGAUGGUCAAGGUUUCCUGGCCAUAGGCAAGUGUUGUCACUUGAUAACGGGAUCACAUCAUUAGGAGAAUCAUGUGAUGGACUAGACCCAAACUAAAUAGACGUAGCAUGUUGAUCGUGUCAUUUUGUUGCUACUGUUUUCUGCGUGUCAAGUAUUUAUUCCUAUGACCAUGAGAUCAUAUAACUCACUGACACCGGAGGAAUGCUUUGUGUGUAUCAAACGUCGCAACGUAACUGGGUGACUAUAAAGAUGCUCUACAGGUAUCUCCGAAGGUGUUAGUUGAGUUAGUAUGGAUCAAGACUGGGAUUUGUCACUCCGUGUGACGGAGAGGUAUCUCGGGGCCCACUCGGUAAUACAACAUCACACACAAGCCUUGCAAGCAAUGUAACUUAGUGUAAGUUGCGGGAUCUUGUAUUACGGAACGAGUAAAGAGACUUGCCGGUAAACGAGAUUGAAAUAGGUAUGCGGAUACUAACGAUCGAAUCUCGGGCAAGUAACAUACCGAAGGACAAAGGGAAUGACNNNNNNNNNNNNNNNNNNNNNNNNNNNNNNNNNNNNNNNNNNNNNNNNNNNNNNNNNNNNNNNNNNNNNNNNNNNNNNNNNNNNNNNNNNNNNNNNNNNNGGCCAUAGGCAAGUGUUGUCACUUGAUAACGGGAUCACAUCAUUAGGAGAAUCAUGUGAUGGACUAGACCCAAACUAUUAGACGUAGCAUGUUGAUCGUGUCAUUUUGUUGCUACUGUUUUCUGCGUGUCAAGUAUUUAUUCCUAUGACCAUGAGAUCAUAUAACUCACUGACACCGGAGGAAUACUUUGUGUGUAUCAAACGUUGCAACGUAACUGGGUGACUAUAAAGAUGCUCUACAGGUAUCUCCGAAGGUGUUAGUUGAGUUAGUAUGGAUCAAGACUGGGAUUUGUCACUCCGUGUGACGGAGAGGUAUCUCGGGGCCCACUCGGUAAUACAACAUCACACACAAGCCUUGCAAGCAAUGUAACUUAGUGUAAGUUGCGGGAUCUUGUAUUACGGAACGAGUAAAGAGACUUGCCGGUAAACGAGAUUGAAAUAGGUAUGCGGAUACUAACGAUCGAAUCUCGGGCAAGUAACAUACCGAAGGACAAAGGGAAUGACAUACGGGAUUAUAUGAAUCCUUGGCACUGAGGUUCAAACGAUAAGAUCUUCGUAGAAUAUGUAGCAUCCAAUAUGGGCAUCCAGGUCCCGCUAUUGGAUAUUGACCGAGGAGUCUCUCGGGUCAUGUCUACAUAGUUCUCGAACCCGCAGGGUCUGCACACUUAAGGUUCGACGUUGUUUUAUGCGUAUUUGAGUUAUAUGGUUGGUUAACGAAUGUUGUUUGGAGUCCCGGAUGAGAUCACGGACGUCACGAGGGUUUCCGGAAUGGUCCGGAAACGAAGAUUGAUAUAUAGGAUGACCUCAUUUGGUUACCGGAAGGUUUCCGUGCAUUACCGGAAAAGUUUCGGGCUCAUUCGGUAGUGUACCGGGAGUGCCGGGAGGGGUGCCGGGGACCAUCGGGAGGGGUGUCACGCCCCAAGGGGUCUCAUGGGCUAUGGGAAGAGAUAAACCAGCCCCUAGUGGGCUGGAAUAAGUUCCCACUAAGGCCCAUAAGGUUUGAGAAGGAAAAAACACAAGGUGGAAAGAGUUUCCAAGUGGGAAGGUGGAAUCCUACUCCAAGUAGGAUUGGAGUAGGACUCCUCCACCUCCAAUUUCGGCCAAACCUUGAGGGUUUGAGGCUGCCUCUUCCCUCCCCCUCCCACCUAUAUAUACGGAGGUUUUAGGGCUGAUUUGAGACGACUUUCUCACGGCAGCCCGACCACAUACCUCCACGGUUUUACCUCUAGAUCGCGUUUCUGCGGAGCUCGGGCGGAGCCCUGCUGAGAUUAGAUCACCACCAACCUCCGGAGCGCCGUCACGCUGCCGGAGAACUCAUCUACCUCUCCGUCUCUCUUGCUGGAUCAAGAAGGCCGAGAUCAUCGUCGAGCUGUACGUGUGCGGAACGCGGAGGUGCCGUCCGUUCGGUACUAGAUCGUGGGACUGAUCGCGGGAUUGUUCGCGGGGCGGAUCGAGGGACGUGAGGACGUUCCACUACAUCAACCGCGUUCUCUAACGCUUCUGCUGUAUGGUCUACAAGGGUACGUAGAUCACACAUCCCCUCUCGUAGAUGGACAUCACCAUGAUAGGUCUUCGUGCGCGUAGGAAAAUUUUUGUUUCCCAUGCGACGUUCCCCAACAGUGGUAUCAGAGCUAGGUUCAUGCGUAGAUGUCUUCUCGAGUAGAACACAAAAGGUUUUGUGGACGGUGAUGUGCGUUUUGCUGCCCUCCUUAGUCUUUUCUUGAUUCCGCGGUAUUGUUGGAUUGAAGCGGCUUGGACCGACAUUACUCGUACGCUUACGAGAGACUGGUUUCAUCGUUACGAGUAACCCCCUUUGCUCAAAGAUGGCUGGCAAGUGACGGUUUCUCCAACUUUAGUUGAAUCGGAUUUGACCGAGGAGGUCCUUGGAUGAGGUUAAAUAGCAAUUCAUAUAUCUCCGUUGUGGUGUUUGCGUAAGUAAGAUGCGAUCCUACUAGAUACCCUUGGUCACCACGUAAAACAUGCAACAACAAAAUUAGAGGACGUCUAACUUGUUUUUGCAGGGUAUGAUUGUGAUGUGAUAUGGCCAAUGAUGUGAUGUGAUAUAUUGGAUGUAUGAGAUGAUCAUGUUGUAAUAGAAAUAUCGACUUGCACGUCGAUGGUACGGCAACCGGCAGGAGCCAUAGGGUUGUCUUUAUACUAACAUAUGUGCUUGCAGAUGCGUUUACUAUUUUGCUAGGAUGUAGCUUUAGUAGUAAUAGCAUAAGUAGCACGACAACCCCGAUGGCAACACGUUGAUGGAUGAUCAUGGUGUGGCGCCGGUGACAAGAAAGGUCGUGCCGGUGCUUUGGUGAUGGAGAUCAAGAAGCACGUGAUGAUGGCCAUAUCAUGUCACUUGUGAAUUGCAUGUGAUGUUAAUCCUUUUAUGCACCUUAUUUUGCUUAGAACGACGGUAGCAUUAUGAGGUGAUCUCUCACUAAAAUUUCAAGACGAAAUUGUGUUCUCCCCGACUGUGCACCGUUGCGACAGUUCUUCGUUUCGAGACACCACGUGAUGAUCGGGUGUGAUAGACUCAACGUUCACAUACAACGGGUGCAAAACAGUUGCACACGCGGAACACUCGGGUUAAGCUUGACGAGCCUAGCAUGUGCAGACAUGGCCUCGGAACACAUGAGACCGAAAGGUCGAGCAUGAAUCGUAUAGUUGAUAUGAUUAGCAUAGGGAUGCUUACCACUGAAANNNNNNNNNNNNNNNNNNNNNNNNNNNNNNNNNNNNNNNNNNNNNNNNNNNNNNNNNNNNNNNNNNNNNNNNNNNNNNNNNNNNNNNNNNNNNNNNNNNNCCAGAAGGUUUUGUUAAUCCUAAAGAUACUAGCAAGUAUGCAAGCUCCAGUGAUCCUUCAAUGGACUGGUGCAAGCAUCUCGGAGUUGGAAUAUACACUUUGAUGAGAUGAUCAAAGAUUUUGGGUUUGUACAAGGUUUAUGAGAAACUUGUAUUUCCAAAGAAGUGAGUGGGAGCACUAUAGAAUUUCUGAUAGGUAUAUGUGGUUGACAUAUUGUGGAUCAGAAGUAAUGUAGAAUUUCUGUAAAGCAUACAAGGUUGUUUGAAAGAAGUUUUCAAAGGAGUACCUGGAUUACGCUACUUGAACGUUGAGCAUCAAAGAUCUAUGGAGAUAGAUCGAAAGCGCUUAAUAGAAGUUUCAACAAGAUGCAUGCCUUGACAAGUUUUUGAAAGAGUUCAAAAUAGACCAGCAAAGAAGGAGUUCUUGGUUGCGUUGUGAGGUGUGAAUUUGAGUAAGACUCAAAACCCGACCACGGCAGAAUAAAGAGAAUAGACGAAGGUCGUCUUCUAUGCCUUAGCCGUAGAAUCUAAAGUAUGCCAUGCUGUGUACCGCACCUGAAGUGUGCCUUGACUCAAAGUAUGUUGAGAGGUACAGAGAGUGAUCCAUGAUUGAAUCACUAGCAGCGGUCGAAAUUUAUCCUUAGUAACUAAUGGACUAAGGAAUUUUUUCUCGAUCAUGGAGGUGGUUAAAGAGUUUGUCGUAAAGGGUUACGUCGAUGCAAGCUUUGACACUAAUCCGAAUAACUAUGAGUAGUGAAACGGAUUCAUAUAGUAGAGUAGAUAUUUGGAGCAUUUCCGAAUAGCACGUAGUAGCAGCAUCUAUAAGAUGACAUAAAGAUUCGUAAAGAACACACGGAUCUGAAAGUUUCAGAGCCGUUGACUAAAACCUCUCUCACGAGCAAGACGUGAUCAGACCUCAUAACUAUAUGGGUGUUGGAUUCGUUGGAAUCACAUGGUGAUGUGAACUAGAUUAUUGACUCUAGUGCAAGUGGGAGACUGUUGGAAAUAUGCCCUAGAGGCAAUAAUAAAUUAGUUAUUAUUAUAUUUCUUAGUUCAUGAUAAUCGUUUAUUAUCCAUGCUAUAAUUGUAUUGAUUGGAAACACAAUACUUGUGUGGAUACAUAGACAAAACACUGUCCCUAGUAAGCCUCUAGUUGACUAGCUCGUUGAUCAAAGAUGGUCAAGGUUUCCUGGCCAUAGGCAAGUGUUGUCACUUGAUAACGGGAUCACAUCAUUAGGAGAAUCAUGUGAUGGACUAGACCCAAACUAAUAGACGUAGCAUGUUGAUCGUGUCAUUUUGUUGCUACUGUUUUUCUGCGUGUCAAGUAUUUGUUCCUAUAACCAUGAGAUCAUAUAACUCACGGACACCGGAGGAAUGCUUUGUGUGUAUCAAACAUCGCAACAUAACUGGGUGACUAUAAAGAUGCUCUACAGGUAUUUCCGAAGGUGUUCGUUGAGUUAGUAUGGAUCGAGACUGGGAUUUGUCACUNNNNNNNNNNNNNNNNNNNNNNNNNNNNNNNNNNNNNNNNNNNNNNNNNNNNNNNNNNNNNNNNNNNNNNNNNNNNNNNNNNNNNNNNNNNNNNNNNNNNAGACGAAAUUGUGUUCUCCCCGACUGUGCACCGUUGCGACAGUUCUUCGUUUCGAGACACCACGUGAUGAUCGGGUGUGAUAGACUCAACGUUCACAUACAACGGGUGCAAAACAGUUGCACACGCGGAACACUCGGGUUAAGCUUGACGAGCCUAGCAUGUGCAGACAUGGCCUCGGAACACAUGAGACCGAAAGGUCGAGCAUGAAUCGUAUAGUUGAUAUGAUUAGCAUAGGGAUGCUUACCACUGAAACUAUUCUCGACUCACGUGAUGAUCGGACUUGAGAUAGCGGAUUUGGAUCAUGUACCACUCAAAUGACUAGAGAGAUGUACUUUUUGAGUGGGAGUUCUUAAGUAAUAUGAUUAAUUGAACUAAUUGUCAUGAACAUAGUCUAAUGGUCUUUGCGAAUUACGAUGUAGCUUGCGCUAUAGCUCUACUGUUUUUACAUGUUCCUAGAGAAAAUUUAGUUGAAAAUUGAUAGUAGCAACCUUUGCAGACUGAGUCUGUAAAACCGAGGAUUGUCCUCGUUGCUACGCAGAAGGCUUAUGUCCUUAAUGCACCACUCGAUGUGCUGCACCUCGAGCGUCGUCUGUGGAUGCUAUGAACAUCCGACAUACACGUUACUGAUGACUACACGAUAGUUCAGUGCAAGAUACUUGAUGGCUUAGAAGCAAGGCGCCGAAAACGUUGUAAAACGUCACGGAACAUAAGUGAUGUUCUAAAGAGAUGAAAUUGUGAUUUCACGCUUGUGCCCUUGUUGAGAGGUACGAGACCUCCGACGAGAUUCUUUGUCCACAAAGUAAAGGAGAAAGGCUCAAUCGUUGAGCGUGUGCUCAGAUUGUCUGAGUGCGACAAUCACUUGAAUCAAGUGGGAGUUAAUCUUCCAGAUGAGAUAGUGAUAGUUCUCCAAAGUCACUGCCACCAAGCUGUGAGAGCUUAGUGAUGAACUAUAACAUAUCAAGGAUAGAUACAAUGAUCCUUGAGCGAUUCGCGAUGUUUGACACUGCGAAAGUAGAAAUCAAGAAGGAGCGUCAAUAGUUGAUGGUUUGUAAAACCACUAAGUUUCGAGAAAGGCAAGGGCUAGAAGGGAUACUUCGUGAAACGGCAAAACAGUUGCUGCACUAAUGAAGAGACCCAAGAUUAAACCCAAACCCGAGACUAAGUGCUUCUGUAAUGAGGGGAACAGUCACUGAGGCGGAGCAACUCUAGAUACUUGGUAGAUAAGAAGGCUGGCAAAAGUCGAAAGAAGUGUAUUUGAUAUGCAUGAUGUUGAUGUGUACUUUACUAGUACUCCUAGUAGCAUGAGGGUAUUGGAUACCGGUUCGGUUGCUAAGUGAUUAGUAACACGAAAUGAAAGCUACGGCAUAAACGGAGACUAGCUAAAGGCGAGGUGACGAUACGUGUUGGAAGUGUUUCCAAGGUUGAUAUGAUCAAACGUCGCACGCUCCCUCUACCAUCCGGAUUGGUAUUAAACCUAAAUAAUUGUUAUUUGGUGCUUGCGUUAAGCAUGAACAUGAUUGGAUCGUGUUUAUUGCGAUACGAUUAUUCAUUUAAAGAGAAUAAUGGUUACUCUGUUUUCUUGAAUAAUCACCUUCAAUGGUUUAUUGAAUCUCAAUCGUAGUGUUACACAUGUUCAUGAUAAUGGUGCCAAAAGAUACAGUUGAUGACGAUAGUACCACUUACUUGUGGCAUUGCCGCUUGAGUCAUGUUAGUAUAAAUUGCAUGAAGAGGCUCCAUGCUGAUGGAUCUUUGUACUCACCUGAUUUCGAAUCACUAGUGACAUGCAAAUCAUACCACAUGAGCAAGGCCUUGUUUUCAUUGAGAUGAAAUAAGAUAGUAACUUGUUGGAAGUGAUACAUUUUGAUGUAUGCAGUCCAAUGGGUGCUGAGGCACGCAGUGGAUAUCAUUAUGUUCUUACUUCACUGACGAUUUGAGUAGAUACUAGAGUAUUUACUUAAUGAAUCACAAGUCUGAAAUAUUGAAAAGUUCAAUUCUGUUUCGGAGUGAAGUUCGUCGUAACAAGAGGAUAAACUGUCUACGAUAUGAUCAUAGAAAUGAAUAUCUGAGUUACGAGUUUUGGUACGCAGUUAAGACAAUGUGGAAAUUGUUUCGCAGUUCAUGCCACCUGGAACAUCAUAGUGUGAUGAUGUGUCUGAACGUCAUAGCCACGCACUAUUUGGUAUGGUGCAUACUAUGAUGUCUCUUAUCGAAUUACCAGUAUCGUUUAUGGGUUAUGCAUUAGAGACAACCGCACUCACUUUAAAUAGGGCACCGCGUAUUUCCGUUGAGAUGACACAGUAUAGACUGAGGUUUAGAGAAAUCUAAACUGUCGUUUCUUGAAAGUUUGGGGCUUCGACACUUAUGUGAAAAAGUUUCUGUCUGAUAAGCUCGAACCCAAAGCGGAUAAAUGCAUCUUCAUAGGAUAUCCAAAACAGUUGGGUACAUCUCCUAUCUCAGAUCCGAAAGCAAAGUGUUUGUUUCUAGAAACGGAUCCUUUCUCGAGGAAAGGUUUCUCUCGAAAGAAUUGAGUGGGAGGGUAGUAGAACUUGAUGAGGUUAUUGAACCAUCACUUCAACCAGUGUGUAGCAGGGCGUAGGAAGUUGUUCAUGUGGCGCCUACACCAAUUGAAGUGGAAGCUGAUGAUGGUGAUCAUUGAGCUUCGAAUCAAGUUACUACAAACCUCGUAGGUCGACAAGGUCGCGUACUUCUGCAGAGUAGUACGGUAACCCUGUCUUGGAGGUCAUGUUGUUGAGCAACAGUGAACCUACGAGUUAUGGAGAAAGCGAUGGUGGGCCCAGAUUCCGACAAAUGGCUAGAAGCCAUGAAAUCCGAGAGAGGAUCCAUGUAUGAAAACAGAGUGUAGACUUUGGAAGAACUACUUGACGGUCAUAAGACUAUUGAGUAGAGAUGGAUCUUUAAAAGGAAGACAGACGAUGAUGGUGAUUAGUCACUAUUAAGAAAAGCUCGACUUGUCGCAAAGAUGUUUCCGACAAGAUCAAACAAUUGACUAUGAUGAGACUUUCUCACUCGUAGCGAUGCUAAAAGUCUGUUAGAAUUAUGUUAGUAGUUGCUGCAUUAUUUAUGAAAUAUUGCACGUAGGAUGUCAAAACAUUGUUUCCUCGACGGUUUCCUUGAGCAAACAUUGUAUAUGAUACAACCAGGAGGUUUUGUCGAUCCUAAGGAUACUAACAAGUAUGCAAACUCCAGCAAUCCUUCAAUGGACUGGUGCAAGCAUCUCGGAGUUGGAAUAUACACUUUGAUGAGAUGAUCAAGGAUUUUGGGUUUGUACAAAGUUUAUGAGAAACUUGUAUUUCCAAAGAAGUGAGUGGGAGCACUAUAGAAUUUCUGAUAAGUAUAUGUGGUUGACAUAUUGUGGAUCAGAAGUAAUGUAGAAUUUCUGUAAAGCAUACAAGGUUGUUUGAAAGGAGUUUUUCAAAGGAAUACCUGGAUUGAGCUACUUGAACGUUGAGCAUCAAAGAUCUAUGGAGAUAGAUCGAAAGCGCUUAAUGGAAGUUUCAACAAGAUACAUGCCAUGACAAGUUUUUGAAAGAGUUCAAAAUAGACCAGCAAAGAAAGAGUUCUUGGUUGCGUUGUGAGGUGUGAAUUUGAGUAAGACUCAAAACCCGACCACGGCAGAAUAAAAGAGAAUAGACGAAGGUCGUCUUCUAUGCCUUAGCCGUAGAAUCUAAAGUAUGCCAUGCUGUGUACCGCACCUGAAGUGUGCCUUGACUCAAAGUAUGUUGAGAGGUACAGAGAGUGAUCCAUGAUUGAAUCACUAGCAGCGGUCGAAAUUUAUCCUUAGUAACUAAUGGACUAAGGAAUUUUUUCUCGAUCAUGGAGGUGGUUAAAGAGUUUGUCGUAAAGGGUUACGUCGAUGCAAGCUUUGACACUAAUCCGAAUAACUAUGAGUAGUGAAACGGAUUCAUAUAGUAGAGUAGAUAUUUGGAGCAUUUCCGAAUAGCACGUAGUAGCAGCAUCUAUAAGAUGACAUAAAGAUUCGUAAAGAACACACGGAUCUGAAAGUUUCAGAGCCGUUGACUAAAACCUCUCUCACGAGCAAGACGUGAUCAGACCUCAUAACUAUAUGGGUGUUGGAUUCGUUGGAAUCACAUGGUGAUGUGAACUAGAUUAUUGACUCUAGUGCAAGUGGGAGACUGUUGGAAAUAUGCCCUAGAGGCAAUAAUAAAUUAGUUAUUAUUAUAUUUCUUAGUUCAUGAUAAUCGUUUAUUAUCCAUGCUAUAAUUGUAUUGAUUGGAAAAACAAUACUUGUGUGGAUACAUAGACAAAACACUGUCCCUAGUAAGCCUCUAGUUGACUAGCUCGUUGAUCAAAGAUGGUCAAGGUUUCCUGGCCAUAGGCAAGUGUUGUCACUUGAUAACGGGAUCACAUCAUUAGGAGAAUCAUGUGAUGGACUAGACCCAAACUAUUAGACGUAGCAUGUUGAUCGUGUCAUUUUGUUGCUACUGUUUUCUGCGUGUCAAGUAUUUAUUCCUAUGACCAUGAGAUCAUAUAACUCACUGACACCGGAGGAAUACUUUGUGUGUAUCAAACGUUGCAACGUAACUGGGUGACUAUAAAGAUGCUCUACAGGUAUCUCCGAAGGUGUUAGUUGAGUUAGUAUGGAUCAAGACUGGGAUUUGUCACUCCGUGUGACGGAGAGGUAUCUCGGGGCCCACUCGGUAAUACAACAUCACACACAAGCCUUGCAAGCAAUGUAACUUAAUGUAAGUUGCGGGAUCUUGUAUUACGGAACGAGUAAAGAGACUUGCCGGUAAACGAGAUUGAAAUAGGUAUGCGGAUACUAACGAUCGAAUCUCGGGCAAGUAACAUACCGAAGGACAAAGGGAAUGACAUACGGGAUUAUAUGAAUCCUUGGCACUGAGGUUCAAACGAUAAGAUCUUCGUAGAAUAUGUAGGAUCCAAUAUGGGCAUCCAGGUCCCGCUAUUGGAUAUUGACCGAGGAGUCUCUCGGGUCAUGUCUACAUAGUUCUCGAACCCGCAGGGUCUGCACACUUAAGGUUCGACGUUGUUUUAUGCGUAUUUGAGUUAUAUGGUUGGUUAACGAAUGUUGUUUGGAGUCCCGGAUGAGAUCACGGACGUCACGAGGGUUUCCGGAAUGGUCCGGAAACGAAGAUUGAUAUAUAGGAUGACCUCAUUUGGUUACCGGAAGGUUUCCGUGCAUUACCGGAAAAGUUUCGGGCUCAUUGGUAGUGUACCGGGAGUGCCGGGAGGGGUGCCGGGGACCAUCGGGAGGGGUGUCACGCCCCAAGGGGUCUCAUGGGCUAUGGGAAGAGAUAAACCAGCCCCUAGUGGGCUGGAAUAAGUUCCCACUAAGGCCCAUAAGGUUUGAGAAGGAAAAAACACAAGGUGGAAAGAGUUUCCAAGUGGGAAGGUGGAAUCCUACUCCAAGUAGGAUUGGAGUAGGACUCCUCCACCUCCAAUUUCGGCCAAACCUUUAGGUUUUGAGGCUGACUCCUCCCCUCCCUCCCACCUAUAUAUACGGAGGUUUUAGGGCUGAUUUGAGACGACUUUCUCACGGCUGCCCGACCACAUACCUCCAUGGUUUUUCCUCUAGAUCGCGUUUCUGCGGAGCUCGGGCGGAGCCCUGCUGAGACAAGAUCAUCACCAACCUCCGGAGCGCCGUCACGCUGCCGGAGAACUCUUCUACCUCUCCGUCUCUCUUGCUGGAUCAAGAAGGCCGAGAUCAUCGUCGAGCUGUACGUGUGCUGAACGCGGAGGUGCCGUCCGUUCGGUACUAGAUCGUGGGACUGAUCGCGGGAUUGUUCGCGGGGCGGAUCGAGGGACGUGAGGACGUUCCACUACAUCAACCGCGUUCACUAACGCUUCUGCUGUACGAUCUACAAGGGUACGUAGAUCACUCAUCCCCUCUCGUAGAUGGACAUCACCAUGAUAGGUCUUCGUGCGCGUAGGAAAUUUUUUGUUUCCCAUGCGACGUUCCCCAACAGUGGCAUCAUGAGCUAGGUUCAUGCGUAGAUGUCUUCUCGAGUAGAACACAAAAGUUUUUGUGGGCGGUGAUGUGCGUUUUGCUGCCCUCCUUAGUCUUUUCUUGAUUCCGCGGUAUUGUUGGAUUGAAUCGGCUUGGACCGACAUUACUCGUACGCUUACGAGAGACUGGUUUCAUCGUUACGAGUAACCCCCUUUGCUCAAAGAUGACUGGCAAGUGACGGUUUCUCCAACUUUAGUUGAAUCGGAUUUGACCGAGGAGGUCCUUGGAUGAGGUUAAAUAGCAACUCAUAUAUCUCCGUUGUGGUGUUUGCGUAAGUAAGAUGCGAUCCUACUAGAUACCCUUGGUCACCACGUAAAACAUGCAACAACAAAAUUAGAGGACGUCUAACUUGUUUUUGCAGGGUAUGAUUGUGAUGUGAUAUGGCCAAUGAUGUGAUGUGAUAUAUUGGAUGUAUGAGAUGAUCAUGUUGUAAUAGAAAUAUCGACUUGCACGUCGAUGGUACGGCAACCGGCAGGAGCCAUAGGGUUGUCUUUAUACUAACAUAUGUGCUUGCAGAUGCGUUUACUAUUUUGCUAGGAUGUAGCUUUAGUAGUAAUAGCAUAAGUAGCACGACAACCCCGAUGGCAACACGUUGAUGGAUGAUCAUGGUGUGGCGCCGGUGACAAGAAGAUCGUGCCGGUGCUUUGGUGAUGGAGAUCAAGAAGCACGUGAUGAUGGCCAUAUCAUGUCACUUAUGAAUUGCAUGUGAUGUUAAUCCUUUUAUGCACCUUAUUUUGCUUAGAACGACGGUAGCAUUAUGAGGUGAUCUCUCACUGAAAUUUCAAGACGAAAUUGUGUUCUCCCCGACUGUGCACCGUUGCGAUAGUUCUUCGUUUCGAGACACCACGUGAUGAUCGGGUGUGAUAGACUCAACGUUCACAUACAACGGGUGCAAAACAGUUGCACACGCGGAACACUCGGGUUAAGCUUGACGAGCCUAGCAUGUGCAGACAUGGCCUCGGAACACAUGAGACCGAAAGGUCGAGCAUGAAUCGUAUAGUUGAUAUGAUUAGCAUAGGGAUGCUUACCACUGAAACUAUUCUCGACUCACGUGAUGAUCGGACUUGAGAUAGCGGAUUUGGAUCAUGUACCACUCAAAUGACUAGAGAGAUGUACUUUUUGAGUGGGAGUUCUUAAGUAAUAUGAUUAAUUGAACUAAUUGUCAUGAAUAUAGUCUAAUGGUCUUUGCGAAUUACGAUGUAGCUUGCGCUACAGCUCUACUGUUUUUAUAUGUUCCUAGAGAAAAUNNNNNNNNNNNNNNNNNNNNNNNNNNNNNNNNNNNNNNNNNNNNNNNNNNNNNNNNNNNNNNNNNNNNNNNNNNNNNNNNNNNNNNNNNNNNNNNNNNNNGCAUCAAAGAUCUAUGGAGAUAGAUCGAAAGCGCUUAAUAGAAGUUCAACAAGAUGCAUGCCUUGACAAGUUUUWGAAAGAGUUCAAAAUAGACCAGCAAAGAAGGAGUUCUUGGUUGCGUUGUGAGGUGUGAAUUUGAGUAAGACUCAAAACCCGACCACGGCAGAAUAAAGAGAAUAGACGAAGGUCGUCUUCUAUGCCUUAGCCGUAGAAUCUAAAGUAUGCCAUGCUGUGUACCGCACCUGAAGUGUGCCUUGACUCAAAGUAUGUUGAGAGGUACAGAGAGUGAUCCAUGAUUGAAUCACUAGCAGCGGUCGAAAUUUAUCCUUAGUAACUAAUGGACUAAGGAAUUUUUCUCGAUUAUGGAGGUGGUUAAAGAGUUUGUCGUAAAGGGUUACGUCAAUGCAAGCUUUGACACUAAUCCGGAUAACUGUGAGUAGUGAAACGGAUUCGUAUAGUAGAGUAGAUAUUUGGAGCAUUUCCGAAUAGCACGUAGUAGCAGCAUCUAUAAGAUGACAUAAAGAUUUGGAAAGAACACACGAAUCUGAAAGUUUCAGAACCGUUGACUAAAACCUCUCUCACGAGCAAGACGUGAUCAGGCCCCAUAACUAUAUGGGUGUUGGAUUCGUUGGAAUCACAUGGUGAUGUGAACUAGAUUAUUGACUCUAGUGCAAGUGGGAGACNNNNNNNNNNNNNNNNNNNNNNNNNNNNNNNNNNNNNNNNNNNNNNNNNNNNNNNNNNNNNNNNNNNNNNNNNNNNNNNNNNNNNNNNNNNNNNNNNNNNAUACGGGAUUAUAUGAAUCCUUGGCACUGAGGUUCAAACGAUAAGAUCUUCGUAGAAUAUGUAGCAUCCAAUAUGGGCAUCCAGGUCCCGCUAUUGGAUAUUGACCGAGGAGUCUCUCGGGUCAUGUCUACAUAGUUCUCGAACCCGCAGGGUCUGCACACUUAAGGUUCGACGUUGUUUUAUGCGUAUUUGAGUUAUAUGGUUGGUUACCGAAUGUUGUUCGGAGUCCCGGAUGAGAUCACGGACGUCACGAGGGUUUCCGGAAUGGUCCGGAAACGAAGAUUGAUAUAUAGGAUGACCUCAUUUGGUUACCGGAAGGUUUUCGUGCAUUACCGGAAAAGUUUCGGGCUCAUCGGUAGUGUACCGGGAGUGCCGGGAGGGGUGCCGGGGACCAUCGGGAGGGGUGUCACGCCCCAAGGGGUCUCAUGGGCUAUGGGAAGAGAUAAACCAGCCCCUAGUGGGCUGGAAUAAGUUCCCACUAAGGCCCAUAAGGUUUGAGAAGGAAAAAAACACAAGGUGGAAAGAGUUUCCAAGUGGGAAGGUGGAAUCCUACUCCAAGUAGGAUUGGAGUAGGACUCCUCCACCUCCAAUUUCGGCCAAACCUUUAGGUUUUGAGGCUGACUCCUCCCCUCCCUCCCACCUAUAUAUACGGAGGUUUUAGGGCUGAUUUGAGACGACUUUCUCACGGCUGCCCGACCACAUACCUCCAUGGUUUUUCCUCUAGAUCGCGUUUCUGCGGAGCUCGGGCGGAGCCCUGCUGAGACAAGAUCAUCACCAACCUCCGGAGCGCCGUCACGCUGCCGGAGAACUCUUCUACCUCUCCGUCUCUCUUGCUGGAUCAAGAGCCGAGAUCAUCGUCGAGCUGUACGUGUGCUGAACNNNNNNNNNNNNNNNNNNNNNNNNNNNNNNNNNNNNNNNNNNNNNNNNNNNNNNNNNNNNNNNNNNNNNNNNNNNNNNNNNNNNNNNNNNNNNNNNNNNNUGUUUCUUCUGAUAUCUUAUAUGCAUGAUUUCAUAUCCUUGUAAUUCUCUUCGAGUUGUGGCUUUUGUUUGGCCAACUUGAUAUAUGAUUCUUGGAAUGGGAGAAGUGCUUGGUUUUGGGUUCAUACUGUGCGGUGACCUCUCCUAGUGACAGAAGGGGCAGCGAGGCACGCAUCGUGUUGUUGCCAUCAAGGNNNNNNNNNNUAGUGACCUCUCCCAGUGACAGAAGGGGCAGCGAGGCACGCAUCGUGUUGUUGCCAUCAAGGGUAAAAAUGUGGGGUUUACAUCAUUGGUUUGAGUUUAUCCCUCUACAUCAUGUCAUCUUGCUUAAGGCGUUACUCUAUUCGUCAUGAACUCAAUACACUAGAUGCAUGCUGGAUAGUGAUCGAUGUGUGGAGUAGUAGUAGUAGAUGCAGAAAGUAUCAUGUUGGAAAUAUGCCCUAGAGGCAAUAAUAAAUUAGUUAUUAUUAUAUNNNNNNNNNNCGGUCGAUGUGUGGAGUAGUAGUAGUAGAUGCAGAAAGUAUCGGUCUACUUGUCUCGGACGUGAUGCCUAUAUGUAUGAUCAUUGCCUUAGAUAUCGUCAUGACUUUGCGCGGUUCUAUCAAUUGCUCGACAGUAAUUUGUUCACNNNNNNNNNNNNNNNNNNNNNNNNNNNNNNNNNNNNNNNNNNNNNNNNNNNNNNNNNNNNNNCAAGGUUUCCUGGCCAUAGGCAAGUGUUGUCACUUGAUAACGGGAUCACAUCAUUAGGAGAAUCAUGUGAUGGACUAGACCCAAACUAAUAGAGGUAGCAUGUUGAUCGUGUCAUUUUGUUGCUACUAUUUUCUGCGUGUCAAGUAUUUGUUCCUAUGACCAUGAGAUCAUAUAACUCACGGACACCGGAGGAAUGCUUUGUGUGUAUCAAACAUCGCAACAUAACUGGGUGACUAUAAAGAUGCUCUACAGGUAUUUCCGAAGGUGUUCGUUGAGUUAGUAUGGAUCGAGACUGGGAUUUGUCACUCCGUAUGACGGAGAGGUAUCUCGGGGCCCACUCGGUAAUACAACAUCACACAGAAGCCUUGCAAGCAAUGUGAGUUAGUGUAAGUUACGGGAUCUUGUAUUACGGGACGAGUAAAGAGACUUGCCGGUAAACGAGAUUGAAAUAGGUAUGCGGAUACUGACGAUCGAAUCUCGGGCAAGUAACAUACCGAAGGACAAAGGGAAUGACAUACGGGAUUAUCUGAAUCCUUGGCACUGAGGUUCAAACGAUAAGAUCUUCGUAGAAUAUGUAGGAUCUAAUAUGGGCAUCCAGGUCCCGCUAUUGGAUAUUGACCGAGGAGUCUCUCGGGUCAUGUCUACAUAGUUCUCGAACCCGCAGGGUCUGCACACUUAAGGNNNNNNNNNNAUGAAUCCUUGGCACCGAGGUUCAAACGGUAAGAUCUUCGUAGAAUAUGUAGGAUCCAAUAUGGGCAUCCAGGUCCCUCUAUUGGAUAUUGAUCGAGGAGUCUCUCAGGUCAUGUCUACAUAGUUCUCGAACCCGCAGGGUCUGCACACUUAAGGUUCGACGUUGUUUUAUGCGUAUUUGAGUUAUAUGGUUGGUUACCGAAUGUUGUUCGGAGUCCCGGAUGAGAUCACGGACGUCACGAGGGUUUCCGGAAUGGUCCGGAAACGAAGAUUGAUAUAUAGGAUGACCUCAUUUGGUUACCGGAAGGUUUCCGUGCAUUACCGGAAAAGUUUCGGGCUCAUUGGUAGUGUACCGGGAGUGCCGGGAGGGGUGCCGGGGACCAUCGGGAGGNNNNNNNNNNAAAGAUUGAUAUAUAGGAUGACCUCAUUUGAUUACCAGAAGGUUUUCGGAGUUACCGGGAAUGUACCGGGAAUGACGAAUGGGUUCCGGAAGUCCACCGGGGGGGGCAACCCACCCCGGGGAAGCCCAUAGGCAUUGGGGGUGGUGCACCAGCCCUUAGUGGGCUGGUGGGACAGCCCAAGAGAGCCCUAUGCGCCAUAGGAAGAAAAAUCAAAGAGAAAAGAAAAAAAAAAGAGGAGGUGGGAAAAAGGGGAAGGACUCCUCCUUCCAAACNNNNNNNNNNUCCGGAGGUAAAGAUUGAUAUAUAGGAAGUCCUGUUUUGGUCACCGGAAAAGUUUCGGGCUCAUCGGUAGUGUACCGGGAGUGCCGGGAGGGGUGCCGGGGACCAUCGGGAGGGGUGUCACGCCCCAAGGGGUCUCAUGGGCUAUGGAAAGAGAUAAACCAGCCCCUAGUGGGCUGGAAUAAGUUCCCACUAAGGCCCAUAAGGUUUGAGAAGGAAAAAACACNNNNNNNNNNNNNNNNNNNNNNNNNNNNNNNNNNNNNNNNNNNNNNNNNNNNNNNNNNNNNNNNNNNNNNNNNNNNNNNNNNNNNNNNNNNNNNNNNNNNCGCUUGUGCCCUUGUUGAGAGGUACGAGACCUCCGACGAGAUUCUUUGUCCACAAAGUAAAGGAGAAAGGCUCAAUCGUUGAGCGUGUGCUCAGAUUGUCUGAGUGCGACAAUCACUUGAAUCAAGUGGGAGUUAAUCUUCCAGAUGAGAUAGUGAUAGUUCUCCAAAGUCACUGCCACCAAGCUGUGAGAGCUUAGUGAUGAACUAUAACAUAUCAAGGAUAGAUACAAUGAUCCUUGAGCGAUUCGCGAUGUUUGACACUGCGAAAGUAGAAAUCAAGAAGGAGCGUCAAUAGUUGAUGGUUUGUAAAACCACUAAGUUUCGAGAAAGGCAAGGGCUAGAAGGGAUACUUCNNNNNNNNNNGAUACUAUGAUCUUUGAGUGAUUCGCGAUGUUUGACACUGCGAAAGUAGAAAUCAAGAAGGAGCAUCAAUAGUUGAUGGUUAGUAAAACCACUAAGUUUCGAGAAAGGCAAGGGCUAGAAGGGAUACUUCGUGAAACGGCAAAACAGUUGCUGCACUAAUGAAGAGANNNNNNNNNNNNNNNNNNNNNNNNNNNNNNNNNNNNNNNNNNNNNNNNNNNNNNNNNNNNNNNNNNNNNNNNNNNNNNNNNNNNNNNNNNNNNNNNNNNNAGUUCACAAAUCAACACCGAUGCUCAUUACCUGCAAAAUCUUAAGGGAUAUGAUGGCGAGGAAGAAUACUAAAAAUGCUUUAUGCGCUUACCCCACUUUUCGAUCAUUAUCCAGAUCAGCUGCUUCAAGAUCCAUGUUUGUUAUUCUCCGUGUGAGAACCCAUUUGGCCAGCAUUUUCUGCCGUCGCUCGGUGUAGAUCUCAGCAAGGUACAUGAAGAACAGCGCCAGGAUUAUGGUGCUCGUAAUUAUCCAAAAUACCGCGAAAGUGCGCCCCAAUUUGGACGAGAAGCUUUUAUCCCCAUAGCCCAGGGUAGUUAUUGUGGCACAGACACAAUAAAAGGAAUCGACAAGGCUCAGCUUUUCAACCUUCCAGAGAAAAACAGUCCCUACAACAAUGGUUGUCAUAAGAAGCAGGGCAGCCGUGUAGAAUUUGUACUUUGUCUUGUUUGUCUCAAUUUGCCUGAGCAUUNNNNNNNNNNCAGUUAUUGUGGCACAGACACAAUAAAAGGAAUCAACAAGGCUCAGCUUCUCAACCUUCCAGAGAAAAACAGUCCCCACAACAAUGGUUGUCACAAGAAGUAGGGCAGCAGUGUAGAAUUUGUACUUUGUCUUGUUUGUCUCAAUUUGCCUGAGCAUUUUGGCCUCGCUACACUUCAUGUUCAUGUGCAGUGCCUUGAAGAACAGGACCUCCUGCUUCUCCACGAGAUAAUCCGCCGACUUGCUCACAAAGAGAGCAAUAAUCGCCAUGCCUGUGAAGACGAACACACAAGCGAGCAGCUUUGCCGUGUCGCUGUUAGGGACAAGGUCUCCGUAACCAACCGAUGUCAUCGUGACAAUGCAGAAGUACAGGGCGUCAAGCACCCUGUUGGUUCUCUUGCCAGAUAACUGAUCCAUGACAAGGUAAAAGACGACGACGCCCGCUAGCAGGUAGAGAAAUAGGAGGAGCCCUGCUAGUCUAAAGCUCGGCCGUAUCACGCUGAGCAACUCCUUGGCUGGAGGCGACGAGCC
rnacentral:lncRNA from 1 species